rnacentral:lncRNA from 1 species
CAAGUGGUGCUGCAUCUUCUUCAAAAUCAGACUUGGAUGAUGCUGCUUUACCCAUUCCUCCUCCACCUCCACCUCCACCUCUGCCUCGUACUGGUGACAUGGACUCUGGUGAUGCCUCCGAAUUGCCUGCAUCUUUGCCAUUGCCACCUCCCCCACCUGUACCACCAAAGCCUCCAGUAACAGACUCCGGUACUUUGUUGCCGCCUCCACCUUUGCCACCACCACCACCUCCUCCUGGACCCCCUCCAAAGGACCAAAUGGCUAUCCGUUCAUCACUCCCUCCACCCCCAUCUCUCCAUCAAUCUGCUCAACCUCCACCUCCUGGAACUGGUGGAAGUGAGACGGAGAAAAGCCAGUUUGCAAAAUCUGAUGAUCAAGCUUCACGGGAUCCAUUUCAGGUAUGUUCUCUCUCAAUCUCUCAGAAUAUGUAUUGGGGAAGUAUUAGAAACAUAAUCAAACCAUUAUCUUUGAAAUUUGUGAAAAGCAUUGAUAAAGAGUUUUGGCGUGCUUGUCCGAUUUCAUUGAGAAACGUGAAAUGGAAGAAAAAUUUGUAAAUUGUAAUCUUUUACUUGAACUUUUGUCACACUGGACAUUACAUUCAUUUUCCUGAUAGCUGAUGUUCAUGGACUGCUUUCUUGUGGUUUAUGUCUAUUGACUUGAAGUAUUUGUUUCCUUUUGCAGGCAACAGCAACACUUCCCCCACCUCCCCCUCCUCCACCAAUGGGUUUGGCACCAAAGAUGGUCAAUAAUCAGUUGGAAGGCAUAUCUUCUGAAUCUGAUGCUAAUAAUCCUGGUUACGAUCUGUCAAAAAUGAUUCCACCUCCACCUCCACCUCUGAGGCAACAGCCUCCACUGCCAGGACCUGCCAUGGCUCCACCAUUGCAGCCUGAUGUUUUACCUCCAGGAAUUUCACGAUUUCCCCCACCCCCACCUCCAACAGAUAUGAGGCCUGCAUUGCCUGGCAGCGGAAUUGUUGGGCAACCUGCUCCACCUGGUGUUAUGGUCCCAGUUAUUGCAAGACCCUCUUUUGGACCUCCACCAAUGAUGAGACCACCACUUCCACCUGGUCCCUCACCUAUUCCACAAGAUGACCCUGGUGCUGGACUACCUGCUCCACAGAAACCAUCAUAUGUUAAAUCUGCUGCAUCAACUGUUGUUAAAAGACCCCUAGCACAGCACACACCAGAGCUGACAGCCAUGGUAAGUUAACAUCUUUGCUUGUGUUGUGCAUUUGCAUCUGCAGCAUUUGCUUUGAAGUAAUUAUUGAUCGCUGGUGAUAUGUCACUCCAUUUAUUUAUCUAUUAAUAUUUGAAUAAGUAUGUAAUUUUGCCUGAUGCAAAUUGGUUGAAGAAUCCAUGUUUGGAAGAACUAUCUUUAAUUGAGCUGUCUGAUACAACAACAGCUACAGAGGUUGAAAUACAACGAAAUUCUAGAUUGUAAGAAUAACCAAUCAUAUCGUAUCCAUAAAGUGGCAAUCACUCAUUUGGCACAAUCUGUAGAACUAUCUUUAAUUGAGCUGUCUGAUACAACAACUCACAUCUCCCUCUUAUGUGGCUCCAAAAUACUUGAAAUUUGUUACUGAGCCAACUUCUUUUAAGCCAUUGCAUUUUUAGGCCAGAAGUUUCCCUUGUAUUACUUUGUCAAAGCUGUCCAGGCUCUUGCUUUCCUGUUUCUUGUUAUUAGCAGUCUGUUUUAUGUCAUCCCAUAGAUGAUGUAUUUGGUCGAAAUUCAACAUGCUAAACUAUCUAGUCCACUUGUGCCGUUUUAUGCUUGCUUUUGCAUUUUGUUGCUUUUAACUCUCUCUUAUGUGUUUGCUUCUUUUCCUGUAUUCCAGAGAUCGAUCUCAAUUUUGGCUAAGCUUUUUUUCCCCCCUUCCUAAUGCAAAAAUGUGUGGUGACGCUAUUGCUGGUAAUUUGAUUUGUCGACAUUGGUCAAUUGAAUGUGGAUCAGUCUGCUCCUGCACAUCAUCUAAUUAACUUGAUUUAAGAUAUAAAUGGGUGUUCAUGGUCUGACUUUCCUUGUCAUACAGCUUCAUAUGUAACAGGGUAGUUUGGUGCUGUAAACACAAUUUUGAGUUGAUAUCAUAUAAUCUAGCCCUUGUCGGUUAAUCAGUGGAGUGCCUACGUUCCCCCACAAAAAAAAAAACAUCCUUGUUGUAUAUGAAAUAUGAUAUUCUUGCAGUCUUCAGUGGAAGAAUAUGCCAUCUUGUUCCUGAUGAUGUUUAGCAACCCCACUUACAUCAAUUGCCAACUUUUCUUCCAUUUUCCUUUAUCUCAGAAUGUUCCUGCGUUCUACUUGCAGGUUCCUGCUUCUGUUCGCGUCAGAAGAGAAUCUGCAGCACCAAAAGCAAAGCCAAAGCCAUCAAAUACGACACCAGUGAACCACGCAGUGGCAGCUCCAGCUGAGACAAAGCAAGAAUCAAGUGGCUCAUCAUCCGCACCGAAACCACAGAGCAUUGACGACUCCUACAUGGCAUUCCUGGAAGACAUGAAAGCACUGGGUGCUCUAGAUAGUUGAGCUGAUUCAGCCAUUUAAGGGAUCAAAAGGAAAGAAGACAAACUAGAGUAGACAAACAUGGGCUGUUAAUUCAGUCAACGAUAAACUAGCAUUAAUGGAGGCAUAUUUUUUUUUCUUUUUUCCUUCCCCUACCCCUCUCCCCCCCUAAUCCCUCCCUCUCCCCAAAUUCGGCGCGUUUAGGUUUGAACCUUGGUCUGUCAAGUGAGACAUCAAGUUACUCGUCUAUAGCCCUAACGACUAUUGGUCAAUUAUAUUAACUUGCGCUUCUUAAUUUAAUUAGUAUGAAAAAGAUGUCUAUACUCACGGGAUGGAGGAGUAUUUCAUUCGUUGAGCAUGCUACCCAUAGCAAUAAAAAAAGUUUUAUUUUAUUUUCUAAGUAUUUCAGUGGCACGAGACAAUCCAAGGUUGGAAAAUAAAAAUGAAGCGAAGUUGCAUAUUCAAAAUUUUUUAUCCUAAAAAAAAAUUAAGUUUCUGUCAACAAAAUAAAAACAUGGUACUUGUGAAUUGUAUAUUUAACUAAAGGGUAUAUUAGAUAAUUUACAAAUAAGAUCGAUGGAGUUAAUUUCGAAGUUAGUAGACCCAGACGGUCAAAAGGGCAAAUUCCCAAAUAAAUUUGUUUGAGGGGGUGAGGUGCAAAUUGACUCCACGUAUCCUGUAUGAAUAUGUUUUAUUCACUUAAAAUUCGUAACGGAUCUUCUGUCCCAUACCCUGUGCCACUCUCGGUCCCACUUUUUAUUAUAUUGCUAUUUCUCCUACAUAAACAUCAUGUUUUAGUUUUUUUUUUGUUUCCUUAAGAUUCAAUAACUAUUAAUUGAAUAAAAAAUAAAUACAGCAGCUUAAAAUAAGCAAUAUAUAAUAGAAAAUUAAAAAAUACAGUAGAAAAUUCAUAAAAAAUCUCAUUUUUUAUGCAUUUUGAUUUUUUGAGUUUGUUAAAUUUUGUGUAUAACUCAAUUAAUAGUUAUUGAAUCUUAAGGAAACAAAAAAAAAACUAAAACAUGAUGUUUAUGUAGGAGAAAUAGCAAUAUAAUAAAAAGUGGGAUAGAGAGUGGCACAGGAUGUGGGACAGAAGAUCCGUUGCUCUUAAAAUCUACAAUGAACAAUUUAAUAGUAAGGAUUCCCUUUGUAAGAAACAAAUAUAAGCAUAUACUAAGGAGUCCAAACUCCAAUAAGUAAACAUAUAUUCUAUUUUUUUUUUACAAUACUUAAUUUGUCUAUGACUUCUUCAAAUUUUAUGGGUUUUUUUUUUUUUUAAUUCUUUCUGGUUGGCAUACCGGGACCUCGAUUGGAUUCCCUUCCAUCUAGUCUUCAUUUAUCUGUUUAUUAAAUUAUAUCCUACUUAUUGAAGCUUUAAAAACAGGUAGGUCCAGACAACAUCUCCUGCCUUAAUCUAUUUGUUACUAAUUACACUUGUGAAAAACUUUGGAGUUGGUGAGAACAUGCGGCCAUCAGCUUUAUAUUGGUCAGCAGAUUGUCAUACUUGUUGUGUUCAAAAAUCAAUUUCACUCGGAAAUUUCGGGUUGGACCUGAAACAUAAUUUCAAUUUACUAUUGUAGUUUCUGAUAGAACCAAUUUCGUACAAGGCUAAUUGCAUAAUCAAGUAAUAAAAAUCUCGAUAAAAUAAUCCCAAAUUAGAUCUGAAAUAAAUUAAAACACUGUAAAAGUAUUUUAUCCCAAACCAGAUCUAAAAUAAAUUAAGAUACUAUAAAAAUAGAAAAUAAUGUAAUAUAUCUUUUGUCCAAAUAUAAUAAUUCCAACUUCACACAAGUUAAACAAAUUCAUUUAUGAUUAAGUGGUUAAUGCCUUUGGGGAAAAAAAUAACUUAGUUUAGUUAGAUAAAAUAUUUUUAUAUUUAUUAAAUUAUUUUUAAUUCAUAAACGAAUUAUCGGGUCAACCUCUCGGUGACCUGAAUUCAACUUUCUUUUUUUUUUUUCGGGUUCAUUAGGUUUGACUCGAUUCUGACCCCAACUCGUGUUAUCUCAACCCAAAUCCAUUAAUUUCGUGUUAAGUUUGUGUCAUGUUUUCAAAUUAUGUCGAAAAUUGCCGCCUCUACUUGCACCACAAAGUAAACUUCUUGCCUCAUUGAUGAGCAUGUCAUGACCUGUCGUCUAUUUGUCUCUUACCCAACACUAGUUCCCGUGUGGACAUAAAAUCUGGAUAAAGCGCAUAGGUAUGAUAUAUACUGACUUAAUAAUAGAAACGACAAUUGGAAUUAAGUGCGACUAACUAACUAACUGAACGUUCGAUUGUUGUGCUUUUUAUUGAAUAUAAUGUACAUUUAUAUAAUUAUAAAUUUGAUCGUACUCAUGAAUUUUAUUAAUGUACAUGUCAUUUCACGAGAACACACGUUCCACCGUUCACGUGUCGCUCCGAGUGCCGCCGGGCACUCUUCGCUUCUCAAUCCAAUAGCCACUAUUCAUGCUGGUAGGGCCGCGCUCUUCCGAGUGGCCAGUGGCCUUCGGCCACGUGGCAAAAAAAUACAGCAGUCCACCAGGAUGAACAGUGGCUAUUGGGUUGAGCAGUAAACAAUGUCCGGCGAUGCUCGGACCGACACGUGGACGGUGAAAGGAGAAGAUCAGUUGUAUAUAGAAAAAGUAGACUGAUGAGAAUGAUUCCAACUCCACCGGGAAGCGGUAGAUAUAUAUAUAUAUAUAUGAUUGGUCUGUAAAUGCAAACGAAAUUGCGAAGAAAUACAAUAACUAAUCAAAAAAAAAUUGCACUAAACUCAACUAGACCCCGACUUGUACGAUUGUAGUAAUUCCCUGUAACAUAUGCAUUUCUUUGUUGGAUACAUUAUUAUCCCCACUUCUGCUUCUCUGCUAGUAGCAAGUCCAAGUGCCCAAUUUAUUUAUCAUGAUAUGCAGAAUGUUUUUCAAUGCAUUCAAUCAAAUCUCACGAUAUUGCAGUUAAUGAAUGAAUGUAGGCUCUCAACUUGUCUAGCACGUAGCUCUUCAAUCAACCAAGAAGGAUGCAUCCAGCCUGGUUUGUCUAGACAGGCAGGCUGAGCUUAAUGCAUCUUCUCCUCUUCUCAACUACCCAAAUCAGUAAGUAGGAUAACUAUAACCUUCAUUUUCAGGUUGACAAAAUGAUUUCAAAAAGUCAACUUUGCAUGUAGGAAUGUCCUUUCAAUGCCUACUUCUCAAUUUUGACCAACGAAAGGGUCAAUUGCGCCUGCUGUCCCAGAGAAAAUGACAGGUUCAGGGAGGGAGAGACCCUUAUCCCUUCCGGAAGCUGUCUAGGUCCUACAAAGUACAAAGAGAUCGACAGCUACAUUAGGCCAAUAGCAAUACGGGGGCUGCAAAGAGGGAGACAAGAAAGUUCGAUAUUUUGGCAGAAUAUGCAGAUUCCAGACACAAACAAAAAUCCCAUCUUUAGAGAAGGUUCUCAUUUAGCAGCGAAACAGAUUUGCAGCUGUUCAAGGAAGAGUUAAAAGAUUAAUUUCUUGUUUUUUGGACGCAUCACACAUGGGAGUCUGCAGGAACUUGAGUUUCCUACUCCUUUUUCUGAGCUUGCUGCAGUUUCUUCAUCAUUCAUCCUCACAUCCUUUAUGCAUAGAUUCAAGUAUGUCAUGCUAGUAAUUCACUCUUCUGUUGAGCUGGAUUGAGUUUGUUCAGUUCUAAGAUGAUUUUGUUUGUUUCUUCUUCUGGUGUGGAAUGGAAUAGGUGCGCCCCUUCCUCAGAAGGUUCCUCUGUCAUUCUGCUCUUACAAUGGAACAUCAUGCUGCAAUUCUACUGAUGAUUCGCAAAUAAAGAAUCAAUUCAAAGCAAUGAACAUUUCUGACUCUAGCUGUGCUUCCCUUCUCAAAUCCAUCCUUUGUGCGGUAAGAACAUGUAUUAUUGCUCUUAGGAAUUUAAGCCAAUGCCUUGCUAUCAUUUACUUCCUCUCAAAAGCGGGAUUUCUUAUCAUAUUGAAUUGACCAACCACAUCGAGAUUUAAGAUUCUGUUCUUAAACCAAAAAUACUGCUAUUGCUCGAAGCCAAGAGUUCGAACCUCAUAGGCUAUGCGAGCUGUUUCAGUAACAGUAAAUCGAUGAGUCUCUACAUUUAUUCUGUACUUUGUUUUUCUUGUUAUUGCUGAUCUUACAAGGAACAAUUUCUCGGGAUUGCAGCAGCUGAUUGAUAUGUUUUAGUUUGAGUCUUGUCUGUAAAUUUCUAUUAAAUAAUCUUGAAAUUUUUAGAGUUGCCAUUCUUUGAAGUUGUCUUGUUUAUCAUACUUGAUGCAGUUCAUGGAGAGAUAUUGUUGUCUUAUCUUAAUUUGCAUGCUUUUUCCCCUUAAAAGCCUUUAAGUCUUGUUCGCAGACAAAUUAGGACAAAAACACAAAUUUCCAGUUAAAGCGAUAUGCAAAUAAUAAGAAUAGGUUCAUCUUAGAAUUCCCAAGUUCUAUAUGCUUACCUUUUUCAUUAACGUUCUUCUAUACUCGGUAAAUUGUGGUAUCUCCAUCAUUUACAGAGAUGUGAUCAAUUUUCAGCAGAGUUAUUUAGGAUCAACUCCAGGCCUCAACAAGUUCCUGUGCUUUGCAACUCCACGGUCUUACCAAAUUCUACCCAAACAAGCCAAGCAGCAAAUAACUAUUGCUCUAAACUAUGGACUACAUGUCAGAAUGUGUCCAUGGUGAAUUCACCCUUUUCUGCCUCUGUACAAGGUCAAGCUGGAGGUGGAGUAAUGUCCAACUCUACAAAGUUGACUGAUAUUUGGAAGUCGCAAUCAGACUUCUGCAAUGCUUUUGGUAGAGCUUCUGAUGAAAAUUCAGUAUGCUUUGCUGGUGAACCUGUAAACCUUAAUAGUACCGGAACGUCAAUCCCUCCAAGUGGUUUGUGCCUUGAAAAAAUUGGAAAUGGUUCAUAUCUAAACAUGGUUGCUCAUCCAGACGGCUCCAACCGUGCUUUUUUCUCAAACCAACCAGGCAUGAUUUGGUUGGCCACCAUACCCAAACAGGGUUCAGGAGGUGUAAUGCAGCUUGAUGAGGCCAAUCCCUUUCUAGAUUUAACUGACGAAGUUACCUUUGAUACUGCAUUUGGGAUGAUGGGCAUUGCAGUUCAUCCAAACUUCUUAACAAAUGGACGAUUCUUUGCUUCGUUCAAUUGUGAUAAGACAAAGUGGCCUGCUUGUGGAGGGAGAUGUGCUUGUAACUCGGAUGUGAACUGUGAUGCUUCACAACUACCUCCUGAUAGUGGCUCCUUUCCAUGCCAAUAUCAAAGUGUAGUAGCAGAGUUUACAGUUAAUGGUACCGCAUCCCAGCCCUCCUUGGUAUGUCUCAAACAGAACUAUGCUUUCUGCCCAUUACACAUCUCCUCCAUAAUUUAACUAGAUUUCAUGCUUCUUAUUUUUUACAGGCAAAAACUGCCCAACCAUCAGAAGUUAGAAGGAUAUUUACCAUGGGUCUUCCCUUUACGGCCCAUCAUGCAGGCCAGAUUCUUUUUGGGCCAACAGAUGGAUAUUUGUACUUCAUGAUGGGGGAUGGUGGAAAUUCAGGCGAUCCAUACAAUUUUUCACAAAACAAGAAAUCCCUACUCGGGAAAAUCAUGCGGCUUGAUGUUGAUAACAUACCAAGUAAGUUGUUAUGAUACAAUUUCCACAUGUUACUUAGUUCAUCAAGAUCAACCAUUAGGAUAUCCUGCAUUGGAGUUUUCUUCAGACAAGAUAAAUCAGUUUUUCACAGUUGCACAUGCUCCAUAUCUAAAUUGCUAGCCAAAGAGCAUCUACCAUGUCAAUUGGUCCAAUUACAACAACUUAAGAGGAUCAAUCAUUUUCUUACUGCGAAGUGCUAGUCCCAGGUCUGAUACUAAUGUCUUAAUAGCAGACUUGUUAUGUUUGGUUGUUACCAGAAGUUUUAUCUGCUAUGUUCUUCCCUAUACAUUUGCAGAAACAACAUGGUACCACUAGUCAUGAUUAUUUUUUAACUUUUGCUUCUUCUUCUUCCCUCAUAAUCAAUUAUUAACAUUUACUGGCUGUGCAAGCUUAAACAAUAUGCCUACAUCCGUAGCAUGUACAGGUAAUGAGCACACCCACCAGUCAAAAUUUUCAUAAGCCCUCUUGUAACUUAGAAAUUACUAAUGCAUGCUUCAAUAGCACACCUUAACAUCUACAGCAUGUUUGCCUACCAGUCAGAAUUUAGACCCCGAAGCUUUUCCUUCCUAUUUGGCUGUUUUUUGGCAUUCUCAGGUUGUAUAGAUUUUUUUUUCAAUUAAUUCAUUUGCCUUCAAAAGCAUCACAAUCUUUUUAAUUUAAGUUGCUAUUUAGUAUUCUUCUAUACUCAGCCUUUGAUGCUUCAAUAAGAACAUUUAGAAUAGAAGGCAAUACCUGAUUACUGCCUCCCUUCAAUCAUAUCCUUUUGCUGUGCAUCAGGUGCCGCAGAAAUCAGUCAGCUUUCUCUAUGGGGAAACUACUCAAUCCCCAAAGAUAAUCCUUACACUGAAGAUAAAGAAUUGCAACCAGAAAUUUGGGCCCUAGGCUUCAGAAAUCCUUGGCGUUGUAGUUUUGAUUCUGUGAGGCCUUCUUAUUUCAUGUGUGCUGAUGUAGGCCAGGUAUUGUCGAUUCUCAGAAGAAAAAAUCUGGAAUUCUAUGUUUGCUCUACAUUGUCAAGGGUACCUACAAAUCCUGUUUGUGCUAUGUGAUGCACAAUGGUGCAUCUUUCCAAACUUCUUAUUCAACCUUGAGUGAAGAAUAAUAUGAAAACUUUUUUCCACCAUACUGAUGUUAAUCAACAUCUAACUGAUUAAACUUACCCUUAUGUCACUUGGAUUUAUACUUUCCCGUUAUAAAAAUUUUUGUAUAUUAGAACCUACGACACUAAGUAAGAAACCAAGAAGCUAAGAUUGCUGCAGGGUGUUAUCAUUUCUGACUUCUAUCAGGUAAAGCAUUUCUUUUAUUUUCAUUGAAUCUAUGCUUAUUCAACUGCUGAUGCCUUCUGCAAAUUGAUUAAGAGAUCAUAUCGAAAAAACUUGGUGGAAACAUAUUGAUGAGCUAUCAGUCAUAUUCUAUAUCAACGUAUCACGUAAUGAUCCUGGUUUUGAGCCGGUCAACUUUGAAUUGAUAUUUAUACGUUCUUCAAUGCUUGAGAUAUUAACAGCUUGGUGUUUGGAUAUAAAGCAUUGGAAGCUUAUUACUAUACAUUACUUCUUUCAUAUCAGGAUACGUAUGAAGAAGUGGAUCUGGUCAUGAAGAACGGAAACUAUGGAUGGCAUGUGUAUGAGGGCCCUAAUCUUUUCAAUCCUCCAAAAUCACCUGGAGGAAAUACAUCAGCAAAAUCUAUGAACCCCAUUUUCCCCGUGAUGGGAUACAACCACUCAGCUGUGAACAAGAAUGAGGGCUCAGCAUCAAUCACAGGAGGAUAUUUCUACCGAGCAGAGACUGAUCCUUGCACAUACGGAAUGUAAGUAUGUCAAAUUUGUCUUGGAAAGAUGAAUAUAUAUUUGAAAUCAGCACAUUGAGAGAGUAAAAGGAACAAAGAGUUCAGUAUGACAUGGUUGAUGCAGAAUUUGCAAUCACAGAGGGGAGUUUGAAUUGUUGUUAGUACAAUCUCCUCAUGGAAUACUCUCUUAUCAAUUGGCUUCUUAUGAUGAUUUUGAUGUUACUGCAGGUAUCUGUAUGCAGAUCUUUAUGCAGGAGCUCUGUGGGCUGGCAUUGAAAGCCCUGAAAACAGUGGGAACUUUACCUCCAACCUGAUCCCCUUUACUUGUGCUCAUGAUUCACCUAUAAGUUGCACCUUUGUACCUGGAAGUACACUUCCGGCAUUGGGAUACAUCUAUUCCUUUGGUGAGGAUAACAGCAAGGAUGUUUAUAUCCUUGCAAGCAGUGGUGUCUACAGGGUUGUUCCUCCAAGUCGGUGUAAGUACACUUGUUCAAAAGAAAAUACCACAGCUGAGGUGACUACUGGUCCUGCUCCAUCCCCUCCUUCGGGUGCAACCAAGUUAACCAAUCCAUAUGUGAAUUUGGUGUCCUUACUUGUAUCCCUUUGGUUGCUUUGCUUAUUAUAGCAUAUUUGCAGUCAUCUUUUGUGUUACGUGGAGAGAUGAGUUGGGCUGCUUUUUGGUUUGAGAGGACUUGUGAUUCUUCUUUGAUUAAUCUGUGUUCUUGCUUUUGGGAUGAUUCAUUUUUCUGAGUUUGAUUGGAAUUAAGUUAUUCUAUGAGGUUCAAAGCCCAAUCCUUUCAAGAGUAAAGAUUCAUUAUAGUAAAGGUUCUAGUCACUUAAAACAAAAUUUUCAUGUAAUGGUUCUAGUAGAAUAAAUUGUUGAAGAUUCACAAAGCUGGAUAUCCAGAACUAAUAUCUUGAGACGCAUAUGUUCAAGAUGUUAUAGUGUAUAAAAAAAAAUCCUUACAAUAUCAAUCAACACAAUGUGUUGCCAAAACCUUGUUUUACUUGUUCUAACUUCUAAUGAGCAAUUCAACCGGUGAGAGUCCUCCCCCGCCCCAAUUCCUGUGCUGCCUCAGAUGAGGCUAGAAGCCUCAAACUUGCAUGGUAUCAUUGUCAAUUUUUUCCUCCAUUAGCAAGGCAGUAAGAGGGACGAAUUAAACCAAUCAAACAAAAACAAGAAGAAUGAGCAACAAAGUAAUCUUGUCAUUUCUCCAACAGAGUUAUCAAAAUUGACAGAAGAAACAGUCUUUUCAGAUAGACCUGCAGAGUUGUAUGGAGCUGUCAAAAAAAAAAAAGCAAGAAAAAGAAAACUACUGAAGAAGUACCUGAAGUAGCAUAUGCGCGUACUUGUUUACCAAGUGCUGACAAAGAUUAAAAAAAUAAGAAAGGGAAUUGCGGAUUCACCUUUGAGAAGCAAAUUGCAACCUACAUUAGUGCUAUUACGACAAGAGUUGUCAGGCCAUGAUGACAUUGAAGUUGCAGUUUCUAGUGUUGCAGAGAGAUGAUACCUGCUUUGGUAGCUUGCUUAAAUUGAAUUUACUAGCAGCUAGCAAAAUAGGUGCCAUCUCUUCUGCGACAUCAGAACUCAAACUCUUCCUUACCUCAUCUAGAUUUCCCUCAAGUAGAAACAGUACUGCUAAACAGCUACAAAUUGGAUUAUGCUCCCUUCCCUCUUCCCUUCUGGUGUACCUUUAUAAUUUCCUUGUUCUGCUUCUUUUGUUUCUGCAUCUUCCGUUUUAGGACAUAAGCAACCUCUUGUCCUUGUCCUGAAGGCUGAAACACGAACGACAGCUGGCUAGCCCAACCUGGUAAAGAGAAACUUUUUCAAUUUGAAUAUUGAAAAGGGGGGCAAAUCAAUUGAGCAUGCUGGCUGGCUACAGUGUCAACACUUUUGUACGGAACGAUACCCAUGCAGGAAAUCUUGUUUUAACUACUACUUCACAAAAAAAGAAAAUUAGGAAAGAUAUGUUUCAGGAGAGGCAUCUGAAGCAAUACAAGACUAAAGUUACUGCAAUGAUCAUAUGCAGAAUGGAGUACAGAGAGAGGUAGCUUUUGAGUUGAGAAUGAUGGAACGAAAAUGGCACUUGGAAAAAGUUAGGAGCCACUAAAAAUGUGGGUUGCUUUAACUGAAGCAUGCUAAUCAUACUCAUGCAACAGUUCCAACCAGAUAAAAGUAGUACCACGUAUCCCAAAAGAACAAUUAUUAUUAUUGUCUGUUCACUGUUUGCAAUUUGCAUAAAGAGAAUAUUGCACCUUUAUGAGUUCUUGCCUGAAUUUUUUUCUUUUUCAACUUAUGUAUUAUCGGCUUCUAAUUUUUGUUUCUUUUUUAUUCUUUUAUAAGGUUCUCAGAAGUGUAUAAACUCCUGUAUGAUGUUCCCAAGUUCAAUGUAAAACAGCAUGAACAGAUGGAGGGAAUGAUGAGGAAAUCAUGUUGUAUAGUACAUAACAGGUUAUACCAUAAAUAGACAAGAAAUCUUUCACGCCCAACAGGCAACAAACCAUGCAACCCAAAUUUGGCAAUUUGCCUCGCAUCCAACUUGUGAAAUACACUAGUCAGCCAGUCAUGGCUCUCUUAAGCAUCCAACAAUAAUGGGAAGUUCCAGGGUCCUAAUAUCUUGAAGGGUUUGACUAAUUAAUAACUUUUACACUUCACAAACUUGGAUAAGAACUCCAUGAGAUGAAAUUUUCUCCAAGCAAGCAAAUAGUAGUGAAUCAUUCAUCUCAAUUUGUCAUUCAUUCAAAGCCCACGUAUUAACUUCUUCUAGGGUUAUUAUAGACACAAAAGGUAGGAAAUGAUAUAUCUUUUAUUUGUGAAAUCGUACAAGUAUAUCUACAUGUAAAAAUUUAUUAUGAUCUUCUACACUUUUACAUAAUUAAACCUAUUACUCUAAUGGCUCAGCUACACUAACCCCAUUCAGAUAAUCGAGAGUUUGUCUCACAAAACUAACAGCAACCACUACAAUUAAUUUUUCACCGAGGAUUAAUAAAAGGCUUUUCUAAUGGUUUAACUUAGCAUAUUAUGUUAAUAGUUGAUUUAUCACUAUGUGGUUAAAGACUUGAGAGACUGAGAAUGUCAGUGGGAGCUUUAAGUCGGCAAGAUUCGGACUGUUGCAUAAUAUAUAUAUAUAUAUAUAUAUAUAGAGAGAGAGAGAGAGAGAGAGAGAGAGCAAUGCUACUCUAACUGAAAUGGGCUCCAAUUGUUGGCCAUCUUAGUUAUGCAAGGCUUUUGUUGUUUCUUGUGAAGUGACCCAACAACUUGCACAGAGUCUUGAAUUUGUGUCGAGCUUGGAGCGUAGUGGGACGUUUCUACAUAUCUAGCAGAUGCCCUACUCCUACUUAGGAUGAAAUUGGGCGUUGCCCAACCGUGGGCCUUUACUGGAAACUCUCAUUGCUUCAAUCUUCGAAAAAAUGACAGGAAAUAGUUAGUUUACUACAUGUUAACAGUCCAAAUCGUGCCGUAUCAUUUCAAACAAUUCAAGUCGUUCAUUUUAAUUCCUUUAAUUUUGAUGUAAAUAAUCUAGGUAGACCGAGUCGCUUGGUUUCUUUCAAGAUUGACACUAUUGGACGAUUGCACCUGCAAUCACACAUGCCUCCUAUACUUCAUCAAGCAAAAACAUUUUUGUAGUUGUUAUCAACUAACUAUGAUCCCGUUUGAAACCUAAGUUUUUCAGAAGUUUGUCUAAAAUUUUACUGUAGUGCACUAUAGAAGUUUUUGAAAAAAUUUUUUAAGAUGAAAAACUUUUUUUUCUUUCUUUCCUUUUUCUUUUCUUUUCUUUCCUCUUCUUCUUCUUUUUCUUCUUCCUUCCCUCUAUCCCUUCCCUCCCCCGUUAACCUUUGCCUCCGACGAACCAGCAACCAGGGUCCUACCAUAUUUUUUUCUUUCGUUUUCUCUUUCUCUUUCUUUUUCUUUCUUUUCUUUCCUUCUCUUUUUCUUCCUCCUUCCCCCUGGCCUUUCCCUCCUCCGUUACCUCUGCCUCCGAUGAACCAGCAGCCUUGUUCAAAAUUUUUUUUUUCUUUUUCUCUUUCUCUCUGCUCCCCUCUCCCCCUCUACUCCGCUUCACCUUCCUCCUCUCCCACUCGAAGUUAGAGAACCAGCAGCCAUGGCACGCACAAUUUUUUUUUCUCUCCCCAUCUUCUCCUCCUCUUUUCCAUCUCCCUUUUUGUGCAAUGGGUUAUUAGAUUGGGUUCAGGACCGUCGGCGAAAGUUAGUUGCCGCGGGUUGCGUCGGCGGUACGUGGCUACCGUGGGUUGCGUCGGCAAUCGUGGCUGCUGUGGGUUGCGAGGAAGAGAGAAUGGAGGAAGCGAUGGGUGGCAUGCGGUGAGGGUUGGACAACGAGUGUUGGUGGCCGAGGGUUGGCGGCGACUGUUCAACGUUGGUGGGGAGGGUGGCCAGGAAGGGGAAGGGGAGAAGAGGGGGAGAGGGGAGGGAAGGAGAGGAAGAGGGGGAGAGGGAGAGGGAGAAAGGAAGAAAAAAAAAAAGAGGAAUGCCGGCACCAGAAUAGGUGGCGGCGGCGAUGGCCGGCGGCGGAGGUGGUGGCCGGCGAUGAUGGUGUGGUGGAUUGGGACAGGGGAGAAAGAAGAAGGAAAUAGAAAGUUUUUUGUGUAUUAGAUAUUUUGAAGUGUGUAGGUUAAAAAAUUUGAUAAGUUUUUUUGAGUUUCUGUAGCAAAAGUUGUUAAAAACUAGUAGCAAAAAAACUUGGUAAAAAACUAGACUUCCAAACAGGCCCUAUUGUUUGGAUAGUCUAUAUUGGCAACACAUUUUUUUUGCUAAAACAUACAUCUACCAGUAAUCCUUCCUAAACACCUCAAAAUAAUUUGAAAUACAAAAAAAGUCACACACACAAAAACUACACCUACAACACCCUCAUUACCAACCACCCUUAUCAUCCUCCACUUUUUCCUAUCACUCUUCAUUUUUCUUCUCACCCAACCGCUCCUUUUUUUUUGCCAAAAAUGGUAAUUGUCAUUUCACUAAAAAACUUGUUACAAAAUUCAGAUCAACUGCUUUGUCCUGUCUUUCUUGGCUGACAUAUUGAGCCAAGUUGGGAAGUCUCUUUCCCAGGUUACAUUAGUGAUCAAGUUCAUGGCGAAUUUUGCCAACAUAUGACUAACUACAUUGCCUAUUCUUCUAAUGAAAGAAAAAUGACAAACAUCAAACUCGUUCCAUAGCUUUAUAAUAUCCUCCAAAACUGUAGCACAGUUGACAUCCUCAACUGAGUCUUCUUGUAGCUUCCCUAUUAUAGUUUUGCAAUUUGACUGGAUCUCUAUUUCCUUCCAUCCUUUCUGUUUUGCUUUUAUCAAAGCCAUUUGUAUGGCUAGUGCUUUCUCCACCACUAGUACUGAGAGAUAUUUGUUUGGCAUUGCCCAUGCCAUGAUGAGCUUUCUCUCAAAAUUUCUAGCUACUAUACCCCAUCCAACUUUUUCUUUUGAUUUUUGUACUAUUGCAUCAAUGUUAAUUCUUGUGCAUCUUUCCCUUGAUGGUAUCCACCUUUUAUCUUCUUCCUUUAUUUCACUACACUCUUCUUGAUCCAUUGUAUCUGAUUGCACUUCCUUAUACUCUAGCCAUUCUGAUAAAGCUUUAUUGAUUUGAGCUAUUGGUUGCUUCUUUAGUGUGUUAAACUGGAACUCAUUUUUUGCCUUCCAAAUCUGCCAUGGUAUGUUGAUUGUUAAGGCAAUAUGAUCAUACCCAUCUUUUCUCUGAGUUACCGCUAUAAGUUCAUUCCACCAGUGCCAGAAGUUGUCUCUGUGCUUUUCCAGUCCAUCCCAUCUUAUUGGAGUACAUUUUUAUAUUGCCUCUGCAUUUUCACAGUAGAAAAGCAUGUGCUCCAAUGUUUCCACUUGGUUGCCACAACAUUUGCACAUUGGUUCUCCUCUUCCUGUUCUGGUCUUGAUUACUCCAUUUAUAGGUAGGAUUCCUUUUAGGCAUUUCCAUAUAAAGUGGUUCAACUUGUGUUUUACAUUCAUUCCCCCACAGAGUUUUCCAUAUUCCUGUUUGAUUCUCAUUUCUACUGUUGUCCCCACUUCUGGUAUUUCUUUUCCCCUUAUUUCUCUUUAGUUCCUUGGCCACCAUAUAUACUAUGUAUACUCAAAUUGUUGAGUGAGCCCAAUAGAUCUCAUCUUUUUUUCUCCCUUGCUCAUCUAGAUCAGAUUGGGACUAGGGGUGUGCAAAAUCGAAAAAUUCUGAUUUACCGAUCGAAUUCGAAUUGAAUUCAAAAUUUUCGAAAUCGGUAAAUCGAAAAUCGGAAUCGAAUUCGGGUUUUCCGAAUUCAUAUAUUGCAAAUUUGGUUCUUAUUCGGUAAUGGAGUUUUUCAAAUCGGAAUUUCCGAUUUCAAAUUCACAAUUCGAAAUCGGAAUUCGAAUUUCGAUUUCGAUUUCAAAUUCGUUUUUAAUAUAUAAAUAUUUUUUUUAUACACGUAAUAUAAAAUUUAUACUAUAUAAUAUUAUAUAAAAUUUAUAUAAUAUUAUAAAUUUUAUCUUAUAUGAUAAAUUUUGUAUUAUAUAAUAAUAUAGAAAUUUUUUCGAAUUCGGUGAAAUCGGAAUUUACCGAAUUCGAAAUCGAAUUCGGUCGAAUUAUCAGACACUAAAAUUUCAAAAAAUUUUGAAUUCAAACUUUCGAAUUAUCAAUUUCGAAUUCGAUGCACACUUGUAAUUGGGACUAGGCAGAGGGAGAUCAGGAUAGAGGGAAGAGAGAAAGGGAAGAGAUAAGAGGGAAAGAAGAGCAGAGCAAGGGAAAAUAUAAGAAAAAGAAGAAGGAUGUAGUGGAAAAUAGAGAGGAAGAGGAGGUGAGGAAUGAAUGAAGAAAAUUGGUAGAUGAAAAGAGAAAAAGAAAGAUGGCAGGGAAGAAAAGAGGGGGCGAGAGAGAGAGAGAGAGAGGUGGAGGGCAUAAAAGUCAUUUUCUAUCAUUUCUGAAAACACACUCUAAAAGCAUGUUAAAAAAACUCCUAAAAAAUAAGAGUAAAUUUUAUAUGCACUGACGGUGUAUAUACACUAUCACAGUUGAAUAUAUAACACAUAUGCAAAAUUUGAAUUUCAAAUUCAAAUUCAGAUUAUGUGUCAUGCAUCUAAUAGUAAAAGCGUAUAUACUGUUAGUAUGUAAAAGAUUAAUCCAAAAAAUAAAGUCAAAAAUUUUAUUAAAACACACAUCUAUCCUUAAAGUUUAAUAAGAACGUCCUUAAAACACUUAAUUUAAACGGGCCUUAUGUUUUUUAAUAUGGGAAAAAUAUAUGUUUGGCUUUCAAACUAUUAAGUUUGUCAAACUUUUAGUAGUCCAACUAUUAUUUACAAAUUUUUAUUCCUUCAAUUUCUAAAAAUGUGUACUUCUAACCCUUCUAUUCAUUUGAACUGUUAAAACCCAUGAAAACUGUAUUACGCACAAUACACCAGCAAAAAAAUUGAAAGUCUAGUAAAUUAACAUAGUAAAAGGAAUGGUCCAAAAUUGAGUGGUUUUUAAUUCAAUGUAAAUAUGAUCAAAUAAAUUAUAUUUUGCAAUAACCAUGGUAUAAGAAGUUGAAUAGUAUAAAAUAUUAUAGAAUUUGACACCAAAUGAAUCUUAAGAUGGCCAAAAUGAUCGUGAGAGUGCUAAGUUAUGUUGAGAAAAAUUUUGAGGAUUUUGUGUCAAAAUUUUGUCAAUUUGAACUCUUAUCACUCCAGGAAAUAUUUUGAUAUAAAGUUUGAAAGAUUUGAUAAAGGACUUGUGGAGUAGUGGUAAAACUACAUUUGAUUUUAGAUCUACUCAUUUCUAUCAAGAUUUAGAGAAAACCAAACCCAGAUUUGGAACGUAUGCCAAAAAAUAUAGUCUAAAGAUAUAAUUUCAUUUAUAAAUUUUGACAAUAGUAAAAUAGUUGUCAAACAUUGGUUAAUGACAAUCAAUGACUAUUGACCAACAACUGGUAAUUGUAACUGUGACCGGACAUGAUUGGUCAAAAAAUGAUUCAAACUAUGUCUGUGUUAUAAGUUGGAAGACUAAAAAUAUACAAAUAAUAAUUGGACUAAAAGUGUAUAAAUUUAAUAGUUUGAGAACCAACAGAUAUUUUGCCCUAUUAAUAUAUAUAUAUAUAUAUAUAUAUUUCUAUAGUAACAAAACCUAAAAAUAUCUUACAACACUUUCAAAAUAUUUCAAAAACGAUUAGGGAUAACUAUGGCUCUGAUGGAUUCUAAGUUUUUGGAAAAUCUUAUAUUUCAAAUACAAUUCUACAAUAACAUUAAUUCAAAAACACUCCAAAAUAACCUAAAAACUCCCAGGUACAACUCACUUUAUAUUGAUAAAAAGAAUAAAAAUAAAAAUAAUAUAUCACCACCCAUUUCUUCCUCCACCACUACUCUCAUCUCUUACCGCUACUACUCUCAACUUUUCACUACCAUCACCCACAUUUUACCAUUUUCCUCAAUUACCACUUCUUUUCCUCUUCUCACUCAUCCCCCUCUUCCGUACCUCUCCUCUCCCCAUAUGCGAGUAUAUUUGAUUGUAGAGAGGGAGCGAAAGAGAUGCGGUGAGAGAAAGGGAGGAAGAAGGGAUGGAAAGGAAAAGAGGAAGAAAAAUGAAAGGAAGAAGGGAGAGAGAGAAAGAGUAAGCAAAGAGAGGGGCAAGAAAAAGAGGAAAGAAAGAAGAUAAUGAGGGUAAGAGUACGGGAGAGGAAAAUAAGGGAAAAGAGAAAGAGGGAAAGAGAAGAGAAAGAUGGAAAAUAAUAGAGAAAGAAAGAUAGAAAUGGGAAAGAUAUGUGACAACCUCACCUUCCCCUGAGGCGAACCAAAGGGGUUAGCGGACUGCCUGCCCAACUCUCGCCAGGACUAACGGAUCAGUUUACGUCGAUCUAAUACGUUCCGGAACAUACUAACGCGCGCAAACAAGUACAAAAUCACAAAAUAAAAAAACGAAAAUCGAAACCGACAAUGAACAGUACCGGCCACGUCAGAAUCCGGCCGGAAUCUGGCCGGAUUUCCGGCCGGAUACUGGGCCGAGAGCAACCAAGAAAAUUUCUUUUUUCCCCCGCAAUCCGGCCGGCAAUCCGGCCUGUUUCUGGCCGGAUUCCUGGCCGGAUUGGGCCCUGUUCAUUCCGGCCAAAAUUUUUUCCUUUGCCAUUUGAAAUACGAAUUGAUCCGGAGUUCAACCAAACAUCCACCAAACAUAUAUAUACAUUGAAAUUUAACAUUUACAACCAAAUGGCAUGCCAAAAACCAUUCAUCAUGGAUAUACAUGUUCGGUUUGCCAAUCAAAAGAAAAUGAACCCAAUACACAUUAGGGUUUCAUUCAACAAGCUAAACAAAAGCCAUUUACACUAGCUCAACUUGGCAAUCGACUAUCCAAUCCAAUCCCAAAAGUAAUUAUAUCCCUGUAAGGAAAACAAAUGGAACGGGAUGAGCUUAAGCCCAGUGAUGUACUACCACAUAAGCAACAAAGAUCACUUAAGCAUAUCCUUUCAUUUCAAGUACACAAUUAAGGAAUAAAACAAAUCAGUAAAAGGAUACGGACGGCUCUCAAGAGCCCAUUUCCACGCUUACAUUCUUGAUCCAACCUCAUUGACCCUCCGUCAAUGUUUAAGAAUACCAACCGUAGAACCCACUUCACUUCCAUUCCUUCUACCCAACAUACCCCAACCGGGCCCGCACUCCAGACAGUAGCUUUUGGUGAUACUCGAGUACACCGGAAACAAGGGUCUCAUUACCACAAGAUUCCCAUUUCAGUCCCCGUGGCUAGUCAAUUUUCACGACCAAACCCUCGCUGGCUCGAUUCAAUUGACUACCAACGAGGUCGAACUCAGUAAUACAGUAGGGCCGUUGGAUACUUGUCCAGCCGACACCCAAACAGUUUCCCAUGAAUGGCAUUCAAUAUCUCAUAUAGCAAGUGCAGUAUUACAGUGAAACGAUAAGCAGUCAUUAACAGGAUAAAAGGGAUGAGGGCGGUCAAGUACACCCUCACCUUAAUCAUAUCCAAUAGCCAAAUAAGCCUUCAAGGCAUCACAAUCACAUAUAGCAAAGCCACAUUAUAAACAUUCAAGUGAGUAGUAUACUCACCAAUCAAGUAAAUGAUGUUUCAUGCACCGUCGUCAAAGGUACGUCGUGAACCACCGUCACGCCCUAGAACACAUAAAUGAGUACAAUGAGACUCGAUAACGAGUCAUAAAGCAAUACCAAUCACAACCCCAAUAGGGUUUCAUAAGCAUAUAUAAGCAUUAUAAGAAACCAGAAAAUCAGGAAAUGGGACUAACUAGCCCUGAAUAAAACAGUGUUUGACCUCAUUUUUGCGGGAAUGGCACUAAGGUCACUACGGUUGUCGGAUGAAAGUGUAAGACCCACCGUUUCGAAGCUAAGAAACAGGGCUACAACAAUGUAGAAGGUCACUCAGUCCAAUUCCUAGCAUAACUAGGUCAAAUACGCAAGAAACUAAACCAGAACCGCAAUAACAGGUUUGCAAACUACAUUCUGCUGUAAUCAGUACAACUCAGUAUAUACAGGUCCAAAUUCAGAAAUUCUAAAGGCAUAUGGUAGCUAGGACAUCCAGCUACAUUUAAUCAGAAGACCUCAACAACCAAAUCCAAAGCAAUUCCAGCCAAAACAACUAAUUUCAGACGCAGUUCUUACAUUCGGAUGAAUCCAGAACAUCAAUAGUAAUUUUGACUUUUCUCACUCUACACUACUCCGAUUGACUUGAAAUUUUACAAGCACCUCUAACACAUCAAUACCUACAACUUUCAUGUUUUAAGUUAAGGCCAAUUCAGCCUCUAACCAUGAGAUAUAAAACUGGUCAGAAAUGAGGGGUAUGAAACCCUAACUUUCCAAAUUUCCUUCCAAACCCAAAGUUGCUUGCAAUUAACAAUCAUUUACACCUACUAGCCUCAUUCUAGGCCAUUGCCAAUUAUCAUACAAGGCCACACCAUCACAUUCAUAUAUAAACAGAAAAAUCACCAAUAAAUGGAAAAGGUCACCAAUUCAUCCAAAAUCAGGAAAUAAACCACAAAAUUCAUCACUUUAACUAUCACUAGGCACAAAUUAAGCUUCAUUAAGUGAAGGAGGUAGUUCAAUCACCACUCACCUAGCAAACAAGAGAGGGAGAGUUGCUUGACACCUUAGCUUCCCCAAACACUUCACCAAACAACUUACUAACACCAAAUAAAGAGGUUUUAUGAAGUAGAAACAAGUUUAGAUGGUUGAGUUAUUGGAUUGGAGCAAGAGGAAUUCAAGAAGUUGAAGAGGUUUUCUUCCUUUCUUCCUUAAGGUUGGCCGGCCACAAGAGCUUGAAAAUGAAGCAAAUUUUGGUAAAUUUUGAGAUAUUUAAUCAAAUGGUAAAACAUAGAAUAGUAAGUCAAAAGUUACAUCCACUCACAAGGUGACACUUGUCUCUUCCAUAAAUGCAUCUCUAUCCUUUUAUUUCCUCUCACAUCAAUCACAUCUCAACCUCUACUUAUCUCUUAACACCAGAUAAAUUUCACACAUUAUCCGAAACUUAACCUAAUCGGCCGAAUUUUUUCGAACUUUUCGCACUAGCGGGUCUCACGUCCGUUAUUUAUUCUUAAUUUUUCAAAAACUAUCCAAUACUAGAAAAAUCAUCUGAAAACUAUAAUUACUCAUAAAAUUCACCAGGAAAAUUUUCUUAAGCAAGAAAAUACAGAAAACAUGCCAUUAAAGGAGAAAAAUCCUAGGAAAAUUAUUAUGAGGAAUUACGGGUUCUCACAAGAUAGAUAAGAGAAGAGAAGCUGUUGGGAGACAGGUGAACAAAAGAUAUGGGUGGCUGUGAUAAGAAAGACAAUUUUUUUUUAAAAAAAAGUCGAUAAAAUUUUGAAUGUUAAAAACACUCUCAAAUAUAUCUACUGUGAAAGUCUUUAACAUACAAAAUUACAUUAAAACUUAUGAAAAACACCUGUAAAAAUAUCUAGUGCAUACGAAUCUCAUAGUUUUAUUGCUUAUCUACUUGAAUAAUUAACUAUGUCAUUGUUUUCAAUAAUAAAAAACACACUAUUUUUUAUAUUAUUAGGAAUUUAUUCUGUUAUUGUGUAAAGUGUGAUCGUGUUUUCUAAUAAAAAUGAGAUUGUAUAAUUAGAUACUACCAUUUUUAGGUAUUUUUGUACAUACAAAAUGAGGUAUGAAUAUAGUUUGGAUGGCAAUAGGGCAGAGUACUCUUCGCGUCUCUGUCCCGCUUAAAAAAUUCAACUUCCAUCUAUCAUUCUCUCUCCUUAAAGCUUUUAAUGAAUAAAUUGUUCAUGAUUAGGUUCAAUUUUGAAAAAAGUUCAAUCAUAUAAUAAAUGAAUCGAGUUUGAACACAAGAUUAAACUCAUUUAAUAAUUGAGUCAAACAUGACCUAUACAUUAACUGCUCAAAUAGAUUCAUGAACACAUAUAUAAUUAUAAAGAAUAAAUAAAUAUGAGCGUAAAUGCCUUAUAUAUUAUUAAAUAUAGGGAAAUAUAUCUUGUAUUUUUUUCCUCAAAAAUAACUAUACAUGAAACUUGUGUAUUAUUUAUACUUCUAAAACAAAAUAAUUAAAUUAAAUUUAUUCUAAAUCAUGUAUUAUUUUAAAAAAUAUAAUUAUAUCAUUUUCAAACUCAAAUUUGAACUUGAACUCGAGCUGGGAAUUCAGCUCGUUUAGUUUGAACUCAAAUAUUUAUACAAAUUAACGAAUUAAAUUCGAACACCACUUAUUGUAAUGCCCAAAACCCAUGAGUUGGCCCAAGUAACUUUUGAAUUGAAAUCACGAGAACAAAAUGGUUAAUCCAAGUUAUUAGUAACCUAAUGGAUCAAAGAUUAUAUUUCAUUCCUUUUCUUCCUUCAUUUCAGAUGUGGGACAUUUCACUCACCCCAUCUUUGGAACUUUACAUUCUUGCAAAGUUUGGUUGUAAUUCAAAUUGUCUAUUUAGUUGUGUAUGAACUCUAGAUGUGGCUCAUAUGGGUUAUAAAGAUAACCCCAUUGAACGUGACACUUAGCUGUAUGCCACACUUAAUUUCUUGCACUUCUUUACGUAAUCAAAACCAUAACAUAACACCACUUGGUCCCAAGUUCAUUAUAUACAGAGACCAUGCGAGUUUUACUCUGAUAUCAUUGGUGGUGCUCCACGCCUAUUGGUCCAAUAACUUUUUGAAGUGGUGAUUUUAGUUCAAAAAGUUAUUGAACCAUGCCAAUGGGCCCAAGACAUUACACUUGUAGUUCAUAUAAUAUUCAAUCAAAAUUGAUCCUUGUUUAUAUAAUAUACUAAUGGAGUGUAAACAUUAAAAUUUCGUCUUGAUUUGACUCGUUAAAAAUUUUAUUCCCACCUACUUAAUUCCCAUAUUUGCUAUGCUCUUAUUUGACAUGUCUUAUAUUAUGAUUGAGUGCUUGCUUUGGGUUUUUAUAUCUCAUAAAAUUCAUUUAUCAAUAGUAAGUAUUUUUUUAAAUGACAAAAUCCCUGCAUCUUCUCCCUCCUUCCCUACGAUUAGAUCUGAUUGUGAGGAGGGAGGGGAGGGAUGUGGAGAGGGGAAAGGAAGAAGGAGAAGAAGGGUGCGGAGAAAAGAAUAAGGAGGGAGGUGAGGGAAAAAGGGAAGGGAAAAGGGAGAUAAAGAAGAAAGAGAGAAGGAGAGAAGAGGGAGGGGAAGGAGAAAUAUAUAUAAAGGAGAUAGGGAUAGAAGAGAAAGCUGCGGGAAAGGGGAGGGAGAAAGAAUAGGGGAGAAAAGAGGAAGCAAGAAGGGGGAGAAGGAAAAAGGAGAGGGAGAGAGAAAGAGAAAGGAGAGAAGGAACUACUGAUGGCAUGGAUGAAAGACGAAUUUUUUUAAAAAUAUCUCAACAAAAUUUUAAAUUUGAAAAACACUUCCAAAUAUAUCUACAAUGAAAGUUUUUAAGAUCUAAAGUUAUAAUAAAAAAUUUUCAAAAACACCUCUAAAAAUACCUAUUCCAUUCAAACCUUAUAGUUCUAUUACUUAUCUGCCUUGAACAAUUACCUACAUAAUUGCUUUUAAUAAUAAAUAACUCUAUUUUUCAUAUCACUAAGGAGGCAUUUAUUUUUUCAUUUGAGUGAAGUGCAAUUGUGUUUCCUACUAAAACAUAAGAUGGUAGCAUCUACAUUGUUAGGUUUUCUUUGCAUACAAAUUGAGGGACAAAUCAUAGUUAUGAAUGGCAAUAAGGUGGGAUGCCCUUAGUGUCUCCGUCCCACUUAAAAAAUUCAACUUCCAUCUCUCAUUCUCUUCACUUAAAGCUUUUAAUGAACAAAAUUGUUUGCAAUUAGGUUCGAGGUCGAAAAACUUUGAUUAUAUAAAAUACGAAUCAAACUUGAACACAAGAUUAGGUUCAUUUAAUAAUUGAGUCGAAUACGAAUUAGUUUGCAAACUGUUCAAAUAGGAUCACGAACACAUAUAUAAUUAAAAAGAAUAAGCAAAUACAAGCAUACGUACCUUGUAUAUUAUUAAAUAAAUAUAGGUAUAUAUAUCUUGUAUUUUCCUAAAAAAACAACCAUGCAAAAGUAUUCAAAAACUCAUUCAUGAAUAAUCCGAGUUGGGUGCUUACUUUGCCGUCAUCUGACACCCCUUAUAAUCCGAGUUGGGUGCUUGUUUGUCAUAAAAUCAUUCAUCCAUAGUAAGUAUUUUCUUUGAUGACACUUAACUAUUGACAUAACUUCAAAUUCAUUCCAAAACUUGUUUAGAGUGGAUUACUGUAAUAUGUCUUAAGAUGCCAUAUGCAAAAGUAUUAAAAAAAAAAAAAAAAAAAAACAUAUCCGUGAUACACAAAUAUUUUAACACCAUAUCGAUUAUUGAAAAUUUGUUAAACUUACCCUCUAGAUUUGGGAUUACAUUAAUUAAGACUUUCCAAUCAUCAUGAGUACCUAUGUUGCCUAGGUUGUGUCUGUCCUUACUACAUCCACAUAGUUAUAUCAGUUUACAUCUCUCAUGUGGGAAGAUGGCUGUAUGUAUUACUUCCUGUAGUACUACAUGCCAUUAGAUGUCAUGACCACUCCUGGUUGACUGAAGGAAUUGCUGACCCAAGUUUGUCUGACUCCCAAAGGUCCAAAUUCUCCUAAAGUAAUUCCGGUACUACUAAAACUACCCCUCCAUCCACUAAUACGACCUCGUUUACUUGUAUGCAGGAGUCCUUCCAAGUCCAUCUUUUGUUCAUCCACACCUUGGCCCUUCCCUUGCAGUCCCUAAUCCUGUUCCCAUUCUUCACUCUCUUUCUUUUCAGUUUUCACCUUGUCUUUCUGUGUCUUUCUCACCUCCUUAAUCCUUAAUCAUCCACAUUUCUCACCACCAAGGAAUCUGAUAUCAAUUCACAGUUCAGAAACACCCCAGCCCCCACCCACAAAAAUGAAAAAACCCCCAUAGAGGACACAACACAGCACCCUUUCCCCCAAGACACACACAACACGCACUAAAUUCCAUUUUUACCCCCUGCAUACUUGAAAUUUACUUACCCUUUACCCUUCCCUAAGUUCCCUUUACCCUUAAAACAAGAAAAAAAACCAAAAGGAGAAGAAACUGACAAAAAAUCCCAAUUGCCCUCUUCAAUUUUUUUCCACCCUUGCCUUUGCCUUGAUGCCUUUGUCUCUUCCCCCUUUUCCAAUUUUUCCUCUCUUUUCUUCUCUCUCUGAUAUAUAGACACAACUCAGGAGAAAACCCCCCUCCCCUCCCCACCCAGUAUUACAAAAAUUUAGUUUAUCCCCUUCCUUUAAUCCAUUCUCAUUAAUUUUUCUAUUUAGCACUUUUUAUGUCUGAUGGUCAUUAGUACUUUUUAGCUUCUCCUCCGCCUUCUUCUUCAUCAACAUAUAUCAACAGUGACUUGGUAUUAUUUUGGGAUUUCUUUCUUUCUUUUUUUUUUACUGAUACAGAUAUCUUUCUUGAUGUUACAAUCUUUCUUUGAAAACCCCAAGUGUUUGGUUCAAUGCAAGUCCAUGAUCUCCCAUGUAACUCCUCCGUAGCUAAUCCCCUCUCCGAUCCCCACUUCUCCGCCACCGCCUCAGUCGUAGCCAUGGCCUCCGACCCGCAACCCUCCUCCCCUUCUCCGAUCCAUUCCCCAAAGCACCACAAAAUUUCCCAAAAUAACGGCAAAAAAACCCAAAGUAAUAAGAGCCCACCUCCUCACCACAAUGAUACAGUUGUUAACUCUUCUGCAACUCCCAACGCCAGUAACAACAAUAAUACCAGUAAUACUAGUAACAACAAUAACGGUAAUAGUAAUAGUGUUGUAUUUAGGAGAGAAAGGCCCUCCAGGGCAUGUACGCAGCGGGCGGCCGCCAGGAUGCAGGCUGCGGCCGCUGCUGAGGCUGCUGCGGCCGAGGCAGAGAAGAAGCAGAAGAAGGCAGCUUUGAGGAAGGAGCGACUGGCGGCCCGGUUGCUGAGGGAGGAAGUGGAGGAGCAGGAGGAGGAGGUGGAGCAGCAUGGAGAGGAAGAGGAGGAAGGCGAUGAUACCCCUCUGGGAUCAUCGAGGAAUCAGCAAUGUAGUAAAAUUGUGACCCCUUUAGUGGGGGAACCGGAGCCCUCGCAAUUGCCGCGGUGGAACAUUCGUGGGAUGUGGCAGUUGGCUUCUAUCUUGAAUUUUUUGAAUGUAUGUCAGCUUGCAUAAAGUUGAAGUUUUUCUGAAAGAAGAUUGGAAUUUUCUUUUUUCCAGAAGUGAAGCUUUCGUGCCUUCAAGGCUAAUGGGUUCUGGCUUCUCUUAGUGACAAUUGUCUGUUCUUUUUCUUUUUCUUGGCGUAGGUUUUUAGGCCUUUAUUGAAUAUUAAAGUGGAGUUUUCAGCAGAGGAGUUCGAAACAGCUCUCAUUACGCCGAAUAAUACUCUUGGAGAGAUUCAUAUUCCGUUAUUGAAGGUUGGUGCAUUUUGUUGUUUGGAUGAAAAGCUUGUGCCUUUUAUCCAACUUGAGUUUUUGCGUGAAUUUCUGGUAAUUCUGGCCCUUGUGGCGAACUUAUUUUGCAUAAAAAUUGCUAGCCUCUUUUUUUCGUUGGAACUCUGGUAACAUUUAAUAGUAUAAAUUCGUCCAGUGGUGUCUUUGGGAUACUUCAUUUAGUUUCAGAAAUGCAUUACCCUACCUGUAUUUUGGUCGAAUGAAAAUCUUUUCCUUGGUGGAAUGCAAUGUUGCAAGAUGGGUAGCAACUAGUCAAAUUGAUUGUAGGAGCUUUAUAUCUAUGGCUUAUAAGCAAUCAAGUCUCAGAAUUAUGUGUGGGCAUAAAUAAUGCGAGGUAUUUCAGUUGCUUCUUUAAGUACCACAAUUCCGGUAAAUCAUGCCAUCUGAAUAACAAAGUUUGUUGCUUUUUUGAAGUUUUAAAUUUGUGGAGGUCAUAGGUAUGGUGAAGAGUUUCUUAGCAUGUAGCUGUAAUGUGGAGAAUCAGAUUGGAAUUACCUCUCAUGGUUAGGUCUACUAUGGGGCAAACUAAAAAAAAAAUUCCAGCCAGUUACACAGACAAUGGAAUGCACAUUUGAUAGGAAAGUUAGUUUUUCUUUUAGGACAUUGUGGUGAAUAAUAUUGAGAAUCUGCUCCAUAACCUGUUACAGAGCUUAACAACAUAGGACGGAAAUCUACAGAAUACCUUUAUUGACUGGUAAAAAUGGAAAACAAUAACCUGAUAAAUUAUCAGCUCAUUACAAUUGGGGUGUGAACUAAAGGUGCUUUGUUCAUUUUCCUCCAGUUGUAGGUUUGGAUUCUUAGAAACUAAUUUAUUCCACUAGGAGUUGGAUACUUUUUAAUGCAGGAUAUUCCUACGUUUCAGUUAGAGCUUGAUUGUUUUACAUUUUAGCAGUGGACCUGGCUAUAUGUGUAUGCAGAAACCAGAGUCUAGAAAUAUAUAUAGUAUGGAACUAGUGUAGAGAUUGGAAGAGGAAGUCUAAGAAGGAGGAGAAUAGGAAGAGAAAGGGAGAAGAGAACCUUAGGUUUCUCAUGUAAUAUAGGGGGAGUCGUUUUGAAACUCCGUGUUUCAAGAUGCUGUUACUUAUAGGGCAAUCCUGUGGCAAGUAGGUAGCUUUUUAAACACAUGGUGGCCAAGGUGGUCCACAGAGCAUCUUCUAUGGUGCCUGACCAUUGGACUUCCACCAAUUGCUGAUCAUUUGACUUCCUGCAUGGCUGUACCUUGAACUCUCAUGGCUGCCCCUUAAAAUCAUUUGCUUUCUUAGCCACCAGAUUCACUGUAUUUAAUUUAAAAAAAAAAAAUCAUUUGGUGUCCAUUCAUGGCUGACCUGUGUUUUUCACCUUUGGUUGCUACUGUGGUGUACUUUUGAAAACUAGGCAGCGAAAAAUUUUCACCAACCAAGGCUGCUACAAACAGGCACGCAACUUGUGUGCUACCACUGCAAUCAGCAAACUACCAUGAAAUUAAAGUCCUAAAUCUUUUACAGGCUAAAAUGUAGGCAAACUUGAGUUUCUUUUGUUAAGUUGUUUUUAUUGUUUUGCUGUCCUACCUCCUGCCUGAAAUAGUUGGUUGAUGUUUAUGCUCAUAAGAGAUUUAAAUGGGCUCAGUUGUCCUCAGAUUGAUUGGUUAUAGUUGACUUUUGUCCUGCUUGCUAUUCAUUUUGACCGAACUUUUUGGUUUCUUUUGUGGUGUAUAGAUCUUUAGUAUUAUGGGCAUUGGAUCAUCUAUCUACUUCUAUCUUGUUUUUAACAACAGUUUGCCUGUUCUAAUUCAUCCUCCUGCAGCAUCAGGAUAAGAACUGCGAAUAUACCAUCUUUAAAUAUUUGUGUAGGAAGUAAGUGCCACUGGUUAGGAUAAGUAGUGGAUGACCUGGAUAAGUCUAUAUCUCAACUUAUUUAUAGAAUUCUAGAAUGUUAUUAUCAGAAUAAUUUCACUUGAAAGAAGCUAUGUAAGUCAUUGAUGAUUUGAGAAGCAAUAAGGGUAUUGCGAGGAUCAAAUAGCUAGCUAACAGAUGCAAAUACAAAACAAGGAAGUGAAUAAAGAAUUGGUGCUUUAAUUUGGACUUCAUUACCGGCUACUCACUUGUUUAUGUUCUCGUUGUUCAUUUGGUUUUUUUUCUUGAGCAGUAUGUAGAUUGUUAUUGCCCUUGUGGGCAUUGAGAAUUUAUGUUGUUGAAGAUGAUUAUACCUAGAGAGACAUUAGAUUAAUGUCAUAUCUGCUGUGUCUUCUUAUAAUAUACUAGGAAUCUAGCAUCAGAACAUAGUUUAUCACAGCUUGAGAUGGAACUGUUGUUCAGUUUAAAUACUAACAAGUACAUAAUGCUACAAAUUGCUAAUAUCCCUAAAUGUUGUGGUGGUUUGUCUUUUGAGUAGUUGUUCUUGGUUAAAUAUCAAUGGCUUCUGACUCUUCUGGCAUGACUUUUCUUGUUAUUUUUGUUCUUUUUUAAUAUUAACUUGAUGAUUUUCUUCUUCCUUUUCCGGCGCAGCAUCCAGCCUUGACUCCUAAAGUGUCCUAAAAACCUCCAUGAUGUCAAAUGCAUUUAUUGUCCAAUAAGUAUUCAUGGGCGUGGAUAAAGUACUUUUCAAAGUCAAAAGUAUAUGUGGUCACAACAAAGUUUUACUUGUUAACAUGAAAUGCUUUGAUAAUCUUGGUGAAAUAAUGGCAUUAACUCAUAUAUUAUACUUUCUUAAUUUAUUUCCUCAGGCAAUUCCUCCUAUCACUCGAAUGGCCCUUGGACACAAUACAUGGGUUACAGUAUUGUGCAGAAAAUUACGUGAUUGGUGGCUUUGGGUAAUCUGGUUUUAGUUGCUUGAGCUGACUCAAAUACUGAAGUUGUUAAUUCCUCCCUUUUUCUGACAUCUUGGAGUGCAUUAUUUCAUCUCAGGUUGCAGAAGGAGAGCUACCUAUUGUUGCAUCUCAUGGGUAAGAAACUAUACAUCUGUAAAAAUCUUUGGUUAGAAGGAGUUUCUGCCUUUUUUUUUGUGGAAGAAGCACGAAUUUGCAUGUGUUUAGAUGUAAUCUUCACUGGUUUCAGGGCUGAAGUUGAAGCAUAUAAUGCUCUAGAUCCUGCGGUUCGUGUAGUAAUAUUGAAAGCACUAUGUGAUAUUCGUGUUGAGGUAACAUUUAUGAUGGUUGACAUUCUAUUUCUUAUUUCUAUAGCUUCUGUUCCUGAGGUACUGGCUUUGAAAAAUUUACAGCAGGCUUUUUUUUCCCCUUUGUAAUUGAUGUACAUAUGCAUAAAAAUUCAGUCAUCCCUGUUACUGCUCCCUUGAGGGAGAAUGUUCUAGUGUUAAUUUUUUGGUCAACAUCUUGUGUUUCUAUAGCUAAUUGGCUGACAAUUUCAACCACACCCAUCAGACUGUAAGACUUAAAUUCUUAUGGUCUUUUAGAAAAGAAGAUAGAACAGUUAUGAACGGUAAGUUUGCAUAAGAAUUUUGGUGUUCGGAUGUCAUGGAGGCUGAUUGCUCCCUCAAAACCUAAGGAACAGUGCUGAGAUGCAAGAAGCACGUUAACACUUUGUCAUCUGCAUAUCUUUUUGUUCAAGUUUAAUGUUUUCUGUUAUGGAUAAUUGUAAGUAAUUGUUGUUUUAUUUUCAGCAAGAAGACAUCCGAAACCAUAUAGACAACUCUGUAAAGCAUGGUGUCCAUAUUUCAGCAUUUCGCAAAGAAAGAGUUGGUGGUGAUUCUCAUGGAAUCUCUUAUUGGUAAUGCAUCUUAUCUUUGCAUUUCCUGGUUACAUGUGCAUAACAGAGUACCACAAACUUUCUCUCAGUUUUAAGGAGUGAUACUUGGUUUUUUUUUUUUUGGUUGUACCUUUUGUUCAUUUCCUUGUAUCAGAGUCUUAUUAGCUGCACUUUUCUUAUAUAGGUAUGAAGAUGAUGCUAUGGUUGGUCAUCGACUAUAUCGAGAGAUUAGAAAAGUUGAGGUGAAGAAAGGAAAGGGGAGAAACAUACCGCCCAUUCCUAAUUCAUCUUACCAGUGGGAGACAGUUGCAACUAAUUUUGAUGAAUUUCAAGAUGUGUCUGUGAGUUAUUUGUUACCGUUUAAUCUCGUCUAGUGUCUGCUAAAUAAAUUCCUAAGACCUGCACCUUGAUAUUAACAUUUUGGAUUAUAAUGCAGAAUAUUUUGCUCAUUUUAAGCACGUGUUUGUUGGUUCUUAUAUUGCUAGUUGUACAAAAGAAUACUUGCCCGUAUUUUAUUCUCUUUAUCUUUCUACAUUUGUUUUUGGGUUUAGAAGAGUCAUUUUGUGUACAGCUGAUUCCAAAAUGCAGAAUAUUUUGCUCAUUUUAAGGAUGUGUUUGUUGGUUCUUAUAUUGCUAGUUGUACAAAAGAAUACUUGCCCGUAAUUUAUUCUCUUUAUCUUUCUACAUUUGUUUUUGGGUUUAGAAGAGUCAUUUUGUGUACAGCUGAUUCCAAAAUUCCAAGAGAAGAUUGAUAAUUUUUCAGUAACAAUAAUAAUAUGCUAGCUUGCUGUUCUGUUCUGUUAUUCAGUUUUUUACUUGUUUUCUUCUGUGCAAACUGUAAGGAAGAAGGUUCUAGAAUAUUUUUUGGCCAUUUUAUCCCUUAGAAUAAGUUUCCAUCAGUUCUUAGGGAAUGCAUCUGCUGGUAGUUUAUAUAAAUGGGAUGGGCUUUUAGGGAGGUGAGGUCAAUAUCUGAAUUUAGAAGGGAGGUUUCUACAAUUAAGGUAAAUACCAAGGAGGUCACUCUAAUCUCCACAUGAUUUACAAGUUAAAUGACAUAUGUAUCCUAAAUGAGCUACUUAGGCUAUUUAGUAUUAUGCUUCUUGUUUUAUCAUGGAAGGAGACUCCAAAUGAUAGAUGAGGGGAUGGAAUACUGAAAUAUAGCAUUCAUCACAUUAAUUGAAAAAGAGAAAAUAAUUGCUUCCACCAAAUUAAUUCAAAAAGAGAAAUGUGUGGAAAAAGAAAAUUGUACAGGCAUUGAAAAUAUAAUUAAAUAGAGUUAGAGAUGUAUCGGAGGUAAAUCCUAAGCUCGAGCGAGGGAUAUGAAGCAUUUUGGCGAUGAAUAAACUCAUUUCAAAAUUGUGAUUUGUGUAGGGUAUGCAUACGGUAAUCUUAUUCAUGCAAGAAAGCUUUUAUUUUGGUUGGCCUUCUUAUUAUGCUAAUUCCGUUCUCAAUUAGAAACUCCUGAGAGGGUCCAGAGUUCCUGUCCUCUUACGAUUGCUUGAGUGUUCAAUAACUUCCAUACGGUCUUGGGACAAAGGGAAUGCAAAUAACUUUAAGAAGUGAUUAGAUGCAAGAACUUCUGAAAACCUUGCAGCCUUAAAAAAAUUUGUGCUUGUGUGUAUGUUUUUUCCCUGUCCUAGGCUCAGAGCCAAGUUUGAUCUGGAAUCUUUUGGUUAAUUCUGUUUUAGGAAUUUGAUUAAUAGUCUGGUCAAGUUUUCAAAUAUGCAUUCAAUCAAUGGGCUUCUUCAGUAUUCUGGUAGUUAGGUUUCUAUUCUGGCACUUCAGGAGUAUGAUAUGCACCGGAUGGUGAAGCUGGUCUUACACACUACGCCUGUGGGAUAACAUCUUUCUUUAUUUAGAUCUUUAGCAAUUGCGGUGUGUGUGUUUUUUUGUUCUUUUAUUUAUUAUUUUUAAUUUUUUGGCAUAUAUAUAUAUAUAUAUAUAUAUAUAUAUAUAUAUGUGUUGUGGGAUUGAACUUUUGUCUCUGGGAAUACUUGGGAUCUUGUAUAAGUCAAGAAGAGCAUGCAACAUUUUGAUUGUUGAACUUCUAUCUUUUGAGGGGUUUGUAUAAUGGAAGAAAAGAAGGGAACAUUUGGGGUUGACCAGUAGUAUACCUUGGGAAGAUCUAUUGUGUUUUGUGGCAAACCAGUAUUCUCAUUGUUUUUGCAAGAUCUGUAUGGUAAUCUUAUAUGCUUUUGAAAAUGGUCACAAUGUAAAAAUCUGUUUCCUACAAAGCUGUAGAAGGGGGAGCAGAAGGGUAUGAGAUUGGAAAUAGCUAGAGAUGUCUAUGCACAUAUGUAGCAAUGUAAAAUGCAGAAAUAAGUUAGGAAAUAUGUAACUCAUACUUUUCAUGGAUCCAUUGACCAUAAAUCACAGAAUUACAUGAUGUGAAAAAACAACAAAGUUGUGUAUCAGAAUACGUACCAAAUUUCAUCCAAUUUAAUUGGGCAUGUUGACUUUGAAUCUGAUGGAUGCUAAUCUGGCUAAUUUAAUUGUGUGAUGACUUUGAGGAAGGGCUGCAAUGGAUUGUUUGAGAAAGGGAUCUGAUGGAUGCUAACAUGCCCAACAAAUUCUACCCCACAGAUGUUGAUGGUGAAGGGGAGGAGAGGAAGAUGAGGAGGAGGGUUGGGUUCUUUGUGGUCCUUGCUUACUGAUUUUUGAGAAUAGAGUGAAACUUCAUAAAGGAAUGACGGUUUUUGCAUCACUGGAGAAGAUUCCCAUGCAGCGAAUAGUCUAUGCGUCAAUGGUGUUUUGAACACAAAAAGAAUUAAAGAAAGGGAUGAGACAGGCUCCUGGUGUAGUGAGUGAGGUUAAAAGUGAAGAUUACACAAUUUAGAGGAGUAAAUAGACAGUGACUAAGGCUAGAUAAGCAUUUCAAACACUAGGGAUAAGGACAGUGUGUUUAGUCCAGUUAGACCACCUCUCCGUGAUAUUUAAAGCAUAACAAAAAUUGUUAAUGCUAUCAUAUAUGUGGACAAAUUUCUAUUUCUGAUUGUUACCUCAGAGUCAUUUUGCAAGUCUAUCUUAGCAUCAAACUGAACUUGUUUCUAAUUCGUUGAGAAAAUAUAAAUGGAGUUCUGUGUACAAAGCCUUUGUUUAGAAAAUUUUGCAUUAUCUUCGCAAGAAUUUAGUAACUACAUUUUUGAUAAUUUAUGACCAAGAAUGCUGUUAAUAUAUACUCCGUCCGUCCCAAAAUUUUCAUCACUAUUGGGGACACUUGUUUUUUUUUUUUUUCCCAACAGCGAAGAAAUUUAUCUGUCUUUUUCCUUCAUUACCCUAUGUUUAUAGCUCUGAACAAGUGUGUGGGGCAAGGCUAUUAGUGUUUUAAAUUUUCAAAUCUGCAAAAGCUCAUGUUGUGGGGCCAAAGGAACUUUGCAUGUCAGUGGACAACCACUUGAAAACUAAAGUGUAAGUACACUCUCAGUUGUAUAUUACUAGUUGUGGGAUACAUGCACUUAUAUUAGAGUCCACUAGCAAUUGUCAUAAAUCAAGUUGGUGGGCUUGCAACAAAGGUUAGAUGGUGAAAGUGUAGGAAAAUUUUUUUGUCGAAUAUAGAAAGUGACACAAAUUUUGGUACAUAGCAAAAAGGAAAGUAUGACACUUUUAAUGGGACGGAGGGAGUAUUAAAGAACUAAUAUAGCAAUGCACAUUUAUAUUAAAUUGCAUUUCCCUGUGCUGAAGUUCAAAUCUCCGGCAGGUUGCCUUAUCCUAAUUUUGAACAAUGAAUUAUGACAUUUAGACGCACAUCUGACUCUUGACUGGUUUGCAUAAUUAUAAAUUAGGAGAAUUGGUAGUCGUAAAGUGAACUUUUUAACAACCAUAAGGUAUCGCCCAAUUCUAGUUUUAGAAAAAUAUUAAUUCUUUUUACCCGAUUUUGUUGAACGCAUAUAAGUGGGAGACUUGCAUGAAUCUCUUUAAAACCAUAAGAAUGUCUUGGAUGCAUAUGAGACGGGAAAGUAUAAUAAACCCAGUUACAUAUUUGCAUGAUGGUUUGUACUCCCUCUGUCUUUCUUCUUUCUCAUGGUCAAAACUGUAAAAAGGGCUUAAGCAAAUUUAAAUUUGACCUAGAUCUUCAUUUUACAAUAUAAAGCUUCUUUCUUCCCUUGAUUGACUUAGUUAUAGCUUUAAUGGUUUGAUGUCCGCUUAAGGUUCUUUCUUUGGAAAUUCUGUAGGAGGGUUGGAAUGGCAGAUUAAUUUUUACUUCUUUGACUAUAUAAAUCAUGGCAAAAACUUUGUGACAGAUACAAUAGUAAUCAUGACAUAGGAAAAAAGGGUACCGAACACUACCAUUUAAACUUUGGAAGAGUGCACUUGAAAAAAUAAAUGCACUAUGAUCUACCUUAUAACUGCAUGCAUUAAUUGUGCUUUUGCUAAAAAAAUUUCAUUUUUAAUUGUGUGUUUCAUUCAUAUACGCGUCCAACAAAAGUAUUGAAAAAAUUACUCUGUAGAAGACUUCUCGAUGGACUUCAAUUUACCCUUUGUACUUUGGAAAUUUUUUCAUUUAGUUCACAUUGAAUCAUUUGUUAUCUUAAACAGUAGUGCAAUUUGUUAUCAGGUAGAGUAGUGUAGUUCUUAUCAAAUAUGGUUCAGACACAUGACAAAGCAAAUGGGCGAACACGAGUCCCAAAUUCAUAAAAGAGCCGCUCAAUGUAGCAUUUUUUAUUUGCCUUCUUUUUUUUUUUUGGGGGGGGGGGGAGUUGCUGCUAGCCACAAAAUCAUCCUGCUUUAGUACAUAUUAAAUCAACUGGCCAUUGACAUGGUUAUACUGAUCAUAACUGAGGCAAAAAGAACAAGUGGGAAUUUUUCUUGGAAAAAAGUCUAUUAAAUAUUUUCUUUUCUUUACCACAUGGAAAUUUUCAAACAAACGUCCAUGAGGUAGUUGGAAAAAUUCUCCCAGCAAUUCAAACCCAGUCUUUGGAUAUUAACUAUAGCAUCUAUAUUAAGACUUAAUGAGACAGGUUAAGGAGUUUACUUUUUGCUUGCUUUGCAGUCUUCUCUAUUCCAUAGACUUCCUAUGGCAAUUAAGCACAAUUAGAAUGGUCUAAGCGUGUAUACGUAUACAGUCUUCGCUUUUAGUGUUUGAAUGAUCAGGGUGGAAAAGUAACAGACACUAUCAUAUGAACUUGUGUUGCUUACAUUUGUAGUUGUGCUCAUGUUAAUAGCUGCCUUUCUUUUGGAUAUGAAGAACUUGAAUGUUUCAAUGCAGGAAAAACUAUUUUCAAGUAAAAAUAGAACGGAGGCUUCUCUUGGAAAGAAGUUGAAAAACGAUAUGCUUCCUGAGAUUGAGAAAGUCCACAAGGUAUUGCCAUUUAUUGACUGAGCAGGACCUGCACUUUAUUUUUUUCAGACAUUUUCUGUAUCUGUUCAGAUGUUUUGCUUUUGUGAAUUAUUUGUGUAUUUCCCCUCCAAAAAGCUGUAUCUUUCUUUCCUGGUAAGAGAUAAAAUGGCAAACAAUGAUCAAGAAUGAUAUAGAUAGUCAUAAUAAUGAAGGCAAAUGCUGUCAGAUAGAUAUAGUGGCUAUUAAUACUUUGGAGGAUUGACGCUGAAAUUAUUUUCUGUGCAGAGAAAAGAGAAGCUGCUGAAGAAGCAACACAGACAAGCUCUCAUGCUUGAUAAUAUGAUGAAUAUGGAUGGCCUUGCUGCUGGACGUUCUCUUCGUGAUAGGAAACCUGUCACAUACACUUUUGGUAAAGUUUCCAUGGGGUGCCUUGCUUAUUAUCUAUCUAUUUAUUUUGGCUCUAUGUGUUGUGGCUAAUACUACUGACAAGAUAUUACAGAGAGUGUCACGUUCUUUCCCUUGGUAUUAGAAAAGGAAUCUGUUCCUUUUGACUUGAAAUGUGUCAAGAAUUGUCAUUCUGAUGGUUCUACAAGAUGCAUAGAUUGUGUGUAUUGGGUUGGUAGUUGUGUGGAAAGAUUAUGUUGUGUCAUAAUAAAUUUGAAAAGUCUGUUUUUGGGUGGGUAAUCUAGUUAUCUUUGGGGCAGAAUCAAAAUGGUUACAAAAACUGAGCACCCUGGAUAGACUUGGAAAUCCUUUCGUCCUGAAGAAGUUUGCUCAAUUUUCUACUCUUGGAUUUAUGAUAAUGUAGCAUAAGUCCCAAGUGCAAGGUACUUUCCAGGUGAGGAUAAUGAUUUCAAGAAGUAUGUAUAGCCAAAGAGUCAAGAACGUAAUCAUGGGGACUUUUUGGCUUUACUCCCCAUUUUGCAUGGGGGGAAUAUCCAAAUUUUCUUUCACAACUUUGUACAAGCAUUUGUUGUCAAAUCAUGAAUCUGAACUUGUAAUUGUCUAGUAUUUUGGUGGUCAAUUUUGAAAAUUUCCUGCACAAAUAUGAUCUUAACUUAAUACGGCUCUAAUUUCAUUGAUAAAUAGCCGAUAUUAGAUGCUUUGCCUGCUUUCUGUAGGUUAUAUUCUCAAGAUGUACUUGACGCCUGAAGUGAUUUCUAAACUGUUGAUGCGUUAGAUUCCUAGGCUAAGUAUCUUGGUUAUUCAAUGAUCCCCAAGUGGUCAACUUCAGAAGACAUGUAACAGUCCUUGAAGGACAUGUAAGAUGGUCUUUACCUUGGGUUUAGUUUAUGUAUGUAUGCGUAGAAAGCUACUGUUGGUAGAGAUUGAAUAGGCAGUAGAGAGACAGUAGACAUCUUUCCCCCUGCAGUGUCCCCCCCCCCCUUCUCCUUCCCCUCUCUUUUGUUUCUUUUUCAUUUUCUUUUAUGCUUGUGAUUUGCCUCUUUUUCGUACUCCUUACUCUCAAGAAAAGAUACUUCAUACUUUCUCCCCUGCUCCUGUGAAAUGCAAGAUGCAUAAUAAAGCUCUGCCUGAGCAAUCCUUUGAAGGAAAGUAAAACAUGGAUGACAAAUAGUUUAGGAAGGUAGAUUCUGUAUGUAUGCAGCUAGAAUGGAAUCAGGGAGAUGCAAUAUGUCAUGGAAGGUAAAAGGAAGGGCAGACUGAUACAGAACCAAACAAUCAGAUCUUAGACCUGUUUACCUGAGUAGGAAUAAAAUCCUCCAAUUGCUUUCUAUCAUUAGAAUUUCGGAUGAUGAGGAAAGGCAUUCCAAUUAAGGAGCUUGUUUUUAUUGGUAGACUUUUUUUUUUUGGGGAGGGGGGGUGUGUGUGUGUGUGGUUGCAGAGCUUUAAAGGGAGAAACGUUUUAAGCAAAUGGAAGCAGCAAGUAAAAUUAGAUAUGCCUAGUUUACUGUAUUAUCUAUUGACGUGAAAGGAGUCUGGCAAGGUCUCUACUUGUUUAUCUCUGAAAGUUUUUGCUUUUUUUCUUUAAUUUAAUUUAAUUUUUUUCCCUUGUGCCAAUACUUUAUAUAGUUGUGGUUAUAUGGUUGGUGUUAGGUCAAUUUGUGUUUUUGAAUUUGUUCUUUCUGGAACUGGUGCUCCUGCAUAAUCCUGUUCCUGGGUGGUUCAAAUAUUUUCAGUUGUGACCCUAGUAUAGCUUUAAAAGUUCUCCUGCAAGGUAAAAUUCUGAUUUUCUGAUUGUUGUACGGGUGAAUUUUGCAGAUGAUUAUGAUAGAUCAAUCAAUGAGGCUAUCAAGAUAACCAAGUAUGAGAUUUGCCUGUUUGAAAAUCUUUAUAUGCUUUACUUCUUCAUCUAACACAAUCUAAAGCUAAGUUUUGUUUUGCCCUCACAUCAGGAAGCAGCAAGCUUCUUCCCCGGAGCCAACCGCCACAAGGAGAGAAGCUGGUGUCAGAGUGGAAGCUCUUACAAAUGGUAGAUGGGGUGGUCCUUCGCAACCUUUCAAUGCACUUUCUCCAAAAUCACCUGAUUAUGAUGGAUUCUAUGAUGAUAAUAGAGCAGAUCAAACGGAUCGGAGGUAUUCUCUUCUCUGCUUUGAUUUCUUUGUUUGUCUAUUCUCGUACAACAGCACACCACGCAUACAUACUUUUGUAGUUCGUUGCUGAUAAUCUUGCGGUGUAUAGCAAUCGCCGAAGGCAGAGACCUCAGCGGUAUUCUGCACAAGAGUUCGUUGAAGCAGUUUCAGAUAAUGAAGCGGACUUUGAUAGUGAUGACGAUAUAGUUGGUGAGGUGAUCUAUGAUGAUGAAUAUUUAAGAAGACGGAAACAAAGGAGGAAGAUAUCUAGCAGCUCAGAAGGAGAUGACGAGUACCAUUGGGAUGAUGAGAAUCCUGAAGAGGAAGAAGAGGAGGAGGAGGAGGAGGAGGACGAUGAUGAUGAUUCGCUAAGUGCAAGUGAGGAGAGUGAUGGGCCCCGAAAAUUUAAGAAAUUGCCAGGCCGCACUAGAAGGGAAACUAAACUGAGAUCAGUUGAUGAGCUCCAGUUAGGUUUACGGCGUAGUAAAAGGGCGACCAGGAACCGUAUAAAUUAUCGACAGUAUGAACUAUCAGAAUCAGAAAAUGAGUCGAUGAAACCCGGGAAGUCAAAUGUGUCGGAGCACUCAAAUGACAGUGAAAAUGCAGAAGAGUUCUCAAUGGUGAGUCAAGAUUCUGAGGAAAAUAACACAGAUAACCAGGAAAUUAAGGCGGAUCAACCUGUGAAGGAUGAGGAGCCUGAGACAGUCAAGAAAGAGGAUAACGAUAUGCUGGAGAAAGCAAAUAGCCCACGGCAAGAUGAAGGUGAGGGUGUUCGAAAAAGGCGUUUUCUUGAUCUAAAUGAGCUUGCCCCAGGUUCUGGCUUUGAUGAUGGUCCCAACUCGAUGAUGAAAGAUGAAGAUACCGAUGACUUCUGAAGUUACUGUCUCCACCAGAGAGGAGGGUCUUGGUGUUCACCUGGAAAAGUUGAUUGUAUGAUAUAGAUAACUCAUAGAUUACAUGGCAAGUCGACUCCAUGACGGAAGCAACAAUUAGAGGUGCUUCCUCGGGAAUUUUUAAGCAAUUGCCACCCGAAUGCAGUUAUUUAUGUAUUCCUGCUGGGAACAACAUGAUGCUGAGAAAAGUCAUGUAGAUUCAGUAGUCAAAUUUUUUCAGAACGCCUACAUUCCAGAAAACGAAUAGGAUGUGGAUGAGAAGCUUGUCGGAAGUUCUGUACUAUUUCUUAUCCAGUCUGUGUACAAUAACUUUUCGAACUAAUAUUUGUAAUGGAAGAGUUUGGCAUAUAGGUAGGAUAGCCUGUUUCCAUUAUCUUUUUGUGCUCCCAAGUUCUCUUCAAAAUGGACCCUUCGGUCUGGUCUGCUCUCUAGGCUUCACUUCCCAUAUAAAUCUUCCGGAGAUGGUUCUUUUUUUUUUUUUUUUUUCCCCUUUUUUUGGGUGGUCUAUGCGAAAUCUAAGAUUGGAGACGUUGUUGCUAGUGAACAUAAUCGUGCAGUCCUGUCGUACAUGGUGGAUUGAUGGAUUGAUUCUUUCGGAAGCAGCUACGUUGUAAUAUACUCUAAUAACGAUCUGCCUUUUCUCUGUUAUCUAGUGCAAGUUAGACAGUGUAUGCAGAAUAUGUUUCAACCAUUUCCAUCGGCCAAGUAAAGAAAAUAUAUAGUUAAAAACCAAAUGGUGUUUCAACUUUGUAUAAGCAACAGGACUGUGCUUGGUGCAGACUUUGUUGGCGUGGCUACGCGAAGAUUAUAUUAAAGGGGAACUUUAAUAUGUGCGAAUUACUACUUCCUUAAAAGAGCAACGACAUAAAGCCUAUGAAGUUGCAGAUGAUCCGAAGGGGCUAAGGCAAGAUGUGGCUACUUCCACCUAAAAACAGUCGAGAGGAAUAACAUUCAAUUCAACCUACAAAGCAACAGGACACGAUGCUGAUUCCUCGAGUGGUGACUUCAUAACUCUAAAUUCAGCUUAAUUCUGCUGGUACUUUCAAAUCAUUUAGUUCCUAUAGGGUUGUCUUGUCAUCGUCCUGGUUGGUACCUUGCUCUUUGAUUCUUUGCCCUCAUUCUCUCUGGACACCGAUAGCUGGAUCCAGGUGGAACACUGUAUAGGGAGUCAAGUACUUGCUAAGCAAGACCCACAGAGACACCUUAUCGCACUCAUUCUCCUUCACUUCUUUCUUCGCUUCCUGUUUUUCCUCGGCUUCCUGUUUUUCCUUGGCUUCUUGAAGAGCUUGUAUCAGAAUCCGUAGGCUCCUCUCAGCAUCUUGGUCUGGAGACUUUGGCAUGAGGCUCUCCGCAACGUCUGCUGGCGUAAUCUCGGUCACUUCCAUCAAGUUCCGAAUCGAUUGGAACAAGGGAUGGUCCUCAAGUUGCAGGUAGUUCUUUGCAAGAACCUUAAAUGCCUCAAAACUGCAGUAGGAAAGCUUAAUAUGCAUGUCCAUUCUACCCCUUCUUGUGAGAGCGGGAUCCAGCUUAUCAACAUGAUUGGUUGUGAAGACGAUGAUUCGCUCCCCACAACAAGCAGACCAGAGCCCAUCAAUGAAAUUCAGCAGCCCUGAGAGGGUGACUUUGCUUCCAGUUCCACUUCCACUACUCUCUCCCUUGUCUCCAGAUUUACUGCUCUUUCCCAUAUCUUUUUUCACAUCUGGAGGAUUCUUGCCUGCAACUUUCUUCCUUUGUCCCGUAAGAUCAAGCGAGCAAUCAAUAUCUUCUAUGACAAUUAUGGACUUACCUGUCGUCUCUGUGAGAAGCCUCCUGAGUUCCGUGUUGCCGGCAACAGAAGUAAGCUCAAGAUCAUAUAUAUCAUACUCCAGUAAGUUGGCCAUUGCAGCGAUCAUGGUUGAUUUUCCAGUUCCUGGAGGACCAUAAAGAAGAUAUCCCCUUUUCCAUGCCUUACCAAUUCUGGCAUAAAAGUCCUUGCUUUCUUUAAAUGUCAGAAGAUCCUUGAUGAUUUUUGUCUUCUUCUCGGGCUCCAUAGCCAACGUCUCAAACGUAGCUGGAUGAUCAAACAAGAUGUAGCUCCAACUUGAUCUGUGAUGGCCGUUGGUGAAAAGCUUCCUCUGCCUGUUCCUCUGGCAGAUUUCUUUACCUGUCUUGAUGACAUGCUCCAAAUAUGGUCCAAACACGAGCUCCCGAUAACGCUUGUGGAAGACCAGCCUGUAAUGUCUUCUUUCCGGCUCCGGGUUGCCGGAGUAUAGCGUUCCAGGCCCUCCUUGACCUUGAGGGGUUCUAGUUUUGCUGGAAAUCCACGUCAUUUGGACUCCUUGAAACUCAUCAAUCACUCUCUCAUUUUCAUCCAUGGUGAACACUAACUUGCGGCGAUCCUUCACCAUCUCAGCUUUGAGCUUCUUGACGGUUUUGGAGGAAUUGACGCUGAGGUAUGCUUCAACAGCAGGAUAGGCUUCGUGGGGCCUGAGGUUGCUGCCAGUGAACUCAUGGAUGGAAACCCGGAUGCUAGGAUAGAAGUAUCUGUCCAGCUCUAGUAAGAAAGUCGUGAGACGGCGAUAGAGCUCCCGUGGGCACCACCGGCGGAUCAUGUCCAAAAUGAAGAAGAAACUGAGGAUGGUGGAAGCAGCACCUGCCCACUGCUCUGGAACCCUCAUUGGAGGUAUCAUUUUGGAGCUGUUCAUUCUUCCCUAAUUCUUCUCUAAUGGCUUCUUUUUUUUUUUUGGGUCUUCUUGGGGUCUAGAUAAUAUAUACGGCAGCGAUGCAAGAAAAAAGAGGGUGAGUUGAGCGAAGAUGACUAAAUCCGUAACCAAGGGGGGAAAAAUGCAAUGAAUGAAUAAAGGAAAUGGUGAGCUGCCGAAGGAGACAAGACUGAUGACGCCAUCUCGUGGAUCAGAGUUGUGUUGCGUAUCGGUACAAAAAAGUUUGGAUUAAUUACAUUUAUCUCCCCUGAGGUUUGAUCAUAUUACCAAUCAAUCCCUGUAAUUUGUCCAAAUAACGGUCUCACCUUUUGAAUGAUCAAACAUUUAACAAAAACCCCCCUUAAUGCCGAAAAUGCUCUUUUUGAGGCCAUAUUGCAUUAAAAAAGAAUAUAUUUUUAUUUAUUAACCUUCGAGUAAUCCAAAAAAUAGAAAAACGUUUUUACUUAUUAUUUUAUAAAAAUCAUAUCUUUGCUUUCAUAAAUAGUUUUGAAUCAAUAAUUAUUUUAAAUCUUAAAAAUGAAUAUUCAAAAUUAGAUAAAUUGAAAGAAAAAUAAAAAAGAAUCAAUUAUUUUAAAUCCUCAAGUAUGGCUCGAAUUUGUGGUUCAAGGCAUGUUGCGGAGAGCACAAGGCAUGUCUUCCUCAAUUUGAACCAUACUUCAGGAAUUAAAAUAAUUUCUUCUUUUUUUAUUUUAUCUAAUUUUUAAGAUUUAAAAUAAUUAUUGAUUCAAAACUAUUUAUGGAAGCAAAGAUAUGGUUUUUAUAAAAUAAUAAGCAAAAAUUUUUUUCUAUUUUUUUGGAUUGCUUCAGGGUUAAAAAAAUAAAAAUAUGUUCUUUUUUUAAUGUAACAUGGCCUCAAAAAGGGCAUUUUCGGCAUUAAGGGGGUUUUUGUUAAAUGUUUGAUCAUUCAAAGGGUGAGACCGUUAUUUGGACAAAUUACAGGGAUUAAUUGAUAAUAUGAUCAAAUCUCAGGGGAGGUUUCUGCAAUUAUCCCAAAAAGUUUUGAAGACUCUUCAGCAUAUGACCGACCGGCCCUUUAAAUCAGGACAAUGCAACUGCAACUUUUAGCCACCAUGUCCGUGCGUGUUUUUGACCAAUGCUUUCAUAUUUUAGGGUAUCAUCUACUCACUUUUGAAUCACAAUUCCACGAUUAGACAAAAUGUCAUUGUCCUCUAUGAAUUAAUUGGGACAAGAUAGUGUAAUGAAGGCAAAAAAUUCAUCUUUCCUUCAAUAAAAUGUCGUUUUCUCCCACAAUAACAAGAUAGUGACUUUUGCUAACGAAUCACCUCUCCAUGUUGGCUCAUGUUAGUGCUCUUGUAGUAGUAACUCUUAAGGUUUCUGACCAUACAUCCACACCGGCGAGGUGCGGUAGUGCAUCUGUCUGGUCUGUUAGUGAUUCAGUUCCCUCCUCCUUUAGUGAUUCAGUUCUCUCCUCCUUAGGUUCGCCCCUUCCUCCUAAUGUAGGAUAGAUUAUACUUCACCAGUGCCACUGGACAGAGAAGAAUAAAUAUGAUAAAUAGAUGGAGUCAUAAUUGUUAUCGUUUGAAAAAAAAAAAAAAAAAAGUAGAUGGGCUCCUUUUUUCUGUAUUCUAAACGUAUCUUUUUCUCCGUUAUGACUGGACAAAAGUUCUGUCCACCUCAAGAACAUCGUCCAUGGCCACCCCACGUUGACAUUUUCGACUUGUUUUCUCCUUCUUGUGAGUAACACCAACAAGCAAGCUCAUUAACAAGCAGAAUGAAUUUCGUUCCAUUUGAUACACCCACCAACAUCAUCCCAUACAUCCACAUUCCCACCCUCCCAGUCCCAGGAAGCCUGCCAGUGAUGAACUGAUCACCGCUGACAAAAUACUCGUCUUUUAGCUCAAAAGGAAAAUUCCAAAAGAGAAGCCGCCGUUUUGAUGGCUACAGCGAAGGAAUCUGGUUGCGAUUCUAACUAAUUCUAUGGUAUCGUAAAUUACAGUAGAAGGCGUAUGGUAUAUGUCAACCUGAGAUACCUGCAUCAUCUAUGCAACAACAGCCUCCUUUGCAGCCCAUCUAUGCAAUCCAUCCUCGGAUGGAACUAUAUUUUGGGAGGGGUGGGGGAGAAAGAAAGAAAGAGAUAUAGGAAAAAAAUUAACGAAUAUAGAUGGGCUUCUAGACAUUUCUAAAGCAUGCCUCCCAAAAUUUACAAAACAUCAUCAUAUGACUGCAAAACUUGUUUCAUCAUCUCAGUUCAUCGCGAGAUUCUCCACUGCACAUGUCAUCCGAAACGAAAACUCAGAGUUUCAUCAUCUCAUGUUGCAGCACUGAGGCUUCCCGAACUCUUGCAAUUUGUGCCACAUGCAGAUCAUCUGCCUUGGAGACUGGUAGUGAGCUGUAUAGUAAUCUUCUAUGCAUCCAAAUUGGCAAAACUUUAAGCUGUGCACAUAGUCCACUGUCCUGGAGCUAUUGAAUUUCUCAACCCACAUCCCCAUACUCACAUCCUCCAUCUUGAACAACUGCACAUCAAGCAACUAGCUAAACACAUCUGCUAUAACUCAAUAAAAGUAAUGCAAUUCAUCAGCUCGAUAUCUGCUUUUGUAAGCAUGUGGUUUGGGCGUCUCUGUGUCUGUUGUGGCAAGUGAAAAAUGUGGCGUGUGUGGAGAGAGAGAGGGGGGGAGGGGUGGGGGGGAAGAGAAAGAGGAAUGACAGUAGUAUUUUACCCUUAAUUUUUGUUUCUCGAAACCAGAUACAAUGAAGUUAGCAAUGUCUGAUGACAAAAUGUAGCCUGGACCAUUAGCAUAAGGUGGAUAAACUUCUUCUGGCCACUCCUACACAAUCCCAAGAGACAAAAAUGGUAAUAAAAGCGUCCUAAUUGUAUAGAUGAAAACUUGACAAAUUGACACUUCCAACGCAGAUCUCAAAGAACCAAGGCGAACUAAGACUUCACCGAAAUUUGAUAGAAGUAACCAGGUUUAACAGAUCAUGAUUAUCAUCUGCAAUUUCUAGGCAGAGAUUUAACUUUUUAACAUGAUUAUAAACACCACUAGAUAUCCAAUUAGUCACAUCAUUAUUUACAGCAUCUCCACAAAAACGGUGUUUCCAACUUGUAGAUGGCAUGCCCUUUAAUGCAAUUCUACACCAAUUAAUGAAAUAAAAUUGCUUCAUUAAAUUAGACAAAGAAAAUUUCAGAUUUCAUAGUCGUUAGUCAACCACUGGAUCAAUCUAAGGCUACACAAAACCACAAGGGCUUUAAUUUGCAAUUAGAAUUAACUAUAGCUGAAUGAAUUCCAAAAUUUUCCCUCAUCCAAUAACAAGGAGUUAUGACACUGAAUAAGAACCACACGUAUGGAAAAUAAAACCAGAUGUUGAAACACACCUCGUAUGUUACUGCCCAUUUCCCACUCCGCAGGGGCUUAUGGUAGUAGUUGAUGUUGCCAAUAUACAAACUCCUAUUCUCCGGCAUCUUAUUUGCUUCCUUAAGAACUGUUUCCACUCGCACAAAUGUGUCAUCAUCACACUUCAUGAUAUACUUUGCAGCAACUUUGCGAACCUAAAUAGGCAACUGAUACGCUUACAGCAAAGUAAAAAAUGGAACUUGAAAGCUUAAGGCUUCCACAAAAUGCUACUCACCCCGUAUUCACAGAUGGCAACUGUUUUCAGUACGACGAGGUCAUAAUGAUCCAUGUAAGGAACCAUGACCAUGUCACCAAAAAACUCAGCUUCCUUCAUUAACUCCACAUUCACUUCCUUUCUUGGAUGCUGUCCAGACAUCAUAAAACAAACAAAUACCAUCAGGCUAAGCUAGCUUCACUACACUAUGAAUUGGAUUUACAACACAUACUACAAUUAAUUGACAUACCAGAGCCACGAAAAACCGAGCGACAACAUUUGCAGAUUUAAUAAGCCUAUGCUGCAUCCAAGACUUCCUCACAGCCAUGCGCUCGGCAAAAUGGUUGCCUGCAGAAAGUAUACCAACAAACAGGUCGACAGGUCUAUCUGGAAGAGGUGGAGCCUUCCAUAUUGGUGACAUAUCUAGAUGCCUCUGUGGAGCAAAGCUAGGAUGCGAUGUGGGCAAGGAAGCAGCAACAAUAGAAUGUAUGUCAAUGUCCCCAUUCAAAGUCAAUCCAGUUGCAUCCUCGAGCGCAAAACCCUAUUAAGAACCUUAUAAAUGGUCGCCAUUUACCACAAAACCUAUACACAAAUGUCACUAACAUGCAACUUACAGUUCGAUAAGGAAAUGAUGUUACAUGCCUCCCAUCCACACUGACAUGAUAACCCUCCAAGCCAGCACUUACAGUUAAAACAAACAGCUUGUCCUCUGCAAAUGGGAAAGGCCAAUCGAAAGAGACCUUCUUUGUUCUUCCUAUCAACCGGUUUAACCACCAAGAUGCUUUUGUUUCCUCAGAGUGAUUGUCAUUGUCUCUAAUCCACUUUUCACAUUUCACCUGACCAUCAACUGCAAAAAGAUGUCCAAAUAGUACCUAUGUUUAAUAUCACUGAAUUAAUACAUUCACUCAAUUGAUAAAGAUAUAUUAGCAAAUCCCAAGAACGACGCAAAUAUGCCUUUUUUUCUAUUGACCUUACGGCUUCUAGGAAAACAGAGAAAACGGAAUAUAGACACUCAGAACACGACUGAUCACCAAACCAAAAUCCAAUCAGUCGAAUGAGUUCCCCAACCUCAUAGAGCUAAUCAAGAUCAGUCGGCUAUAAUCAGGUAACAAUUUUAAAAAUCAAAUACUAGAAAAAGCAGCAAUCUAAAUAUACUCAGAAAUGUUGGGGGAAAGGGGUGGGGGUGGGGGGGGGGAAGGUGGGAUUUCAAAAAUUACUGACCAGUCUCCUCAUCAACCCUGGACUUCCAUCCUUCACAGCGUUGGGAGGUCCCCCACUGCAUCCUGUAACAAGUAUUCUGCUCAAUCACGGACUUUCCACUCCAAUCUCCUUUCAACCUGGGAUUGAAAUGCAAAAUUCGGGGAGGGUCCUCUCCAUCCACAGCCUUUAAACCCUGCAAUUCCAUCAUAAACUGCGAAACCAUCACAUACUGCCCAUCUCUGAGCAACGAAAUCCUAGUCUCGUGCUCGGCAUGAGCCUUUUUGGGCUUGCCCACAAUGGUUAUAUGUGAUCCCAGGGUGAGCCCGCAGGGCAGCACCAUCAGUCUCCCCUUUUUCUCCCAAAAUUCAUCCCCUGCCAUCCAUAUCGAAUGCGGGCAGGAGGAGGAGGAGGCUUCUUCUUUGGUCCUGUUCUUCUUGUCCAAAGCAGCUGCCGAAUUCAGACUAUUACCAUCCUCCCACGAUUUGAAGGAGAGAUCGUCCCAGAGCUGUCUGCCCAGCGAAUAAGCCUCUUUUGCAGACUUGAGUAUCUGGGUGGAGUUUGCAGCACCGUCAAAAUUGAAGGCGGACAAGGGAUGAGUGAAUUUUUGAAUCCUCCUUUCGGGUUUGGAAUCGUCGUUAGUAGUAGUACUAGUAUUACUGGGAAGCCGACGAAAAUCCAGAGCGGGGCGAAUUGGAGAUUCUUGUUCUUCUUCCAAGUUCAAUUCUUCAUUUUGGGGUAUGAAUUGAGGUCCUCCGCCAAUUCCCUCUUGGGACACAGUCUUGAAAACAAAAGGGACCUCCAAGCUCACAAGAACUAUAUACAGAAUCGCUAUGAAAAUCAAAAUCUGCACCGACUUCUGCCGACUCAAGGACAUGAACAAGUCCAACUUUGCUCUCUUCAUCCUAUCUUUUCUUCUACUUCUUUCUAAUUAUUUUUAAUCUCUGGGUUGAAGUGAUGAAGAAAGCAAAGUUUUUUGCUUUUCCUUAAUGGGUUAUCAACGGCAUGGGGGAUCACGAAUGCGGAGAAAACCCAGAAAACCAGGCUUCCAAAGAGCAGAAACCAAUAAAUGGCGGAAGCAAGGAAAAUUUUUGCCAAAAAAAGAAAAAAAAAACUCUUUCAAGUUUGGAAAGCAACAGAAGAAAUUAAAUAGGCCAGGCCAGAGGGAGAGAGAGAGAGAGAGCGAGGUUGCCCGUUGUGGGGUGGGGCAAGGGGAGAGGGGAGAGCGGUAGGUUAUCAACACAAAAUUACAAAACUGGAGUUUAGAGAGAGAAAGGAAGUGAACAAGGGAAGGAGAAGAAGAGCAUGAGAGGGAGAGAGAGAAUUCCCGGGUGGGACAAAAAAGCUGCGUUUGUGUGUGUAGCGCUGGAGGCUUUCGAGGGCGGUGGGACUACAGUAACGAGGAAACUGGCCAACUUUAUCUUUUACUCUUUAAACCCAUUCAAAUUGGAAUGGCUUCUUCUUCCUCUCUUCUUCCUACUUCUAAUGGUUUAAAGAAGGGAAUCACUUACUUUAUAAAUGGCUAUUAUUGACAAUCUCACACUAAGUACUAUUUGUGAAUGUUAGCCAAGAAAUGGUAAUCACCAAAAAUCUUGAAAUUAUUCACCACAAUUCUCUUAUUUACGUUUUUUUUUAAAGUAAUCGAAUAUAUAUCCACCCUAUUUAUCAUCUGUAUUCCCUUCUGAACCUGAACUUCACGUAAUCUUGCUCGAAUUUCAAAUUUAUAGUUUUGGUGAUAAACUCUUUGAGCAGUGCUUGUUACCAUGGACGUAAAUGAAUCAAAUCGAAUCGAAUUUUAAUUUAAUCGAGACGUGUCUCGAGUAAAUUUCAACAAGUUCGAGCUCAACGAGCUUUAAAUGUAAAGUUCGACCUCGAGUUUAAAAAAUUUAAAAAUAAUUAUUUUAUUUUUAAAAAAUAAAUAAAUAAUAAUUUUUUAAAAAAUAAUAAAAUAUUAAAAAUAAACAUGUAAUUUCACUAUUAAUAUAUAUAUGUAUAUAUAUAUCGAGUCGGCUCGUGAGCUAAUAAAUUAAGUAUUUUUAAACUCGACUUAAUUAGUUCGAACUCGACUCGAUUUCAGUGUUAACUGAAUUCGAGUCGAGCUUUGAUUCAAAUUGCUCGUCAGCGGUUCAAUUCAUACGCAACCCACCGUUACACAUCAUACUCUUUUAAAUGUAUGUUGUUGUAGUGUGUGUGUUGUUGAUGUGUUUGCAUUUGCGGUGCGCAAACAUCACCCUCCCUACAAUGAUCAAAAAGUGCUGUAUAUCACUGACUUAAAAAAAAAAAAAGGCCCAGAAAGAAAAGUUUGGUACACACAAUUGAGAUCAUUUGACAACAAGUCAACUCUACUCUUAGGAUACUUUAAAUUAUCAGGUUUUAAGUCUGUUUAGUCAACAAAUAAAAUAGCUGUUAAAAAUAGAAAACACCUUUGUUCAUUUCAUUUUUUACUAUUUAAAGAUUUUUAGAAAAGCAAUAAAUUAUUAAACUUCAAUUCAAAAGUUAACCAUUUGCCGAUCAUCAAUUACAAACCGGCAAUUUUAAAAAAAAUUUCUUAAUAUUCGAUAAUAAGGUUUGAACACACAAUUCAUAAAUUAAAAACCAGCAAUUUUUUAAAAAAAUAAUUCUUAGUAUCUGAUAAUAAAAUUCAUUCGAACACACAAUAGUAGCAACCGCUAAAUCACAAUACUCUUUUGUGUUAAUGGAUCAUUCUAUUUAUUCUAUAGUAUUCGUAAUGAUGUCAUGUGCUUUAUUAUGGGAUUUAAUUUUUUUGAGCAAUACUUGUUACACAUCAUACUCUUAUGUGUUUGGUUUAUAAGAACAAAAUGUAUUGUGUUCGUAUUUGUAGCGCAUAAAACAUUCAUUUUGCUGUCGUCCCUUCUAUGAUCAAAAGUGUAUAUCACUAACUUUUUUUUUUUUUUUAAAGAAAAAGGAAAGUAUAGUACAUGCAAUUGAAAACUUUUAACAAGAAGUUAAGUCCUUGUCAUCAACUUAUGUUCUGCUGCUGCUGCUUUCAGGAUACUUAGACCUUGCUUGGAUUGCUUGUUUCCGUCGGAAAAUAUUAUCGUUUUCCGUGAUCACAUUUCCCUAUCACCUUUUUCUCUCACAUAUAUCAAAUCGCUAUAGUAAUUUUUCCAUGAAAAAUGACGAAAAAUGCAAUCCAAACACAACCUUAACUUAUCAGAUUUAGAGGAGGGCUUGAGGUUUUUCCUAUUAUAAGAUUUAGAGUUCGAAUCUUAUACCCUGACAAAUAGGAGUGGAAAGGGCAUAAGGAAGGGAUGAGAAGAUCGAAAAAACAAACUUAUCAACGUAUAAGACUAAGCACCAAAGGGGUGUUACUGUUCUCCCGUGCGUUUUCUCGGUUCUUUUCUUCUCCUUCAAAACUAGGGCAAACACAAAAUACCCUCGAUGCCUCCGCGGGCUCUCUCUCUCUCUCUCCUUUCUUCCUCUUGCUCUCCAUUUCUAACAUAUCUGAACUAUUUUUUUUCCCUAAGAGUCUCUUAAAGCUUUAGAACCUACGAAUGAUUAAAGAUUCACCACAAAUGCACACUCGCAGUUGGAAAGCGUACUUCUCGUGAAGUGGCGGAGUCUCUUUAUUUGAUUUAAGGUCAUCAUCGAAUCUAAUUUGGUUGUUCUUAACGUUUGCCAGUGAUUUUCCCUUUCCUCUUGAUUUUAUUUUUCUUUUUGAUAUGUAAAGAUCACUCUUUUCUCUUGAUUUUAUUUUAUUUUACAUGUGUACCAAUAGUAUAUAUUUGUUCCAAACAUCUGUACUUAUAUUGUUUCGUUAUCGCUCUUUCAAGAGUAAUUUCUCGAAUCAAUUUUGCAAAGAGGGGCUUCCAAAUUAGUUGUUCCGUUCUUCUAGAGUGAGUACGAUUUUGGAUGCUUUGUACUAAUUUUAUGAUUUCUCUUCUCUAGAGUCUCUCUCUCCCAUAUGGAUUAAGUUUCACCGCUCCUUCAAGAUGACCCGUUGUCGUAAAUAUUGGAGCCAUUUUCUCAUUUGACUCCACUAUUGAUUAGAUUUGCUAAUGUUGCAACUAAGGAGGCUGUUAGAGAUGCUAACUCCAACUUCACUUUCAUUGCAAGGACCAAACUUCUUUCAAGAGGCGUUGUGAAGGUCUUUACAGGUUGAUUGAUAGCUACGUUAGGCAGUGGAGAGAAUGUCAUAUAAAAUUGUGUCAAAAAAUGCAAAUUGUUUUAGUUUUGUGGGUCGUUAUCCGAUAAAUUCACAAUAGUGUAUUAGUAACAUAUGCUGGUCUAUGCUCAUAACUUACAUUUAGUAUCUUAUCCAUUGGUGUUAGCUUCAGGUUUCUUUUAUUCAUUUGCUAUGCUCGAAGAUGAUUUCUCAGUACACCAAACAUCUACUCUUUGACAAGUGCAUACUGCUGAACCGGUCAACUUGAUUCAACCGAUCAACUUGCACCAUAAACCCACUGAACCGGUCCAUUGCCGGAUUGGUGGCGGGGUUGGGUUCAACAAAUGAGAAAAAAGGAGGUGCAACCUAAGUCUUUAUGAGGUUUUCAAAAAAAUACAUCAAUAUUUAUAGCAAAUAAAUAUCGACAGAACAGAUUGCAGAGUUAAUUGGACAAUGAAGUAAACGAACUUUUCCUUCAAUUCGAGUGUUAUGUAAGGAAUAUGAGCUAUUGUACGAAACUCAAUCUGCAUCCCUAAAAUUUAAAACGGUAGAAUACAAAUAGUAUUUUAUUGGAGCCGUGAAAGUCUCAAAUAAUAAUACAAAACAACGCUUAAUUUUUUUUUUUUUGUGGUUGAAACAAUGCUUAAUUGAUUUUUUUCAAAAUUUUUUCUCUCAGGGAAAGGGUGAAAUUUAGGAAGCGGGGAAGAAGCAUGGAUAUUUGAACUCAAAACCUCUACGUUUUAGGGUGCAAUCUUAACAAUUAGACAGAGACCUUCUUAGCAACACUUAUAGCUAGUUUGGAAGAGCAGAUUUGGUGAGAAAAGAAAAGAUUACAAAGGAAAGUUGAAUCUUUCUCACAUUUGGGACUUUGGAUAGGAAAGAAUUGAAAAGAAACGGAAGGAUGUCAGCUCCCUUCCACGUCAGAAAAACUUUCUGUCCAAAAUCGGCGGAAAACGUGAGAAAGUGGAGUGAGUUAAAUGAAUUAUACCAUAUGCCAUUAUUACCCUUAAAAAAAUUAAAAUAUAACUAUAUAACCUAAUAAAAUUCUCAUGGUAACUUAAGAUUUAAGGAUUUUUAUGUAAAAUUGAAUUUUGUCUUUUCAAUUCUCUCCCUUCCAAACAAAAGAAAGUUAUUUCAUCUCCUUUCUUCUCCAAAAUUCCCAAAUAACAUGAAAAUAUAUUAUAAUCUUUUCUUUUCUUUUCUAACUUAAGGUUUCUGUUCUUUUCUUUUCUUUCCUAAACUCCCACACUAGCUAUUAAGGAUGGCAAUGCGUGGCCACCCGCCCCGCGGGGAACUAAUGGGGCGGGGGGUGGGGGGAAAAAAUUUCCCCCUGCUUUAAAAAAUAAAUAUAUAAAAAAUAUAUAUGUAUAUAAUUAUAUAUAAUAUAUAAUUUAAUUAAUUACAAACUUAUGAUAAUGAUAUUAUUAGUUAUAUGUAUUAUAUAAUGUAUAUUAGCAUAUGUAAUAUAAUUGAUAUUAUCAAUUAUACUAAUACUUAUAUACGUGUACUGAUACAAAUUAUUAAUUAGUUAUACUAAAUUUACUAAUACAUUUAUACUAAAUCCCUAAUUACACUUAAUACAAUAAUAUUUUUUUCUCAAAAACAAAGCACAAACACAAUAAUGAAUUAGUGAUUGUAUUUGUGCCAAAAGUAAAAACUUGACUAUUUUAGUUGUAUUUAUUUCAUCAGAUUGGAUUGUAUUCAAAUAACUUUUGUUUGAUUGUUUUUAUAAGUUUCAAUUAUGAAAUAACAAUGAAUAAUAAUUUGGUAAUGUGUUGAUAUUUUAGUACUUGAUUAUUUGUUAAAAUUUAACAAUAAUAAAAUUAUAUAACAAAUUUUUAUUAACCCCGCGGAGGAAGUGGGGAUAAGGCGGGGGCAGCUGGGGACGGGGACGGGGGUGGGGAUGGGGGAAUUUGUAGGCAGUGGUCCCCUGCCCCAACCCCGCCCCGUUGCCAUCUUUAGCAACACUUCAUUGAUUAUUGAAUAAGUUCGGGGCAUCAAUGUCACAUUGAUAUAGAAAGUGUUUGAAUUCAGGACGAAAGGACAUGCAUUUUGUUUUGUCAAUAAUACAUGUGAAGUGUCUUUUAUCAGCGGCCUUAUGUCACCGAAUAGAAAGGGAAAAACGACAAGUAUGGUAAUAUAUGUUGCAUUAACUUGUAAUGACUUUUGGUCCAAAAGAUAUAAUUUCCCUUUAUAUAUGGCAUUGUUAUGGAAUGAAUCGAUUGCUUUGCAUUUUUCUUAUUCCAAAAAUUGGUAAUAGCAUUUGAUUGAUGUUUGACCACAGACUUCAGUUCAUGGUCACCAUAGAUUAAUAAAAGCUUGCGGUUAGUUGAUCAUAGUCAGCAGUCAGCACACGUUAAUGAAAACUUGCAUCUGUGGAGAGUGGCAAACGGGAAUGAACGUUAUUAUUACUCUAACCCAAGAUUAUAUAUAUAUAUAUAUAUAUAUAUAUAAUAUUUAUAUAUACUAGGAGGAAUGUCAUGGGUGUUUGGCACGUGUGGUUAAAGCAGAUUUUUUAUGUGCUUGUGGUGAGCAAGUAAAUGAAGAUAAACAUAAGAUAACAACGCAUAUUAAGUAAUACUAAGGAAAUAUAACUUCUACUGAAAACCAUUAUGAAAUGCUGAGUGUAAAGGCUGAAAAAAUAAAGCAGUUCUGGAAGCCGAAAGGGGAAAACCAAAGAAUGUGAAGGAGGCAGAAUUAAAAGAGUCAUAACUGAUGCUCAGACAAUAACUCACCAGCAUACCCACAUUUAUUGGUUAUUUAAUUGGGAUGUAAAUAGUGUUUUAUUGCUGAUAGAGAAAUUGUUUUAAACGGCUGAGCUUCAGACAUAGGAAAGCAAAGCAGGUGUUAAUAUAAUUAUGAGUGUUUCAGAUAAUUGAAAUGGAGUUAUACAGCAAUUACAGCAUUGAUUCCCAUUUCAUUAAUUGCAUAAAAAAACACGCUUAUAUGAAUUGAACCAAAUGCACAAAUGAUCGACAAAUAAGCCCACAUUCUACAAAUACCCAGAUAUGUCUAUAUAUACAAGUUUUAAAUGUACAAACAUGGGAGUUUUAAUGUAAAAACACCCAAACACAUGUUGCAAUCAGUUGAAUCAAAACUUUGAAAAAAGUAACACAUUUUUCAAAAUUUCUAAAAUGCCUCCGCCCAUGCGGUUGAAAUUCAACUCCCUCUUUGAUCAAAACUCAAUCCUAUAUAGUCUAUAAAUACAAGUUUUAAAUGUACAAACAUGGGAGUUUUAAUGUAAAAACACCCAAACACAUGUUGUAAUCAGUUGAAUCAAAACUUUGAAAAAAGUAACACAUUUUCAAAUUUCUAAAAUGCCUCCGCCCAUGUGGUUGAAAUUCAACUCCCUCUUUGAUCAAAACUCAAUCUUAUAUAGUAUAAGGAUAUAUAUAUAUAUAUAUAUAUAUAUAUAUAUAUAUAUAUAUAUAUAUAUAUAUUAGGAAGAUUAUAUUAUAUGGGUUAAUUGCACUAUAUACGGGGAAAUGUUGAACUUUGCCCAUCCAAACUUUUGUUUAUGCCGACUUUGCACAAGAAUGGCAUUCAAGUGUGGAUGCUCUUUUUGUUUUUUGUUUUUUAAUUCCACAGUAUUUCUUUUUACAUAUUCUUCUUCUUUGUACUUUGGACUCCUUGAUUUUUUUAUGACCUAAUACUAGGUGUUUUGCUAAUAUCUGGUGUUUAGUUUUAUUUUAUUUUAUUUUUAUUUUUGAGAUGGGUUCAAGGAAAAUUAAGGGUUUGGUGGAAGGGGAAGUGUGUAGAAACGAAGAGUAGAAGGAGAAGGAAUAGAGAAUGAAAAUUUUGUAGGGGAAUAAAAAAAAUAAUAUGUUUCUAAAAUUUGGGUAUAUGUUGAUCAAGAAUCAUUAAAAUUAGAGCAAUGUUUUCAUUUUAAAAAGUUGUAUGAGCAUAGUGCAAUUGCUUCAAAAGUUUAAAGGCAUUUUACUCUUUUAGGAAUAGAGUAAUUUUUUUUUUAUAUAUACUAACAGAUUUAGAUCAUGUCAUAUAAUACGAAUUCAAAUUUAAAAGUUAAAUCAUGUAUGUGUAGCAUAUAUUCGUAGCCGCUGAUGUAAAAAACAAACACUGUACUAUAUCAGUGUAUAAAAAAAGUUAAUACUAAGCAAUUUAUAUAAAAAAUGGUUUUCAAAAUUAUGCUCCUAUUUCGGAUCUUUUUGCAAGUCACAAUAUGAGGAUCCUCAAAUCGUAAGAUUCUAACAAAAGCUAAAAAUAGAUACACUUGUUUUCAAGUUAAUAAUAGUUCAUCCAAAAAAGUAUAAACCGUUGUAGGAAUACAAUAUUAACCUGAAUUAAAGAGUUUUAGUAAUGGAAUAUUCCGACAAAACAAUGAGGGGGCAAAAAAGUAAGGAUCACGUAUUCUUUCUGGAUGCAUUUUGUAAUUACCAUACAAACUAAAGUCACUUGAGCAUCUGUACUAGAGAUUCUUCCAAAUGCUUCAUGAAGAAAAAUGUAGUAGUAGUAUAGUACUACAUCAAGAAUUCAAGAAUUGGGUUAUCAAGAAUUCAAGAUCAAAAGAAAAAUAGAGCCACUAAAAAAUAUCGUUGCUGACAAUUUUGUGUAUACUAUUUAAUUGGUCUGUAGACAUUUAGAAAUUAAGAAUUGAAUUCUCUGCAGAUUGAUUUCUCUUUGUAAAAGAAAUUGACCAGAAUAGAAAAUUCUACGAGUACAAUUUUUUUUUUUUUUUUGGAAUUAUUGCUAAUUCCCAUCUCAAAUCUCGCAUUACAAUCAAAGCCAACUCAAAAUUACAGCCGAAGGAGUUGGACAGCUGCGCAAUAUUUUCUUAAGAUACAAGCCAAAACGUAUGCAAAAGUUAAAUUUGAGAUUCAACUUUUUUUUUUUUGUUGUAUAUAUGUCGUGAAUUCAAAGAUAACAGUUGAAAUCACGUCAAUGCUAGACAUUUCAAUCUCUUGUUGCCUUGAACUGGAGAAACUUGUCGACUUUUAGUAAGCUCAAUGCUUUCUCUAGAUUUUAGAUUUCUUUUUUGGAUCAUGAACAAAAUUAUAGUUCCUCUAUAUUUUGUAACAUACAUACAUACAUACAUAUAUAUAUAUAUAUAUAUAUACAUAUAUAAAAAGCACUUUGCAGUUGACGGUUGAAAAUUUUUCAUCUGUCAAGUGGAGGGGUAUAUUUGGAUGUAGAAAAGUACAAUGCAAAUGAUGAAGCGCAAAGUACAAUAUUGUUAUGCUUGCUUCCAUAGUUGUUGACUAUAGUACCCUUUCAAGUGGGAUUGUGGCAAACGGUUGGGAAAUUUGCAUGUGCUGUGUCUAGGGGUAAUUUGGGGCCAGGAAACGUACAAUGGAAAUGAUCUAGCGAUGAGUACAAUGGUGUGAUGCCUCCUCUAGCAGUGUUUCCCUAUCCAUUAAGUUUGUCAUUAAUACAAAUACAGGAAAGAAGUUCGAUAGAUGAGAAACCAGGUGAAACAAAAGACAUGCAAUUCAAUUUGAAUAAAGAAUGGGAAGAACUCGAAUGAUAAUUUAGCUUUAUUUAAGAGAGUUUUAAUGCGUAUUAGAUGAAAAAUCAUUCAGGUAACUCAUUAAGAUUGUAAAUGCAGCACCUUUCCUCUUCUUUUGCAGUUCAUGGAAUUUUAGAUGAUGGAAUGAAACUAAUUCAAGAGUGUAGUUAUUGAAGUCACUAAUUGAUUUAUCUUAAAGAGAGUUUUAGUCUGGAUUAGGUGAAGAAUCAUUUCUAUUUAGUUACCAGAAUAAUUGCAAUGCCUUUGAGCUUCCUGGCAAUAAUGUAGGCUUUGGGUAUUGAUGCAGGUGUUUGUAUUCCGUAUCUUUUUAAAGGCGUUUGCCUAGGUUUCUUUAUUCUUUGUGUCUUUUUUUUUAUACUUUUUUUUGUAUUCAACUGGUUCAUUAGAUACUGUAAAUUUUUUACUGCAAUUUUUCUCUUUAGCUAUUAUAUGAAUUUGAGAAUUUCAUUAUGAAGUAGAUAAUACCUCUGAACAUUGAAAAUCUGAUUUUUCUUCUAACUGUUCUUGGAAAUCUGAUUUUCUUAGGUGUAGGUGGUUGAAUUGUGAGGAAAAGUUAUUUGUAUACUGUAACUUUGACUUGAAGGUAUGAUUUAAAUCUUCACUCACAAUUGCUAUGUGUGAAUUGUUGACUCUCAUUUUGAUAUUAAUUCUCAUCUUGGUGUAGGUUUGAAUCUAUAUACUUAGCUUUAAAUAUAACUUGCACAAAAAGGCUUGAACCGUGUUGAGAUUUAAGCUUUAGUAGAUGAGUUUAGGAGAGACUAUUUCACUAUUUGUUAAAUGGUUGUUUCUCUAUUCAUUGUGCAGAAUAUCAAUAUCUCGUUUGCUGCAUACAAGAUGAUUAAUGAGAUACAUAUGUUGUGAUUUGCAUAUAUGGCUUAUAUGCCUGUCCCUUAGUUAUUGUUAUUACUGGAUUAGUGCAGCUGACAAAGUUAGUGAUUUGCUUGUUUGGUUUCUCUCUAUUUAUUUGACCUUGCAUUUGUUUAUUGGAAUUAUUGUUGCUUAGAGAUUGUUUAAACUCCAAGACCAUUAGGGAGUUGUUUUAGUUAUAAUAGCAGAUUUAAAAGUUACCUUAAUUGCAUCAAAUUUUAGAAUGGAUAGAUGUAACGAUAAACUAAAUGCUAAAAAUUAACUUUGAAAUGAGAGAGGAAAAAAAGAUAUAUGCAUCAUUAUGUAUUGAACAAAAAGAAAAAAAUCCAUGAGAAAUAACGUCAAACUUCUAAUAAGAGGACCAUUAGGUAGUUGUUUUAGUAAUGAUAGCAGAUUUAAAAGUUACCUUAAUUGCAUCAAAUUUUAGAAUGGAUAGAUGUAACGAUAAACUAAAUGCUAAAAAUUAACUUUUAAAUGAGAGAGGAAAAAAAGAUAUAUGCAUCAUUAUGUAUUGAACAAAAAGAAAAAAAUCCAUGAGAAAUAACGUCAAGCUUAUGAUAAGUAUAAAAAGGUGAAAAAACCACUAGAUCUGCUUUUCAAACCGUCAUGAAAAAUAAUGGUAAGUAUAUCUCAUGCCAGAGGUUUAGUUUAGAAAAAUAGUUGAUAUCGAUUAAAUACUACCAUCAUAUAAUAGCACUAUGCUAUUUAUAAAAGUAUGGUGCCAUUUCCUCAUAAUUUUAUUUUAUUUUUUAUAAAUUUACUCAUUUCACCACACAGGUUACCAUUCCCGCGCUGAGCGCUGGCUUAUCCCCUAGUGUAUAUAUAUAUAUGAAUGGCAAGAUGAGUCUCCAGUUUCCAACCAUCUAUAACGUGGCUGAAAAUACAUAACAAGAAGAAAAAAAAAAUUGAUGAACAUGAUCAAACUUGAUUUAUAAAAUUUCUAGCUGGCGAAGAGGUCCUUGUCAGUUAAUUAACAACACAAUAAUGUUGGUCGAGCCGAAUAAUAAAUAAAUAAAGGUACCGGGCUAACGUAUUUUGUGUAAUGAUGCAUUUGGGAGGAUUCAAAUACUACGUCCUAGGUUAUAGGAUUAUUACCCCAAAUCCAAUUGCUACUUGCAACAAAUGCAGAUGAAAACCAUGCUCUCAACAGAAGAUACAAAAACAGCCAACUAAAAGAAAGUCUAGACACUCCCAAAUGGAGGAUCGAUGUUUCCAUUAAGCAAACUUCCUCCUAUUAUUCUGGCAUCGUUUUUUUUUUUUAAAUGGAACUCUUGUCUUGUGGGGAUAUUAGUUUGCAUUCGUUGAAAUAUUGUUAAGUUCACGAGUAAAGAAUUAUGUUCUACGUUGGUUUAAGAGAUGAAAAAAGAGCAGUUAAUAUAUAUCAAUCAGUAAGUGUCCGAAAUCUAAUAGUUUAAGUUUUUGAAUCAGAGUUGAGUUUCUGACUUAUAUAUUGGAUUCUUUGAUGGGUUUUCUGGAAUUGUUUCUCCCUAACAAAUACUAUGACCAUAAACUUAUCCCUCAAUGAAACAACAUUCAUCUUAUCUCAUCAAAUAGGGGGGUUUUUUUUUUAAAAUAUAUAUUAGUAUUGGAUAAAUUAUUGAGUUACUAACUUACUAUUAACACCUAUUAAUUGCAGGCACAGACACUACAAGGGCAUGCAAGGGGGUGGCGAUAUUGCCAGAGCAAUUUUUUCAUAAAAAACAAUUUCACCCAAGUCUAGUCAAAUGGUUGAAAUCUAAUUCCUAACUUCUUGGAGACUGCCCAGGAAUAUAAACUCAGGCACUGCCUCCUUAACCUUGCCUCCCCAAAACAUCUCUUGAUCUCACCAUCUCCGGUGACAACUGACAAAAUACAGCUUGCAGUGGCAUUUGGUAAUGGAUUUGGCAACCCGGCCUGCAUCAAGACUUUUUGUUAAAACAUGCAGAAAAUUAUAUAUAUAUAUAUAUAUAUAUAUAUAUAUAUAUAUAUAUUGUGAUUAUACUUAGUUGAGUUGUAAUCGUGCGUGCGUAGAUGUUUCCUAUGCUUGUGUAUACCUAAUAUUAGAUGGAUUACUCUAACUUUGAUGGUCAUACAUACGCGUCAUUCAAUUCUCAGUGCAGAACGACAACAGCACUUGCUUCCGCAUGAAAUGAAAGGGAGAAUUUGUAUCAAGGUUGACCAUGCAUGACUUCUUCUUAUGGUUCAUACUUCAUAGAAUAGAAUAGAAGUAGUCAGUCUCAGCUCUGUAGGAGGGUCAAUUUUGGUGUCAAAGGCCGAGUGCUGGAUUUCUUGAAAAGAAGACUGGUGCAACAAGUAUGUCACCGCUGGGUGCCACAUGUUCUCUAUUCUCCUGCGUUUUGACCUGUCUCAUGGCCUAUUUGCUGCUCACACCCCGCUUCGAUUCCUUUCUUCUUCUCUAUUCUAUUGUUGAAUGUUGUCGUAUGGACUUUUAUUGGAAAAGAGAACAAUUCUUUGGGCCCAUCUCAAGUUCAGACUUUUGCAGCAGAUGAAUUGAUGAUGAAUCGUCGUACGUAUCCACGGCUACUAGGCUCAAGAAGACCGGAUCAGCUAGUCAAUUCUCCAUUAUUUCCUUCCGGUUUCCAAUCUGCUGCGUUGCUUUAACCAACGUGUCGUCGUAGGGUUGUAAUUGAAUCAAGUUGCUCUCGAGAGCAGUUCAGCGAAAAAUUCAACUUGGACUUGAGUUGAUCAAGUUCGAAUCGAAUUUAAAUUGCUCGAUAGGUCUAACAAAUCGAGUUCGAAUAUCUAAUGACAAGAUUCGAAGGCUCGUCGAGCCUUAUCGAAUUUUUUAAUUUUGAUUCUUUAAUAUAUUAUUAUUAUUAUGAAAUUACCCUUAUGCUCACACAAAAAAAAAUAAUAAUAAAAUUCUUUGGACUCGUCUUCGAAUUUUUAAGCAAAUGAUUAAUCAUCUGCUAGGAAUGGCAAACGCAGGCUGGAGGGGUGGAUCCCUCCCAGCCCUAUUUCAGCCUGCCCGCAUUUCCUGUCGCACCUCCUCCAAUUGCCAUUUCUAGUACUUGCUAGGCUCAAAAAGACCGGAUCAAACUAGUCAAUUUUCCAUUGUUUGCCUUUUUCCUUCCGGUUUCCAAUCUACUGCAUUGCUUUAACCAAAGGUCCUAGGGUUACAAUCGAACCAAGUUGCUCAAGAGCAGUUCAGUGAAAAAUUUGACUUGGACUCGAGUUGAUCAAGUUCGAGUUGAAUUCGAGUAGUUCAAUGGGCCUACCAAAUCGGGUUCGAGUAUCCAAUGACAAGAUUAGAAAAUUCGUCGAGCCUUAUUAAAUUUUUUAAUUUUAAUUCGAAAGUUCAAUGGACUUGAGUAUAUGUGCUUGAAGUGCGGUGGUUUGGCAUUUGGUUGGACUUCAAUCGCGUCAGUUCAGUUAAACGGUAUCCAACAAACUUAAAGCUAACCUAGCCAGGCCGCGGGGAUACAAUUCUAGUGGCAACCUCCAUCAAAACAAACAAAAUUACUCUUUAAUUUGUGUUUGGCUCUUACCAGUUAUGGACCUUUCAUAAUUACUACUAAUUAUUCAGAAGAUCAUUUACCAACCCAACAAAAAAAGAAAAAGAAAGAUAAAACACAUCUGUGAUUUUGGAUUGGAGCAUCAUCCUUUGCCCAUUUUUAGCUGAGGAUGAUGGAUCGUGGUCGUGGUCGUGGACGCGAAACACUUUUGAUUGCAGAGGUAGGAUCGACCCUUAAUUUUUGGGCCAAAUUUUUCUGCUCUAUAUCAUCAUGUUCAUAGUUCAUAGUUCAGACCCACACCGUGUGGUAUCAACACUCGGGAUCUAGUACUUCUAUUUCCACACACUUGGGAGUUUACGUCGUAUGGAAAUAUUCUUACAUACAUAUUUGAGGUCCAUCGUGGCGGGUUCAGCUAUAAAUGGGGUGCAACAAAGCAUGAAUGGUUAUUGAUUAGGUAGCUAGGCUAGUUUUCCAGCAUCACGCCGCGUAGAGAUGUCAAAAUGGCGUGAGAUUGCGCAGCGGAUUUUCCGUCCCACUCUUUGUGUCAUUUUUUUUUAUUAUAUUGCUAUUUCUCUUACACAAACAUCACGUUUUAGUUUUUUUUUUUUAUUUUCUUAAGAUUCAAUGACUAUUAAUUGAGUAAAAUAUAAAUACAGUAGCUUCAAAAAAGCAAUAUAUAAUAGAAAAUUAAAAAAUACAGCAGAAAAUUCAGAUUGGUUAUAAUUAGAUGAUGGGUAUAAUUGGAUCAACUCAUUUACACUCUUUUAAUAAAUAGAUCAAAAUGAGUCACCCAUUUAUUUCAAUGAGUAUGGAUGUAUCUAAUUACACAACAUUUAUGACUGACUUCAAAUUUUUUUUUUUUUUUUUUUUUUUUGCAUGUCGUAUGAUAAGAAAUAAUGACAUUUUAUUGUUAUCAGAUUGAUAGAAAAUUCAAAAUUUUCUGUUUAACAUCCACUAAAAAUCGAGUUUAAAUAUUAACUUACUUUUAAAUGUGUACAAAUGGGUAGGUCGAGUCGGACACAUUCGAAACUCAUUGCAUACCUAAAAAUUCACUUAUUAGUGCUAGGGUUUGUGGACGGGUUAACAUAAUUGGAUUAUGGUCGACAGUAGUACCUCUAAUUUCAAGUGCUAGGGCACGAAAAUGUGCUUGACGUUUUGGUGUCAACGGAAAUAAUUUUGAUGAAAAUAUGCCGCCUACAUUAACGUCAUGUGAGCUUCUCUUUGAAUUACUUGUGUUCAAACGUACCAUACUCGUAGGAACGAUCCCAGAGAGUAUAUUCCUAAGUAUUACAAGUCCAUUCUUUAGCUACAGCUUGAAAACCAAGGUCACCUUGACAGAAACUUAAUAUGUUCCUGAACGUAAACUAACAAAACCAGCAGGAAUGAAGGAAGAAAACGAAAGAAGGCUUGGAAGAAACGGAAGUUAAAGAAAGGGGGUGGAAAUUUUUGGGGCCCAAGAAGAGCCUGAUUUACUUUCUGUGUCAACAUGCCAUAGCCAUAUUCUUCCUGUUGUCCAUCUGAGAAAUCAGACUGGUUUCGUCCAAAGAAAUCUGACUGGUAUAUAUACCUUAUUAAAGCCAUUUGCUACAACUGCACCUCACCUUUCUAUUCCAACAACACACCUGCAUAAUCGAAACAGGACCCUGAUAGUUGGAACUGCUUUAUUACCUUAGUAGCAGUACAGAAAUUUGAAACCCCUCACUGCUGCAGAGCAGAGUUUGUCAUUCAAAACUGUACCAAUUAAGAGGAGAAAAACAAAGAAAUCAUAGAAAGAUUGCAACUUGCACUCAUGGAGGGCAUCGAACACAGCGCAAAUAAUCUCCCCAGCAAAAAUAUGGUUAUUAAUUGGCCUCAGUUGCCUGAUACGUAGCCAGUUAUCUAAUAGCAUUGUACAUCAUUCUUGAAGAGUUAGCCGGGAUAAUGGAUAGGUGGAUGUACUUAACUAAUAAAAGCCGUAAUGCUCUUUGAUAUAAUUAGCUUCCAAGGCCGAAGUUAAGAGUAUUGUUAACUUUGCACAGAGCUCCUGCUGUUGAGUACGUACCACACCAAAACGGUGGAUUCUGAGGCUCAUAAAGGCCUUCCCAUGUAGGUAGGUUUGUUUAAUUAACUGGUUGAAUGUGAUUAUAGUAGUAGUAGUAUCAUCAAACUCGUGAGCAUUUUUAAACGGAUGCCAAUGUCCACUUCCUUUCGCGUGAUUGUUUGUGAGGAGCAAUUUAAUCUCAAUUAUAAUUUAGUUCCCAGUUUCAAUCUACAUUUAACCAAAUUAAUCACCCAAAAUGAACCUGAUCUGCAGCUCGUUGGGCGAAGAGUGCAAGGUACGUGUGCAAGUGAGUUAUUUCGAGUCUUGCACUAAUAACAAAUAGAGGAUGCAUCUGAUCAUGCGAAAAUAGCUAGCUCAGUGCGAGUCCCCCCAUGCAUUUCUUGCUUUUCUUGUCAACAGCUAUAUUGAAACGUUUUUAAACCGCUUUCAGGUAUAGCCCAGUGCCAGUCCCCCAUGAAUCCUUCCUGCAAUAUUAUAUAGAUUGCUAGAUGUAAGAUAUGGUGAAGCCUCCUUACUGUGACAAGAUUAAGAUGCAAACGAAAGAGGUUCAUUUGACAGAAGAGGAGGAUACAAAGGCCCAUGCCUAUGCACCAAAGCAAGGCACAGGCAAUUGGGCAGCAGCCAUGCCGAAGAAGUCAGGUACCGUCGUGAUAAAUGAUUAACGUGGCUGUUUAAGAGAACCAAAGGAGAAGGAUCCAAGUCUUCAUGAUGGAAUAAUUAAUUAAUCGAAUUUUGUUUUGUUUCAUGAGUAAUGUACUCCUGUGCAUGAUUGUGUUUACCAGGAGCCAGGAGAUGUGGGAAGAGUUGCAGGAUAAGGUGGAAUGGUAAUCAAAGGCCCGAUCCUGGGCAUGGAAGCUUCACACCCGAGGAAGAAGACUUAAUCAUUAAGCUCCAUGCUGCAAUAGGGAGCAGGUGAGUCCUACACGUAAAAAUUGUCAAUAUUUGCAUUCGCAGGUCAUAGUUUACAUUGAUGAUGCUGAUCAGACUUGGCAAAUGUGUUUAGUAACUUUUCCCAGGAAUGAAGUUUUAGCUGGGAUAUAUGCCUGCCCUGCUGCUAAGUUGUUUCCCUUGACAAUAUAACAGUCUGGAGAAGGGACUGGAUUCUACCAAUCAUCAUUGUUCAUAUAGUAGUAGUAUUUCCUCAGCAUACUGGAUGCUAUCUUCUGAUUGACAUCCAACUUCCAAAAUUUCCUAUGGCUCUACCAAAAAUAUGACUGGCAAUGCAGACUAUGCAUAUUCUGAUUUUGAUAUUUACCUACCCUUGUCAUCUUAGCUAUUGUCAUCUCUGGGUCAUUGUGGUUUAAGCCAAAACUGACAUGACAAGAUUUGGAUAUCUGCAGUUGAACAACUUUCAUCACUAACCGAAUAAGUUCUAGAACAAAAUGGCAGAAUUGUCUCAGCUCCUGCUCAGAGCCGGCUUUAUAAGUUUGCGUAAUAACAAAUGUAUUGGUGAUGACUUGUUUGGCUUCUAGCUGCUACGAUUGCUUUGAUACUUUUGCCUGGUGGAAGGAACAUGAGCGUGUGUGUCUCAUGUAAUUUCUGCAGUGCAGGUGGCCGAUAAUAGCACAACAACUUCCUGGGAGAACCGAUAAUGAUGUGAAGAACGUCUGGAACACUAAGCUGAAGAAGAAGCUCUCUGCAAUAGGAAUUGAUCCAGUAACUCAUAGGCCCUUCUCCCAAAUUCUUGCAGACUAUGGAAACAUCGGCGGCUUCCCAAAAGCUAGAAAUCGAUCUGGCUGUCUCAGCAGAGACAUAAAGAAUGCAUUUGUGCUAAAAUCUGAACAAUCUCGUGGCCUUCCAGAGAGGUCUUCGCACUUUGACAGCCAUUUUGGAACAACAAUUUCACCACUCGCAGUGGAACCAUCCAAACAGCAUUUUAUGAGCAACUGCAACCAUAUCUCUGCUGCCCGCAGUCAGUCCCUUGAACUUCUUUCUCAGCUUCAGGCCAUAACAAUGGUUACAGAAGCCUCAACUUACACCAAUACUGCAGCCCAAAUCCCUGCCGAAUGCUACUCAUCAUCUGCAUCAUCAUCACCGGAAUCUCCGCCCUCAGCUACCAACCAAGCCGCUGCAUCUCCAAGCUUCAGUUGGUGUGAUUUUCUUCUUGAGGACGCUUUUGUACCCACCACAUAUAUUGAGGAGAAAGAAAACGAAAUGAAGCUUCCACCAACUUAUGAUCCGAAGUCAAAAGAAAUGAAACUUUCUGUUGCAGCAGAAGAAGAAGAAGUGGAUAUAUCAGCCAAGACAGUUGAAGCUUCAUCAAUCUCCUGCGGUUCAUUUGUUGAAGCAAUGCUUGAAGGUGAAAAUGGAAUGCUAUCAGAUUUCCACGGCCUCUUGGAAGAUCCAUUUUUCUACUAGCUCAAUGAUACGUCGUACCAUAUUAUAUGUGCCUUGCAAAUUUCCAAGGAGUAGCAUGAAUCGUGUUAGGAUGAUUGAUUUCAAACCCCUUGCUUGCUUUUGAUGAGUCCAUAAGGGGCUAAUAAUAUGAUCUUUCAAUAAUUCUUGGUGACAUCUUUUGAUUUUGAUAUAUAUAUAUAUAUAUAUAUAUAUAUUUUGGAAGGAUCCUGAAAAGCUUUAACAUGAUGUAUAGUUGAGCGUCCCCACCGGGUAGUUCGAGCGGUCCGCUCCCCCUCUUUAGAGUAUGGCGACCUUCCUGGCAACUAGGAUUUGAGUUUCGCUGUUAACGCGUUCGGGGGAUGGGACCUCUCCAUCCGAAUCGAAGUGAAAUUAGUCGGGUCUCGUAAGGAUUGACUCGAACACUCACUCCAUUAGAAAAAAAAAAAAGAAGUAUAGUUGAGCAAGUCAUCAACUGCCAUGCACCUAAUUUAAUACAAAUACUAAACAAUUUUCAUAUUUUGAGCAUUUCUACAUUAACCCCCCACAAAAAAAAAAAAAAUCACAAAAACCAAUAGUACAUAUUACUAUCAAUCUUUGAAAAGAAGGAAAAACAAUUGCCAAAGGUGUUUCAACAAUUUUUUUUUUUAAAAAUAAAUUGGGGAAUAGAAUUAGUCUCUAUAAUACUAUCAACAUAUAUUGUAUAUGCUACUUUUACAAUAAUAAUAAUAUGUCAAUUAUUUCAUGUUUAGUAGUAGUGAUAAAUAAUUGCCACCAAUUCUUGAAAACCAAUUAGUAUUUAGUUCUAGUAACUUUUUAACUGCUACAAACACCUGAUGACCUGAAGAAGAAAGAAAGAAACAAAGAGAGAGUCCGUCGCGAGGGGAAGAAGAAAGAAAUGGUGGCGAUAUCGGCGGUGUACAAAGGGAACCUCCACAAGGUUCCCACCGACGUCCCUCGCAAAUGGCUCAUGCCUUCCCGCCAAAUCUCCCUUAAAGACUUCAAAACCCUUCUCCGACGUCGUUCCCGCGCCGCCCUCUCCCGCCUCCCCCAAUUGUCUCCGACCCCUAACCCUAACCCUGACCCUAAUUUCAGAGGUGCUGCUCAUGACAAUAAUAAUGAUAAUAAUAAUGACAGCGACAAUGAAAUGGUUAAUAAUAACGAUAAAAAUGCUUGCGCUGAGAUUAUUAUAGCUCAAACGAAGGAGGCGCCCAAUGAUAAAGAGGAGGAGGAAGAUGAGAUCAGGGUUGAAGAAGAAGGAUUAGUAGGUGAUCAAAUCGGAUCUGGCGCAUCUGAAACGCUAGUAUUAUCUGAUGAGGUUGCCCUGGAGAAAAAUGACCUGAAUGCUGCUGCUGCUGCUGUGGAACGGGGGCAGCAGCAGCAGCAGCAGCAUGAGGUCACAGAACAAGAGGACGAGAAGAAGAAUGAGCAGCAGCAGGAGGAGGUACCACUGCUGCUCAACCCUACCGCACCUCAGGUAAUUGGGGUUCCUUUUUAUCUAUUUGUGAGCUAGUCGAUCUCGGUUGCAUCUCAUGCUUUUUCAUGCGUUCAGUUAAUUUUGCCUACUCCGCUAUGUUUCAGCAACUUUAACUUAUCGAAGAUAUGAAAAUAUACUUGCAAGUUAUUCCUUUUUUUUUCUUUUUGGAUUAUUUUCUUGUCGAUAUGAUAUGUGUAUGGGCUUCUUUUUCUGUGCUGUGAAAGCAAUAAUGUCCCGUGAAUUAUUCUGAGCAUGUUGUUGUGACGAAAGAAUGCACUUUUGUUCGCUUUCAUAUGACUUGAUUUCUUGAUUCAUGGAUGUUGGUGACCACGGAAAAAAUUUGGUGUUUGAACCCACAUCUGGGUUCACUUCUGUAAAGAGAGAAAAGGAUUGUCUAUUGGCAUCUUGGUCGAGACAAUUGCUUUGGCAAACAGUUAUGCGUCCAAAAUCAUUUCUUUUUAAUGAGUGUUCUGAUUUACAAAAACGGAUUUUUUCACUUAGGGCUCCAAUUGAUUGAGGCUUUUAGUGAGACUAUCAUUUUGAGUUCUACAAUCCUCAUUCACCUUCUCUUUUUGUUGUUCUUCAAUGCUUCAAUAUCUGUUUUUCCUCGUUCUCUAAGUGUCUUAAAUAGCUGUAUUAGAUGCUUACAUCUCCUUAUUCCAAUUCUCAAACAUUGCCGUGUAGGAUUCUAUCUCUAUACUAAUUAAUAACUGAGAACAAAUGUAAUCCAUAGGCACAGAAUACAUGACCAGGAGAUUUUACUUGCAAACUCUAAUAGAUGCAUUACCAUUUUGAUGGGAAAAUCUGCUUCUCUUUGUACUUUUUAAAAUCAGAGGUUUGAAUCAGCUGGUGUAAGAUUGGGAUUGCCUGCAUUCCGUACUUCAAUUUCUCAAGAUUUGCACAUCUUUUUCUGGGAUUACGAGUUCAAGUCUGAUUUAGAAUUUUGAUCAAUGGUGAGAAACCACAAUGGAUAUUGAAGUUUUCUCCAUCUCAUGUACCUGGUUUCAAAUGAUUGUUUAACCUUCCCAUUGCACAUUUAUUAACGAUAUCUGCUUAGUCUGCCUUAGAAUCUCUUGUCUAGAAAAUUUUCAACAAUUUCAAGUAAUUAUGGGAACUUCAGAUUCAAGAUUUUUAAUCUGGUUGUUGAAUCCUGUGCAAGUAGCAGAUUAUUGUACCAUUGCUUGUUAGGGCUAAGUAUGAAUAUUAAUCAUUUGCUCAGAAGGAAAGAAAAUUGGCUAGAUAGUGUAUUUCUUGAAUGUAUUCCGGAGUCUAGCUCAUAAGCUCAAUAAAUGCCUAGUUAGUUAAGGCCCAUAUAUAUGCAUAUAUACACACAUGCACAAACACACACUAUCUUGGCUCUGUAGCUGUGGAGGGGGAAAAAUGUAAUUGACAGAGCUUUAUGGGUGCUGGGAUUUAGUGUUUUUCAAGCAGAUGGACCCUGCUGGUCAAAGGCUGUGCAUGCCAAGAUUUUUGAGUAACUGUUGCAUAUAUGUGCCUCUUAUAGGACCCAGUUAUAAAUGAGCCUUUUAAAGGUCAACUGUGUGACAUGAAGGUGGCCGACAGUUUAUUAGACGUCCUGAUGUGGAUUACACUUCUCUAGUGAUCUUAUUUUUCUCUUAUUUGUGCUUGCCAUUCAUGAUUAACUUUGGCUGAACAUUUUCUUUUUCUCAUUUUUCACAGACGACCAGCAAAGAGGAUGAAGAGAGUGAUAAAUACAAAAGAAAGAAGGAGGUUGAGGAGAAACUGAAGAUUUUGAAAGAAAAAAAGCAUGGUCUGGUGCAGGUGCUAAAACAGGUAAUGCUAGGUUAUUUUCUUCACUUGUAUGAUAUUCUAGAUGGAUUAUCAAACUCUUCAAUUUUAAACUUCUUUUUGAGUAUGACUUUAUAUUUAUCGGAUAUGCUGUUAUCCAUUGUGUUUAAUAGAUCCAAAAUGCAGAAGAAGAACUUAAGAGGCGAAGCAGUGGACAGGGCAUGGCGGUUUGCCCAUCUGUUCCACUUCAAGUAGACAUUCCAACUGAUACCGGGUCAAUGACUAGGCUUAACACUCCUAGAGUUGGCUCAGAUGGAACCCUUGGCGGUGAGGUGGACGGAGGGGAAAAUGAUGGCAUGUUGAACCAUAAUCCCGAUGCUCGCCAUUUGCUUCGUAUGAGCAGCAGCUCCCCUUCCCCUUCUUCAGAUUCUCAACCCAAGAAGCCUGCUUAUAAUGUGGUAAGUUGUCACUACUGUUUCAGAAAGCUUCUGUGAAAUUUUCAAGCCUCUCAUUAUCAGAUUUUAUAUCCAUCAAAGGUUAUUUUAUUGGAGUUCAGUUUCUUCACAUUUAAAAUGUUUACAACAAUUUGGAUCAGGUUCCGAACCCUGCAAGAGCCAGUUUAGGGGUCUCCAGUCCUUCACGCUUUGCGCCAACCGGUCAGCAGGGACUGACUUCAAACUUGCCAACCGUUUCGGUGUCAGGGACCAAUUAUGUUGCCUCCUCUCCCUCUCCUGCUGCAUCAGGCGGAACGUCAGUUUUUAGAGAGAGCAGGGUCCCAAGUCCGUGGAAUUAGAAGCAAUAUUUUGCUAAACUGGAGAGGUAUCGACAGCAUGAAGACAUUAUUUAGAAUAUGCCGUCUUUAAUGUUCUUAGAGCGUGAGUAAGUUACUACGCCUUUGUCAGUGGCAUUUCUGGUAUCCGAGUAGUUUAAUUGAAGGUAUUGCAAUGACCCAGUUUUGGUUCAGAGAGAGGUUGAAAUGAAUGUUUGCACUAUUGUAUAGUUAAGGACUGCGUAUCCAUGCGUGUGCAUCAGAUAAUAAAUAAAAAGUUAACAGCUCUUUAAUAAAGGGUCAUGUAAUGUAAUCUGUCUUUGUGCUACGAAGCAUUCAGCUUGAGUUGUCUGCUAAUUCCCUUUAGACUUUUUCUCUAAUCUGAAACCCAGAUGUGCCUAUGAGCUUUUAUUUAGGGUGCCUGUAAUGCAUUGAUGGUUUCUGUUAGAUCCCCAUGCAGUCGUGCUACAAACUGCUUGAUUGGUUCUUUAAUGAUAACAGUGGAUUGUUGUGGGGGGAGUUGUUAUAUCCACUAAUUUUGAAAGUUGACAUGAUGGUUAGAAGUUGAACAUGGUGAUUGGCUUCAUCAUUUGGCCGGUGGCAUUUCUCUAUCACUCCCCCGUACGGACCUUUGAAUUUCCACUCUAGCAACUAUCGCAGUUUGAAUAUCCGGCGUAGAAUUUUGGGCAUAUCUGUCGUCUUCACCUUUAGUGUCUCGACUCUUGGGGUAGUCUUGACUACUACAGCCUGGCUUUGAAUGAUGCAUCACAAAGGGUUCUUAUGUUCAUAAGCUUUUAAGUUCAUAGAUAUGCGUCCCCCAGAACAAUAGUUGCGAAUUACACCACAUGCUUGCCACAAACAACAGCGGACAAAUAGCAUAGGGGAAAGAGGUGCCACCAGCUGUAGGGUGUUGUGCCAAAACCAAUCAGGUAGACUAAGACCAGACUGUCCGCCUCAUUAUUGAACAAGCAUCAGUUUCAGGAUCAUUUGGAGCGUAUUCAAAGAUCUUCCAAACGUGCAUUGUGGGUUGGGGAAAGACGAAUGAGACGACAGCAACAACCAAACAAUCCCCCAACCCUUCAUCUUUUUCAAAGCUAUUUGUUAUGCUGUUGCCGAAAUUAUUGACUUUUGUUUGUGUGCAUAUCUAUAUUUAGCCUUAUUUGAUGUCUUGUUUAUUCUAAGAAGAAUUCCCUUUUAAGGCAGAAAAAUGGGUUUUCUUGCUGCUAACAAGCGUAAUUUAUCUGAACGACUACAGCUUUCUACUACUUUGGACCUUUGGUGGAUUCAACAAAAGAAGAUAAGAUGUGGAGGAGGAGGCGGAGAAAGUUGCCGGUGGUUCUUCGGUUUUGCUCUGGUAUCAGCAGUGUAGUUAGUAUUGGUGGUGAGUUUGACUAUCUUGUAUUGGAGUUUGGAGUGUGACAUUUUUUUAAAAAAAAAAAAAAAAAGAAGAAGAAGAAGAAGAAGAAAAGAUUUUUUCAAAGCAUGUCAAUCAAAAUUGUGGAAAUUUCAGGAUUGAAUGGAAGUGACUUGAUUGAUGAGUUAGUAGGUAGGGCGAUGGUACGUUUGCAAAAAGGGCUAUAAUAUUAAGAGCAAAUUAUCUGGCUGGCCAUUAAACUUUUGCCAUCGUUGAGUUUUGGUCACUCAACUAUUAAAAGUCUGAUUUUGGCCACUCAAAUAUAUAAAGUUAAGAUAUGAGGCCAUUCUGUUAGAUUUAGCCGUUAAAUUCGUCGAUAUAUCCGUUCGCGCGAUUUCCAAGACAAAAGGUAGGGUUAAUUUAGGAAUUCAAUAUAGCAUUCAAUGCUUCUCUCAAAAAUUAUCGUUCUUCUUCCUGCCCCUCUUCAAAUCUUCGUCAGACCCUUUUCAUCCACCGCAGGCAUCACUCCUGCAACGCCACCACCGGUAUAAAGCUUGAAAUUAGUUUCCUGUCUGGAAAAUGCUUGUUGAAAAUUAGGAUAAUUCAGGAAGAAUAAAAUGAAGGAUUUGGCCAGAAUUGUGAAGGCUCAGACUUCUUGCUAUCUUCCCAAGCCAGUUAGUGGAUCGAGAGAGCUCCGCCCAAAGAGUGCCUACAGCCCGUGCUAGCCCAAGAUCCCUCCAACAUCUUGUGUUUUCGGUAUCUGCAUGCCACCACCACCACCUCCUACUUUGAAUUGCUUAUUUGGAGGAGAAGGGGAAGUUUCAUCUGCGCCGUCUCCUUGGCGGCCGCUUGAUCCUUCCUCUUUAAACAAAUCUUCCCUAUAUCUUUUCCUUAAAUAACUCUCUGUGGCAUCUUGCCCACCGCCGCCACCGCUAUCUCCGCCACCGUCUCCGCUGGGAAUCGCUUCCGUCAUUUGAUUUGCUGCUAACAAAUGCUGCUGCUGUUGCUGAAAACCCAACAUGUGGGAAAACCCUUCCUCAUAGGGGUGGUGAGCUAAGGCUAGCGCGCUGUGGAAAGAAUGAGGAGCUGAUUUUGAAGGAGGAGCAGAGAGAGUGGAGCCGUUGCUCCUGACGGAUAUGUUGAGGGUUGAAAUGUUAGCCGGGAUGGUUCCCGUGCCAGUGGCGGCGAUUAUGGCUGGCUCGGCUUGCUGUAGAAGCCACUCAAUUGUCUCGCCGUCGGACUUGUGACCUAGCUCUCGAGUCAACUGGAAAAUCCUAGCUGCACAGGCAGCCGGCAUUCGGAUACGCCUGCCUCGGCCAUCAACUUUGGUAUGGCGGUCCUUUGUGGAUCUCUUGGGUGGCUGCUGCUUAGGGUGGAUUGGUUUCAAUAGCCCUAUUGACUAGGAGAGUCAGCAUUCCGGCAGCUUUGACUCUGUUGCAGGAAGGACUACUUGGAGUUCCAUACCAUGACUUCCAUGGCAAUCUCCCAAUUGAUGUGGGUCUCACCCUACCAAAUCUGAAACUAAUACCUGUUACGGAAAACAAUUUCUCUGGAAUCUUUCCCACUUCAAUCACCAAUGCUUCUGGGCUUGAGGAAGGAACUUGAGGAACUUGCCCUAAAGAAGAAGAUGCUAUUUUUAAUUUCCUAAAUUAACCCUGCAUUUUGUUUUGAAAAUCGUGCAGACAGACAGAUCGGUGAAUUUAACGGCCAAAUCUAACAGAAUGGCUACGAGUUUUAACUUUAUGCAUUUAAGUGGCCAAAACCAGACUUUUAAUAGUUGAGUGACCAAAACUCAACGAUGGCAAAAGUUUAAUGGCCAGCCAGAUAAUUUGCUCUAAUAUUAAUAAUGAAAGUGAUGAGUGAGCUCUUCAUCUCUCUUUCUUCUUCUUUUUCUUUCUAACAUAAAAAGGUAUCUUAGCCUUUUUUUCAAACCCAAUUCAAGAUUUUAACUUAGUUUUCAAAAUUUAACGUGUUCAGAUGCAUUUUGAUAAACCAAAAUAAAAUAUAUGAGAUGGGGUGACAUUUUGAAUCUCUUAGGCAAAACUUAUUUCAAAAAAGAAAAAAAGCGAUCGUACUUUUCACUCGUUACUUAACAUGAUAAUAUACACUAAAAUGUAUCACCAUUUAACGGACUCGCACUUCAGAGUAUUAAAAAUUUAGUACUCCCUCCGUCCCAUUUUGAUAGUCUCAUUUCUUUCUUCACAUAGUUUAAAAAAAAAGUAGUUAAUUUUGUUUGAAAAGUAAAUUUAGAUUGCUAUUUUUCUAAAAUACCCUCACAUUAAAUAUGGUACAACUUUAUGGGAACUUGAAUUGAUGGUAAAAAAAGAAUCAACUCUCAUUAAAUGGGGUAGGUUUAUAGUAAUAAGGAUAUUUUAGGAAAAUUAAAAUAUAACUACAUUCUUAACAAUGAAAAAAUGGAUUACAUUUUGAGACAGACGAAAAAGGAAAACGGGACUAUCAAAGUGGGACGGAUGAAGUACUUAACAAUUCAACAAUUUAAUAAAUCCAAACUUCAUAUUCCGUAUUACGAUUUUCAAACUUCAAUUUUAUCGAACACGCUCCUUUUUUUUUUGUUUUUUUAGUAGUGUACAUAUUAUUAUUACCGAAACAGUAAAAGUAGGGAAUGUAGGUGUAAUUUUUAAAAUUAAAGGAAAACUUGGUGCUGUAGUCAGAAACCUUGAGUUACCACUAAAGAAAAGAUGAUUACUUUCCGCAGUCAAGGGGAACCCAUUCCCUCGUCCUCCGCCCUCGGCGCACAAUACAACAAAAGUAGAUCACAUCUCCAGCAGCCUCACCACAAAGCUCCCAUCCGUUGUUACUCUCCCCGCCGCUAAUAGCACACCACUCCCCACAAAACACAAAAACGCACCAUAUUCUCCAACUCAAAAACUGUUCGCUAUCCCCUUCCAUUCCCUCUCUUUUGUAGAUAGAAUAGAAGAAGAAAACUACUACAUCUAUCCAUUCAUCAUCCCAUCCUACCGCUCUACCCAUUCUUCAUAUACUGACCAGUGGCCUCUAUGUUCUUCCAGUAGCCUCAUCAUCAUAUUUUUAGUAGUCUUUAAUAGUGGUAUUGCACUGUCCUCCUACUAGGACUUAGGGGGGAGUUUUAGGACCCCAACAAUUCCAGCCAAAAAGCCCCCAAAAACAACAACAACUAAACGCCACUUCGCAAACUCAAACCCAAAGGUGGUGCAACUUAUCAUCAUCAGCAGCAGCUCUAAGUUCUAGCUAACUAAGGGAACCAAAAGCCAAAAGUAGUAUCCUCCAUGGAUCCCACUCCCCUCAAAAAGCACCCGACAAAAUCCACCACCGCCGCCGCCUCAAAAAUGCCUCCUCCGGAUCCCAUUCUUGCUGCCCCCCCUUCCUCCACCGCCACCACCAUCCAAAACAUAUCCAGCCACUUCGCCAAGUUGUAUGCGAAUCACAAGUUUCUUGCUGCUUCCUUAAAAGCCUCCUCACAUCCACACGCUCAUUCUCAUCAAGAAGAAGAAAAGGGUCUCAAAGAUGAUUCCUCUGCUUUAGACAACUCCUGCGUAGCUUUGACCAAGUCAAGUAGCCAGCACGGAAGAAUUCAUCGUGGAGCUGCACCGGCAGAUUUGGCCUCGGCAAAUGAAGAAAGCUACCGCACGAAAACCAAGGUUAAAGAAAAGGACGACAGGAAGUAUUCUCUGGUUAAUGUCAAGAAGAAAAAGCCCCUGCCUGAUGCUCCUCCAGCUCAGAAGGCUUUAUUAGACGGGCAUAAAUCUAAUCUUAGAAUCAAGAAAUCAUCGUCAGGAGCAAGAGGAGGAGCAGCCCAGAAAAAGGAGGAGGAGUUCUAUGACGGGAGGAGAGGCGUGAAGAAAGCGUAUGGCUUGAUGUCGAGGAGUCUUGAAUUGGAGAAACCUAAUCAAGCCACGCCGUCGUGUGAAAUGAAUAGACCAUGUAUUUCGCUUGCGGUGAAUGGCAGAAGGACGUCAUUUUGCUGCUCGCGAGCUGAGUUGGCUGACUUCUUUUGUUGCGCCGGCGUCAAGGUUGUGGCUGUUGACAUGCCGCCCUUUAUGCAGAUUCACGCUGUCGAUUGUGCUAGAAAAGCUCGUGAUAGCUUGGAAAAAUUCACUUCCAAGACUCUUGCUUUUACCCUCAAAAAGGUACUCCUGCCUGCUAUAGCAUCUGUCGAAAGAGCAAUCAGUGAUCAUUGUGGGCUUUUUGGUUUAGGUUCUGUGAUGCGAGGCUUUCCUUUUUUUUUUUGUUUUUUUUUCCGUUUUGGGGGAUCAAUUCGCUUGCUGAUCAGCAGGCACGCUGGUUCUUGAAUUGGUUAGUCUCAGUUCUGAUUUUCUUGCUUGCAGGAAUUUGAUGGGGUUUAUGGACCAGCCUGGCACUGCAUCGUAGGGACCAGUUUUGGUUCCUUCGUGACACACUCAGUAGGUGGCUUCAUGUACUUCUCAAUGGAUCAGAAACUAUACAUCCUCUUGUUCAAAACAACUGUACAGAGGGCUGAUUGAAUGAUUUGGAGGUUGAAAACUAUUCUUACUAUUAUAGGGGAAAUUAGGCACUCACAAAGGCAGGCCUUUUUCUCCCCCUUCCAACUUUGUACAAUGCCAGCAGCCUUUUUCUCCCAUGGAUAUUUCUCUCGUACUAGUUACCUUGUCGGUAGGCUCUUUUUUGAAGUAGUUACAGCACAAAAAAGAAAUACUUUCGACUCCACUAAACUUGUGGGGGGGUUUUUGUUUAGAUGUUAGUACAUUGCCUAGUAGUAUCUCAAGAAAACUUGUUAAGAUAGCCCAACAAUCAACAUAUAUAUAUAUAUAUAUAUAUACCUACCUCCUCUACUAUGCUUCUAUGUCGGUUUCGGUGAAACUGUUGAAGGUAGUGCUGAUUUUUGUGGAUAGCAUAUGGUGAUAUAAGUAAGUUCGAAGUGUAGGAUGAUGAUAUAUGAGGCUGCAUUUCUUGUUCUUGGUUCCAUGCCGGGUUGGCAACUUAGCAUCCCACCAUCAAAAAGAAUGAAUGAAGGGCUUGGAACAAACAAUUCUUGUAAGGUCAGCUAGGGUCCUCCCCUAUUCCCCUGCCUGCCCUGGUCUUUGGAGAUCAAUGAGUGGUGCUUUUCAUUUCUUAGUCUAAACAAUCAUUGCUUUAAGCAAAAAAUUUGACAUUAUUUUAGAGUUGAGAUAAAACGUACCAGUAGUACCUUCUGUUUUGCCGCAAACCAAACCACACCCCACCUUACCUUAAACAGCCCCAGUCCCACGAACCAAAAAAAAUCUCUCAUUGCUGAUCAUUUCUUUUCCAUAGAUUUAUUUUUGGAAAGGGAGUUGUUAUGUAUCCUUCCUGGGUUAAUCUCUUGCUAGUUGUUACCUCAUUUCAUCUAUGGUUCCCUGUUGGAAUGGCCCAACCACUAUUCUGAAUCCAUCCAAAGUAUCAUAUGAAGUUUUUUUUUUUUUUGGCAUUUUGGAACUUUGAUAAUAGAAUUGCUUAUCACUCAAUGUAAGCACUCCUUGAUUUGUCUUCAAAAUUUUUUUUAGUUCACUUGAUUUUCUAAAUUGACCAGACAUGUUAUUUUUCUUUCUUUUACAUGCAACACACACACAUAUAUCAAAGAAAAAUCGUUACGUUUUCUGUGAAUAUAUUUUUUAACCUCACAUAUAUCAAAUCGUUACAAUAAUUUUUGUUUUUACAAAAAAUCCAGAAAAAUGCAAUCCAAACAAAGCCUUAGGUUGCAUGGCGAUCUACUUUCGGGCAAAUAUUUCGAGUUGAGGCUUGGUUUGAUAAGGUUAAAAAUAAGAGAUUAGCAAAAAAAAAAAUCCCAAACCCCUACUCAUUUGGGAUUGUUUGGUGGUGUGAAAAAGUUUCCAUCUAAUUUCUAAUUUGAUGAGACUUUUAAUUGAGGUUUAUGUGGCAGGGUAUGCGUAGAGUCCGAAACCAGUAGGCACUUGGGAUCUUUAGCCCAAAAGCACAGCCAAAGAGCAUAGCAUCUGCUCUUUGGUUGGAAGCUAUUUAAAGUACCAACCACAGUAUAGAUGCCAAUUGGCAAGCAGAAGAAGCAUUUUAUUAUAUAAUCAUCUGUGAAUCUAAGCAAGCAGCCACUUUUAAGAUCUUUUUCCGAUAAGAGGAAUAUGUGUGAAAGAAUUGCCUGAUUUUUAAGAAAGUGCUUGCCAGGGAAUCCACUCUCUCUUUUGAGCUAUAUAUAUAUAUAUAUAUGUAUAUAUAGAAUUUUUGCUGUGACAAAAAGUAACUGGAGUAGCUAGCGCAUGCAUGCGUUAAGCUUUUACUACUUUGGAAGGCGAUGCUAUUGCUAUACGAUCACACUGUCAUCUGCAGCUUAACCACAAAAACAGUUCCAUCAGACCUCCAGAGUCCACACACACACACACACAAGGGUUGUUGUUGGUGGUGGUGCAUAUGUGUCGUCUUUCUUAAGGAAAAAAAAAGAGGUCGUGGACCAUAUUGCCAGCAAACAAGAGGAGGAUGCUCAAUAUUACCAUCUAUGGCAUGGUUCAAUUUGAAAUUUGCAGUGACUGAACAUGCUCCUGCUUCACUGCACAUCGAAUAGAAUCAUGUUGAAAUCAGGCAAUGCUAGGCAGCGCUGAUAAAAAAGAGCCCAUGAUGAAGGUCCACUUCAUGCACUAAUUUUAGCGAGUGUUAGAGAAUAAUCCAGUUGUAGGCAUUGAAAUUUCGUCUCCAGACUCUAGAAAAGCAUAAGCUGAAUGACAUGAAAAUUGCAUUGAACCAUUUUUUUGACAUCAACGCAACCAUUAUGAAUCUGCUAGCAAACGCCCUCAGUUGCACUAUCAAGAUGACCGGUUUACUAACAUCAAAAAAAUGGUAACAUGUCUCCUUCUUUAGGAAAAUCCAGUUAUAGAGUUCUUAUGAAUCGUUGGCUCGACUUCGAUCACCGUCAUAAAAUAUAAGUUGCUUGUAGAGUUUUCACGGAUAAUCCAUCAAUACAGCCAUUGCAUUAACAGCGAAUAUCAGUCAGUGCCGAAUGGCGAUGACACUACUCAACUAAAGCUGAUGGCCACCAUCAAGCUUUUAAUACUGCCUUCUAUCAAUUAUCAUAUUAAAAAUUCAGAUAGGUGUGUAAUGCGCCUGUUUGCUUCAAUUUUCUCUCCUCCUUACUAUUCAUGGACCUCUCUUCCCCUAGCAUAAAAUAGAUUAAAAUAUAUUACAGUUAUCGUCUCCCCGAAAAAAAAAAAAAAAAAUAGGAUGACACUACUCUCUCUCUCUCUCAAGUCCAAAGUCUCAAGUGUGUGCCCGUUAGUCGGUAGUUGAUCCACAAUCUCACCGGUCUCUCUCAAGUCUCACUUUCCCUUCUUCGGUCUGUCUUCAGUUUUGUAAAUUAGUAGCUUACCACUCCAUCUCCGUACACUACAGUCUCUACUCCUGCCUUUUGGGGGGUCAAAAUUACUCCUCACUCGCCCUUUCAUAGUUUUUUCAUUGAAUCAUUUUUAUUUAAUAUCACCAGACAACAGCCCCCGGGGGCCCCCAUCAUCUCCAUCUCUCUGACCUCCUCCUCCUCAAUUUCCACUCACUUCAGUCCGACUGCUACUACAUUUCCCCAUUUCACUUUCCAUCUUACUCCUGCGUCCUCCUCAACUACUGCUGCUGCUACUAGCACUACCAUUCAUGUUGCCCAUAUUUCUUUGACAUGUAUAUGUGCAAAAUUCUGCUGCUGCUGCUUUGUUAAGUUGAAGUUUUCAAUGAAUUAGAUCAGUAAAUGUUUGGUUAGGCCCCCUGGGGGGUGAAUGGAUCCGCCAAUCGUCAGCCACUCGUCUUUUUCACCUGCCCAUGCUUCCUCCUCCUACACUCUCACUGACCUUUGGCCUUUCCCCAUCGGACCUCCUGCCGUUUUGGGUCUCCCAAUGCCCCCCGCCUUGCCACCCCCACAUGGCACUCCUCCUCCUGUUGCUGCGCUUUCCCUUGAGGAAUCCACCGUCACCGACCUAAGUGCUUGCCGCACCAAUGCCACCAACAAGCGCAAGCAUGUCCUUUCUCAACAUCACCUUCUUGCUUCCGCUUCUUGUGCCGUUCAUUCCGUUAGUAUAUAAAUCCCUUUUUUCCCCCGGUUGAUGGAUAGAUUUCUCUGUUAUCUUGCUUUGCUCCACUUCAAUUCUACCUGCAACAAUUCUUCUUUUUUUCCCAUUUCUCAAGUUCAUUUUUUGAUGCUUGCUCUCAAUUUUGGUCAAUGGACACAUUUUUUUGCAUGUUGGAUUCUUAUACAAAAUGCUAGUAAAUCUUUUAGUAAAAAGAUUUCCACUUUUACUGUUGUUUCUUGAUGGGCAUUCCUAGAUUUCUACUUGCAAAAGAAAUACUUUUACUACGGAGAUAUUGAUCCCAUAACAUUUCCAAUCUUUUUUUUAAAAAGAAAUUGUAAUUUUUGUUUCAUCUCUAACUCUUUUAAGUGAUUGAGAUUUUGUUAUCUCCCCAUAACUAAGCCUAGAAGCCAGAUUUCUCUUCCACUGGUUGAGUGAUACUGAUUUUACUCGACAGAAUAAUGCAAAUGUAAAGCGGAUGAAGGCAUCAGAAGGAGGAAUCGGAGAACAAAUUGAUGAAUCCAAAGCAGAACCGCAGACCAGCUCAUACACUACUAACAAGCCUGCUGAUCAUGACGAUACUAACCCUCAGCCACCUAAAGACUAUAUCCAUGUCAGAGCCAGAAGGGGUCAAGCUACUGAUAGCCACAGUCUUGCCGAGAGAGUAAUUCUCGCCUUGCUUACCUUUCUUUUGUUGGCCAUUCAUUUCGAGUAUUAGUUCUGAUGAAUUAGCUCUGUUUUUCAUCAGGCUAGGAGAGAAAAGAUCAGUGAGCGGAUGAAAAUUCUUCAAGAUUUGGUUCCUGGCUGUAACAAGGUCCGCACCCGCACUCUUCUUGCGUAUCACACUAGACCAAAAAUUGUUGUGGAAUUUGUGCUUUAUUACUUCAGGAGAGUGUUGUCUUUUCUCAUUUUCACCAGCUUUUAGCUUUCAAAAAAUAUUUUGCAGCAUUUUCUCGAUGGAUUUUUAGCUUUUCUGCACUUUGGAAGUUGAAAUUUUGAUGUCAGUUGGACUAGCUAUCUGGAAUUUUGUUUUACCUAAGCUCUACAGUGCAAGAGGAAAAGAGAAGAGGCCCUUAGUUCACACUAAUCCUUCCAUGUUUUAGGGGUUCCACUUGAACUUUUUUGCUCUUUAAAAUAAUUCUGUCCAGUUAAUGCACUAUUAUGUAUUGAUCAGGUAAUUGGGAAAGCUCUAGUACUUGAUGAAAUUAUUAACUACAUCCAGUCACUUCAGCGACAAGUUGAGGUAGUUACUGAAGUCUUCCGUGUUUAAUUCACAUCCAAAAUUUUGAAUCUCAUUCUGUCCUUAAUAUAUUGCAUGUCAAAGUUUUUAUCCAUGAAGCUCGAAGCAGUUAAUUCAAGGAUGAACUCAGCCAUAGAAGGAUUUCCUUCCAAGGAAGUAAGUUACAGAGCUUGAAAUGCUAGCUAGUUUAACGCCUUUAAUCCUUUCUUGAUCAGUCAAUCUGUAUUGUCAGUUCUUUUCUGACUGUCAUUUUGGUGCUGCUGCUUUGUUUUUUUACUAGUUAUAAGUAUGAACAGAGAAACUGUUGAAAUCUGUUUCAUCGAGUGUUUGGGAGGACGUCCUUGGUAGUAAAUUACAUUAAAAAUGAAAUAUGUUGCCGUUAUAGGAUCAUGAAAUGGUACACUUUGUGGAGUUUUGACCUGAUGACUAGCUACUGACUGAAAACGAAAUAAAAUAUAGAUUCAUAUUUUGGAUCAAAAGCAGAGGUGACAAGUUAGUUAUGCUCCACGCUCCACCAAACAGUUCAGCAUCCUGUUGUAGUUUGACAGAAAGAUGCAUAUUCCUUUUGUUCCUUAUCUGUGUCUUUUAACAAAAAAUUAAAUUCAGUAUAAGUUCUUGUUUGUUUAUUCUUGUCCCUUUUUAUUCCAUAAUAGCAGUUUGCUUUUUCUUAUCUGCGAUCCCUUUUUCGUUUUUCGAUGAAGAGCUGCAUGCCAUUUUGCCUGUGGCAAUUUCUUAACUCUUUAUGGAGUGCAAGUACGCAUGGAAAAACUUGAAAGAUUUGAGGAAGCAUUUGACUCCAGAUUCACAUAUUCUAUGUCCUUUUGGGAAUCUGACGAGUUGGUGAACAUGUAAGAAAAAGAAAAGGAAACAGUUAAUUGCCUUUCACAGUGUGAGCGAUGUCUUACUGAAAUUCAAAUGACAAGGUAUAGUCCUUGUGUUAAUAUUACUCCUCUCGGAGCUCCUUUUCAGAAGAUGGAAAUGGCCCCAUGAUUGACACCGCGGUCACCAUGCCAGUGGUGAACUAGUAGUAGUUUUUAUAUCAGCAUAGUUAACUCUUUUCUUCCUGGAAUUCAUAUUUAACAAUCUUUCGCUACGACAUAUAGAUCUUAUGAAUGACUAAACAUGAUAUACUGGUGGUCCAACAUACCACGUGAAUUACAAGUGAUCAAGCUACAUAAAUAUACUAAAUUUCACAGAGUAAAGAUGUUGUAACAGUGGUAUUUCCUGAUCAAUUACUGUAGCUUCUUAGCUAAUUCUGUAACAUUUGGUUAUAAUUUGAAGGUGGAUAUUCACCUGUAGAUAAAGAAAAGUUCAUCUGUAUUUGGAUUUUGACUUAAAUUUGCAGUUUUAUCUUCUUAUGUUCUCGUAUUGGUGCCUAAAACUAUGUUUGACUGCUUAACUUUAAAACAAAUGAGUCGUGCCUUUUCUGCCAGGUCCUCCUCCUCCUCAUUUUUCAUCCCCUAUCAAGUAUAUGUGCCUGCAGCUUCCAUAUUAUCUCUCCUCUUGUUCCUUGUUUUGUGUAGUUAUCCUUGGUUUUUCUUUCAAUUCUGCUCUGUCCAAAGCAAGUACAUGCAUCAGAACUGCUCGUCAUUUCACAUGAGUGUAGAUGCAGUGACGUAUUUGCAUAACUAGUGCAAGAAUGGUGAUAUGGCUCUGUUGGAAGGAAUUUGCAGCAGUCAUUGUUUACAGCCUCUGGCUGAUUUUAUACAGUUACAGCUACCUCUUUUUUGUAUUGAGAUUAAGCACUGUUGCUAGCUUCAGUUUUGCUUCUGCCAGCUGAACAUGUGUUACAUCUCUCAUUUCCCCUUGUCUUGUGUAAAUAUAUGUGUUUUUAAGAUCUAUCAGUUGUAACCUUCGUUCUGGUUUAUGUGACUUACCCUAAAUAUGAUCCACGCGCAUUGUUGAUUAGUGAGUGAUUAUUAUUCAUGCAUUUAAAAGUUCAUGAUGUCCAGCAAUACCCAGAACUUUUUUUGAGUUAUUUCUUUGAUUCGGUUAUCCCGCUUUCCAGCUUGCAGCUCCACAAUUUGAUGCUACUGCAAUGAUCUUCGGCCAACAAGCACCAAGGGAAUAUGCUCCGGAUGAAUGGCUUCAUAUACAGGUCGGUAGCAGCUUAGAAAGAGCAACGUGACAAAUACAGCUGCUCUUCAGUGAAUAGGAAAGUUGAGCAGGCAUUUUAUUCCUCCAGCUCAUUCUCAUCGUCUUUGAUCAAAUCAAGGAGACUUUCAGUUAUUUAAUUUUACAUCUAAUGUAACCCUUUCGCAGAUUGAAGGACAUUCUUGAACUUGCUGUGAGUAUGCCCAUAUGUCCAAUUAGAAAACUGGAUCUCUGUCUGAUCUGACUAGUUCCUGUAUUGACGUCUAGGACAAAAUUGUAGCAAUAGUACGUGGUUUAAUUUAUGUGUUAUCCUUUGAAGAUGCAAUGGACUCUUACUGCAAUUCUUUCAUUAGUCGACGAAAGUUCAGCAUCUGAAGUGGCACAAUCCUAGAUCCCAAAUCCCCCUGAUGGAAGAAACAUUUCCUGGUACUCUGCCCCCUGGGAAUCACAAACAUGAAACGCCUGCCCUGAGGUCUAACACUUCUGAGUAGAAUACAUUUCCAGUGGUCACAAGACCUACAAGGACUUUCCCCUCAAUGACUACUACUCCAGGAGCAGAGUCAACUCGAUUCAUGGAGAUUCCCAGGGUGUUUAGCCCCGGAAACGCAAAAACAUUUCCUUGUGCGACGCUGACUCCAAAGGCAUUAGUAGUAUUUCCCUCUUUGCUGAGUCCAUCAACGAAGAAAUCCUCUGAAGUCACAUCAGAGACAGGCUUGCAAGAGAAACCAUUCACAGAGGUGGGGUCUUGGAUCCUGUAGUGGGUCGGGAUCAGCAGAUUGGGAAUAAGGCCACAAGAAAACUGAGAGAAACAGCAUUUGGUAGAACACCAGCUUAGCAGCCAUAGUCAGUCGAAUACAAUAGUGUUUGGAUAGAGUAUUAUUUGGAAUAAAUACUAAAUGUGUUUAUGAUACAAGCGAAAUAGGUAAACUUGAGCUGUCCAAACACAGUUGCCACUCUGAUGGUUAACCUUGCUGGAAUUAUUAGUUGAAAUACUUUGUCGCGGUGGUGAACAGGUUAAGAAGUAGUACCGUAUAAUUCUUCAAAUGACAUUUUUGGGGGGAUCAACUUUUCAAUUUUCAUUUCAUGAGGGAGAACAGGUGAAGAAAUCCCAAAAACAAGGAUUAACUGACGAGAGACAGAUGCAUGCAACAAGGACACUUUCAAAGAAUAUUAGUACUAGUAGACUAGCAUUAGCACUAGCACUAGCACUAGCAGAAUCUUAAUUUACCAGGUCUCCUAGUAUUGACCCCAAAAAACCACCGGCCCCCACCACCAAGCCUUUAAGGCUUUGGUGGGGGCGGGAGGCAAGGGUUCAAGGGACGAACCUUGCCUUCCACCAAAUUGUCACAUUGUGGUUCUUCAAAAAAUCCAGACGGGUGUGUGAUGUAUCUGUCUGGUCCGGUGGUGGUUUUGCUCCCAUCGAUUCUUCGUAGGUCCAGUUGGGCCUCCCCCUAGUUAGAUUAGAAUAGAGUAGGAGUAGUGAUGACGAUUGACCAAAAAAAAAAAAAGUAUUGACCCCAAUAAAAAAGAAGAAGAAGUUGAUGAUGUUGAAAAUUGUAAUCCAUUGUUCGUGAGUUAGAAAACUGUUAUAUAUAUAUAUAACAUAGGUGGACACUUGCACAUAGAGGAUACAUCAUGUUUGAAUUGAAAAAAGGUAUUACAUUAGGUUCUUGAACCUCAUGCUUAUGUAGACUGUGCUUCUUUCCAAAGACACAAACUUUUUCUUAUUUUUAUGCAGAGCAUAUGUGUUGCAAUGUUACACAAAGGUGUACUCCUAGUGGUCAAGGAGGGCCUUUUAGAGCUUCCUUUCGCUCGCCGCAAAACUUGAAUAGAAGGAAAAUAAAAAUGUUAGGAACAUGUACGACUCGGUUCGUUGACAGCCCUAUAGUGUUGAGGCCCGGAAACUCAUAAACAUCAGCAUGCAUGAGUGACAUUGAUCGACGCCGUAAACGUUGAAUGCUCCGAGACUUUGUUGGAACCCAUGAAAUUAAGAAGAAGUCCUGUGUGAAGAUGCAGUGGCGGGGUUCUUGCAGAGAAAACCGUUGAAUUGGUGGCAAAAGUUUAUGAUCCACCCACUCAAUGGUACAAAUAUACAGAUAGAUCAACAACAAACCUUACCAUACAUUAAUUGAAUUAAACUAAUUUUCACUAUGCUGGGAUGAUCAUGAAAUUUCUCCUUUAUUUUCGAAGCAGUACUUAUUUUUAGAAGAUCAUCUAUAAACUAAUCAUAUUAAGCAGGUAAAAGAUCACAUAUACCCUUGUACCAGGACGGUAUAGAAAGCGGGAUGAUCGGUUGUAAGGAGCUUGAUUUAGAAGUGAAGUAUAGCGGUGGAUGCAAUUGGCUGUAGUUGUGCUGACUACUGAACUUGGUCGAUCCACCGUAUAUUGGUAUGACCUUAAAGCUGACAAGAAGACGACGAUACAUUUAUCGAUGGAUAAGCACAAACAUGGUCCAAUACGAUUCCAGAUAUAAGUGAGUGAAAGUGAAAGAGCAAUUAUGCGUAAACUCAGCUGUAUACUUUUUUCCAAUUAUGAUAAUUUUGAGAUAGGUGAAAAAUAGAAUUAGUAACUUGUCUAGUAGAUACUAAACAUGAAAUAGUUGCUUUAUUUAUAUGGUAGAACUUUAUUGAUAGUGAUGUAUCAUAAAGCAUGAUUACUAGGAAUGUAAGUGAACCAAAUCUACUUGAAAGCAACUCGACGACGACGCUCAAUUCAGAAGAAACUCGACUCAUCUUGAUUUUAUCGAACUUGAGUUCAAGCUACUCAAGUAGCAAAUCAAGUCGAGUUCGAGUUCCAAGAUUACAAGUUCGAUUACUUUUGAGCCUAAUAGAGGAUUAUAAAAUGAAAUAUAUUGUAUAUAUUUUUUGAAUUUAUAAAAUUACUCAUGAUACGUGGCCCUUCUAAAAAACCCAAUGCCCUUAACCUUCUCCUAUCUGUCACCAUCUCAUCUUUUUCACACUUCUUUCUCCCUGAUGUUAAUUCAUCGAAACAAUGUCCUCUCCUUCUUCUUGGGACUCUUUCUCCCUUCUAUCUGGUGUUUGACCGUUUCUCUCUUCCCCUCUCCUUCAUGCUCUGUCUUCUUCUUUAAUCUAUUCCACAUUUUUCAUCUUUUCUAGACUCUAAAGCUAUCGCAAGGGAGAUAAAGGCAUACCCGUAAACGCAUCCACCAAUUUCAUCGGGUGGGAGACUCUGGAUUUAGACCUUACAAGACUCUAACCAAUAUUUCAUUCCUCUUACCAGCAUCGUGGAUAAUUGUCACCCAAUAAGAUUAUUGUAGCAGUACUACUGGUUCAUUUUUAGCUAGUCUUUUUAUUAGUAUAUGUUUAGUAACAAGAUCAUCUGGGGACCUCAUGAUGAGCUCGAUUGAUAGUUUCAUUCACGUGGAAUACUGCUUUAGCACAGCAGUUGAUCAGGAAUCAAAGGCAUAGACUCAAAUAGAGUUGGUGCAAUAAUCUGAUCAAUCCCAGGAUUCUGACUGUUAAAAGAAGUGAAGAAACGUACUGCAUUUUCUUUCCCGACUUUGAGUUGGAGGUGCAGCACUAAUCCUGGUGGGAUCACAAACUCUUCACCAGAAAGAUCACAACUUAAGUAAUUUCCACUACAAAACAUUCACCGUUGAUACCCAGCCAACUGAAAGUCUCCCCUCCAUGACGAGGGAUGACUCGGUUGACGGAGGAACUCGAUGCGAUUCAUUGACAUCCCUACGUUGAGACUGUCGAAUAUUUAGUUCGCUGCCCCAGUCUUGCAGCCUUCAAAGAAUUUUUUUUUUUUUUUUUUGGUUCUAAGGGGAACUACAAGCCUUAACAUAGGAAAGAAGUAAUAAUAAUAAUAAUAAUAAUAAAAAAAAGGGUAAAGAAACAAAAAAAAAAAAAAAAUCAUAGUAAACCUACUACACAGAAAAACUCCCUGUAAUUUCAAAACGCACAACAUGAUACCCGAUACUUUAAACUAAAUUAUAAAAGUGACGGAAUCCUUUAAAUUUGAUGGAAAUGGACGAAAUGACCCGAAUGUCCUGAUAUAAUUAAGCAAAAGACAGUUCAAAAAAAUCAUUUGUUUCAUUCUCUAGAUAGAGAGAAUUGAGGUUUAAGGGGUAGAACAGGUAUGUUUGUUAAAAAUUAAGUAUAAAAAAAUUUUUUUUUAGAUUCCAAUAAGUCAUUUCCGUUAAGUUUAACGAAUUCCGUCGUCUUUACAAUUUAGUUCAAAACAUGAGAUGUCAUGUUGUACGUUUUGAAACUACGGGGGCUUUUCAGUGUAUUAGGUUUACCCCAGGAGUUGCAGAUCCGCAACGCAGUAAUCCUGCACUGGACUUGGAUCAGAAGGCAAUAAUGACACGAGUGAGUGACAAAAUUACCAAAGCAGCUAAUAACAUUGUGGGAGACAACAGGCUGACUUCUUAGUUAAUUGCUAGUAAUAUUUAUACUAAAAGAAGUAGGCUUGCAAGAGAUCAAACAAGGGGAUGUAUUUAAAGGUGAUGUUGGCGGGUGAUCAUUCCAAUAUGAUCGGAAAAAAUGUUCAAGAAGGAGGCACAUCUGGUUCUGAGGUUGGUCAGUUUUUUGCCCAAAUAUUGAACCUCCUCCUUCAACUAAGGCUGUAUAAGUUCUGAGCUGGUAUACAAAUCCAGCCAUGCCAUGAUUUUGUUUUAAUUCAUUAAGAUCCAAAAGGGUUCAGGCUAAGCACUUGACUUUGCUGUUAAACAAUAAUGUAUUAGCUACUUAAUUAUCAUUGGGGGACAGUUCGUCGUCAUUUUGCAUCUUCAAGCACACAACAGUUUAUAUAUGUAUCUAUAUAUAUACCAAUGACAUAUGCCAUGACGCUGUCCACUAAGUACUUUCUGAUGGCUGCAUUUGUUAUUUCUUUUUUACUUUGAGGGAAAAUUCCGUCUAUAUAUGUCAUAAGAGAACUUCUCCCUCAAGAUAGAUUUGCUUUAAAAAAGGACAUGAAAUCAUUUUCAAGCUAUAUAUUAUUGAUCUGAUCAGAUCAGAUCAGCAAAGGAUUCACUAUCACAGCUUUCCACCGUACCGUUUGCCCUCCCGCAACUCCAACAUGUUCAGUUACUACUACAAGCCACACCAUUUUUUUUUUUAUCACCUCUGACGUCCUUUACCCUACUACUGAACUGAAGGGUCUAAAGAAGACUUAUCGCAAAUUGGUGACAACCUGCAAGAGCAUCAUCCAUCAUCUGCUAAUCGUUUGAGCAUGAUCAACAUCGAUUACAAUAACGAUUGCACCGGACCAGGAUUGAGCUCCCCUCUAAUGAAUAAUAUAAGCAAAAUGAGGAAUGAAGCCUUUGAGGCAAACAACCUUGUACCAAGGCACUUGCAAAUAAAAAUAAUCCCCCUUCAAUCAAAGCAUCAUAAGCACCUGUAUGUAUGCUAGGAGAUCUAUUAGCAGAAGACUUGUAUGUUUUUUUAUAAAUAAAGAGAUCAUGAAUGAAGAAUUUAAGACCAUUUCCAAUCCUUCAAUACAAGACUUUAUAAUGAUUCUUUCUUUUUUCUUUUUUUUUCUCAAUAGUAACUACUAGUGUUAUUUCUUAGUUCAUGCUCUAAAUUCUAACCCAAAAAAAAUUACAAAUGAUGGUAGCUAUGAUCUUCAAACCUAUUAGAAUGCAAGUGAUUUCUAUGCACUUGAGCAUGUUUGAAUUGACCGUGGACUCUUGAGAGAAAGAGCCAUAGUCAUUAUUUAACUGGCUAAUUUAGUGAUGAAACUGGCUAGUUUGCCAGAUAAAAUUGCUGGCUUCAUUUGGCAGCAAAAUUCGAGUUUUCUAUUGCUUUUGUUUUUUUCUCUAAAGGUUUGCAAGCUAAAGUAAAGUUUGAAGUUUUCUUCUGAUCUUGUCCCAUAUGCUGUCUAAUUUAUUGACUCUCCCCUUUCUAAUAAUUGAGCAUUUGCAAUUGCUUUUGUCAUGUUGGGUUUGGCUGUGUUGCAGCAAUAAUACCAGUAUGACGUAGUAAUUAAAAUAUUAUCUUCUUUUGUCUUGUUGUUGAGAACGGACUAGAAGAAGCUAGACAAAGCAAAUUUCUUGAAUAUUGGUGCAAUAAAAAUAAAAAUAAAAAGAUUGAGUAGAGGGGGUUUUCUUGUUAGUGGAUUUUUUUUUUUUUAAAUCUGAAAUAGCCUGCAGUGUCUUUUUUAUUUUUUUUAUUUUGGACAAGGUGGGCUGCCUUUGUUUUUUUCAGGUCCCUGCUACACCAGUUGGGAUCCUCUAUGCCACUAUUCGGUGCCAGCAGAGGCUAGUUUGUAAAUGAGGCGGCCAACUUUUAUUAGUAUUUUUUUAACAGGGCAUGGCGGCCUCCUUUUUUUUUUUUUUUCUUUUAAAUCCAUAGUGAUUACGGAGUAAAGCAGGAAAUGGCACUUGGGAUCCUCGGUGACAUGUUUUCUAUGCCAAUCCAAUGCCACCAAUAGUAUUGCGCCAAGUGUCAUGUUAUUAUUUACACUUGUGUUAAACUAAGCCAAAUUAAAUUAUUAGAAAAUUAAAGUGUAAACAAUAACAUGACACUUGGCACAAUACUAUUAGUGGCAUUGGAUUGGCAUAGAAAAUAUGUCACCGAGGAUCCCAAGUGAGGAAAUGGAGCUCCAAGUUACCACAUAGAAUCAAGUCUUUAGUUCGUUUAGAUAGCAUAGGUUACAAUAUAUCCGAGUUUCUAGGAUAAGGGAACAUUACUCCUUGUUUCCUUACUUAUAUCGGUUGUUUGAAGGUCAAGUUUAUGUUCCCUUCAAUUUCCUACUUUUUUUUAAAUUAAUAACAUAACUGGGCUGGCUGCCAACCCCCGUGUACGUGUUUGCAGUGUUGUUAGACCCGGAUCAAACCGGUCGGUUUGACCAGUCCGAUUGUGAAUUAGUCUUUUUUUUUAACAGAUUUGUAGUACAAAACUGUUAUGGUCAAAAAUCGGUUAAAUCAGUGAUCCAAUUUUAUUGGUUGAUCCGAUUCUCAAAAUUUUCUUUCUUUUUUUCCCCAAAUAUAAUCUGAAUUAGUUAAAUUGUAACACUUUCAUUUAUUAAUAGGAAUAAGAAAAUGCCACACAAUUAGUGUAAAUACUAAAAGCACUCGCUUUCUUGAAUGAUCUCUAAAUCAAGAUGUUUUCGUCCCUAUAAUCUUAUCAAUUUAGCAUCAGUGAUUUCAACUUGUAUUAAUUUGUUUUAAUUUUAGUUUUCCAAGUAGUUUUGGAGAAUUGACAUAUUUGGCCAUGAAUUUAGAUUUUUAUAUAAAAUUAUUAGAUGCAUAUUUGAUUGCAAGUCUAAUAUUUUUGAAACAUUUUCUAUAAUUGACGUAAUAUAACCGAGAAUUUAAUUUCAAUAUAAAAUAUAAAAUAAUUAUGACAUCAUGCCAAUAUCAGUGAAUUUUUUAGAACGAUCAGAUCGAUCCAACCAGUUGACUCUUAAUCUAGCAAUUUAGCCGAAUCGUUAUCCGAUUCGAGUUUAAUAACAAAUUUUAAAUUGGAGUGUUUGGAUAGCCAAAAUAUUUUAAAUAAUAUUUCGCUUGCAUCAUAAACACAUUUCUCAAUCCACUUUUUUAUAUUCUCAAUUAUCUUUUUAUUUCACAUACAUCACAUCACAAAAGUUCUACGGUAAUUAUUUCAAAUAAUACUCUAUCCAACCAAUUGCAUUUAAUAACGUUGCUGAUUGUGGAUGAUUUAAUAACAAUUUUUCGGCCAUCUUGUUGAAGAUUGUUAGCUUUUUUUAUCUAUAAAGUGGUUUUCCGUGUUGCAACUUAAUUGGUUUAUCUGCUCUGACCAUAAAAUUUUUAAGGAGGGGUAGCUUACAUAAAUAAAUGUUGUGUAAAAUUAUUCACAAAUAAUGCGGAGUCUCUUUUUCUGCUGUGAUUUGACGUGCGACGUUGCGAAGGAGCAGAAGUGUGGACCACAAAACAUCCAAUCAGUUAGGACACACAGCAGCCCAUGUUGAAAAUUCUACCUCCAAAUGCUAUCAUUGCCAGGGAGAGAAGAAUGCAAGUGAUGCAAGAAGUGGCACAAUCCUGGAAGAUAUUUUAUGAAUCUUAAUAAAUAAUUUUUUAACAAAUGUUUUUUUUUUUUUUUUUCGGUUAGAAGGGAGGGUAAUUCAUUCGGUCAUCAUUUGACAAAGUUUGCCGUUAGCUUGCUUGGUGAGAUUUCUUGUAAGCAAUCCCUUCUUCCUUUGGUUGGUUAGAUUAGCCAAAGAUGAUGUAGAAGCAAUUGGGUCCAAAUAUGUAGACCUUUCUUAUUUUAUGCAAUACAUACACCGUUACCGUUUGGCAAAGAAAAAAAAAUUAUAAUGUUGCUUGAGGUUCUCACCUCAUUAACUUGGUAUUUAACUGUUUGAAUAAGAAUAGUUAUUUGAAUAAUAGAUUAAAAUAUUACACAAGAGUUAGGAUCAACAACCGUUUGAAUUAGCUAUUUUUUGGGGUGUUUUUGAAAAAUUUUGCUGUAGCAAAAUUUUUAGAUUAUAUUUUGGGUUAUUUUCAGAAAAUAUUUUGGGAUAUUUAAGAGCAAAAGAGUUUCUAGAAUAUAUUUUAAGAUAUUUUUAAAAUUUUAAAAAAAUUUAAACUAAUUUUUAGAUUACCUUUUAGAGUAUUUUUUAAAAUUAUUUAUUGUAUUUGAAAAACUAGUUUUUGAAAAACAAAAGUCAAAAUUUUUGGUAUUUAUUUUAUUUUUACUAAUACUUCUAUUUUUUAGUUCACGUCAAUUUAUUAGCAAUAAAAUUGUAUCUCUGGUUGAAUUUUCUUUUGCCUAUUUGUGGUUUCUUUUAUUUGUGUUUUGUAUUCCUAUUGGUAUCGCGUUUGUCAUUUAUUUUUCCAAAGUUCUAAUAAUCACAUCUAAUGAAGAAAUUAGCAUUUUCUUAGUCGCUAUUUUAGAGUUAUACUAAGUAAUUGUAUACUAACAUUAUUGAAGUGAUACUAAUCCCCUAUACGAAUAAAAACUAAGAGUUGGAUUGCUAUAAAACGUUUUCACGAAGAGAAAUUAAACAAGAUUGCUUUGUCGAUACUUAGCAGUUAUACAAAAUGCUAAUUGCAUAACAAGAUUAAUUUUGUAUUAAUUGUAUAGCGUAUGCUAAUAUAAGGAAACUAAGAAUUAAAUUGAUAGAUUACAUGUUUUACAAAGAGAAAUUAAACGAGAUUCAUUAGUUGAUUCUUAAAAAUGGCAAUGAUAAACAUGUUGAUUUUAAAAUUAAGACCAUAUAAAUAUAUAUAUACAUAUAUAUAUAUAUAUAAGUUAAGGAAAUUUUUGCGAGACCUAAACCUUUUCAUUUUUUUUUUGGGGGGGCGGCUGCCCAUGCCCCCGUCCGCAAAAUCCCCAUCCCUAGGUAUGCCUAUUGCAGAGACAAAAUGAGUGGGCGCAUCUGCAUGGUUUUCCGAUCCUCCUUUUCAGUCAACUAACAGCUGCCGAGCACCGCGCAUGGAUGUGUCACUGGGUCCCCAACUCUAAGGGCUAGGGCUGAUCUCGAUGACACCAGAUUUGAAAUUAAAGUUGGCCCAGGAGCAGGGCAGUACACGAAUCGACUCGUUUGGUUAAUAUCGAAUUCGAUCUAAUUAAGUUGACCUCGAAUUUGAUUAUAUAUUUUUUUAUAUUUUAUUUUUAUAUAUCAAGCUUGAUUAUAUCGAGUUUGAUUAUUUAUUUUUAUUUUUAUUUUACAUAUAUAUAAUUCGAGUUCAAAAACAUUAAUUUCGUUGGACUUGCGAGCUCAAUUAUAUAUAAUUUUUUUAUUUUUAUUUUAAUAGUAAAAUUAUAAAUAUAUUUCUAAUAUUUUCUUAUUUGUUAAGAAGAAUUACUAUUUUACUUAUUAAAAUAAUUAUUUUUUUAUUUUUUAAAAAAUAAAAAUAUUAUUAUUUAUUAUUUUUUAAGUUCGAGGUCGAAUUUGACAUUUUGAACUCGUCGACCUCGAACUUAAAAUUAACUGAAGACUCGACUUGAUUAGAUCAAAAGUCGACUCGACUCGACUCGUUUACACCUCUACCUAGGAGUAUUGGUGCCAUGCAAUGCACGAGGGCUUCUUCUUCAGUUCUUCUAUAAAUACACCGCCAUACUCGUUCCUUGGGACAUCAAAGCGUACAAGCUAAUUCCUAGCAAGUAUACAUAACCUAAUUACCUUGGGCUACCUACCCUCUAGCUAGCAAAUGCAAAACAUGGCUUCCUACAAUGUUAUUCACCUCGUCAUUUGGCUGACAUUCUUGUCACUUGUGCAGCUACCAAUGCGUUCCCAUUGUGCUGAUCCUGGUCCAUUGCAGGAUUUCUGUGCUGCGGAUUUGAACUCCCCGGUGCUUGUCAAUGGGUUUCCGUGCAAAAACCCAGCGAAUGUAACUUCCAACGACUUCUUCUUUGAUGGGCUGCAAAAACUGGGAACAGUGUUCGAUGCCCUCAAUGUGAACCUCACCGAAGUAGACGUCUUCGCAUUUCCAGCGCUGAACACCUUGGGGAUGUCCAUGAACCGAGUUCAAUUUCAUCCCGGAGGAGAAAACCCGCCUCAUAUCCACCCUCGUGCUACCGAGUUGUCCCUGGUCACGGAGGGGAAACUGUUUGUGGGAUGGGUAUCAACUGCAUAUACCCUGAACUGGAAAAUUCUGACGGCAGGACAAGUGUUCGUGAUUCCUCCAGGCUUAGUGCACUUUCAGCUUAAUGUUGGAAAGGGAAACGCACUAUUUUAUGCCUUCUUUAACAGUCAGAAUCCAGGGAUUUCGAAAAUAGCCCCCGCUCUCUUUGCUUCCACGCCUUUGAUUCCAGAUCCAGUGCUCACAACAGCAUUCAAUGUGAAUAAAACUAUCAUCGACCUCAUCAAGUCCAGGGCUUCUGUGCUGAUUCCAUAAGCUCCAAAUAAUUAAUCCCCGUCGCUUCUUAUCAUCUACCAAACAAGAAUGAUACUCUGAUAUCAUUCACCCUAAAGUCUGGUCUUUUCUUUGCAAUGUAUAAACCAUCUGCAGAUGGAUAAAAUAAAACAUCCGAGGAGUCAGAUGUUCCUAGUCAUGAAAUAAUCCUCGUCUCACCACAUGAAAAAUGUGGAUAUAUUUGUUGUGAAGUUUGUACCUUUUUUCUUUUUUCUUGAAGUUGAAGAUGGAUGGAAUGAGUGUGCUUUACAUCAAAAGGGCAUGUGUUACUCUUAAUCUUCUUUGCAUGAGACCUAACAAGUCACUGCUAUAUAAACUAUGUAAAGGAUGCUAAUAUAUAUUAAGGGUUAAUUACAUUUACCUCCCCUGAGGUUUGAUACAUUUACCUCCCCUGAGGUUUGAUCAUAUUGCCAAUCAAUCCCUGUAAUUUGUCCAAAUAACAGUCUCACCCUUUGAAUGAUCAAACAUUUAACAAAAACCCCCCUUAAUGUCGAAAAUGCCCUUAUUGAGGCCAUAUUGCAUUAAAAAAAAGAACAUAUUUUUAUUUAUUAAACCUUUCAUCAUAUAAAGUAUUAAAUUAAUCCAUUACAUGUCUUAUUUUGUACAUAUAUAUAUUUAUAUAAAUAAUUUUUUAAAAAAUUCAUUGAACCGAGGUUGAACCGAUCCGACCGGUUGAACCUCGACCUUUUCACUUCACCGGUUCAAUGAACGGUCCGAUUUUUAAAACAUUGAGCAAGAGUGGACAUAGUCAUAGUAUCGACUUGGCACAGCUCUCAAAAAUACGUGUACGUGCGGGCGAAUGUGAUGAAUGACCUGCACCUGCCAGCCAUAAUACAUAGUUCUACCCUACGGGUUAAUGCUAUGCUAUAUAGUACUAUAUGCAUGGCUCCUCCUGGUUUUUCCAAUUACUGGAGCUGGCUAUAUAUGGGUCAAAACUAUUUGAUAAUUAAGUAGAAAGUAAAUCAGAAAGGGAUGAAAACUAUUUCAGAUUGUGACUCAGUGAUGGAACAACAUAUUUAAGAUUUUGGAGUCACGGGGCAAACAGUUUAAAGAUUAAGACUGUGAAUCCGUGAUAAUUAAUAAUGAGGUUUUUGAUUGUGACAGAGCAACAGAAGUGGAAUUGAAACCAAUACUCUGAUUAAGACCAUACAAAAGUAAAAUUUUCAUUUAAUUUCAAGGUGUGACCAUAUCCUUUUUUACCACUACGUACCAGGAUUAAUUAGUUGUCACAGUACUCAUUAGUUUGCCUUCCGCUUCUACCUUUCCCUUCUAAGGAAGGAAACACAUUCUUGUUGAAGUUGAUCAGCCCUCACUAUUAAUUGCAUGAUCAGGAGGCACUGAUCAAGACACAGGUGAACGAAGUUUACAAAUUUUGUGGUGUGCUAUAUAUAUAUAUAUAUAUAUAUAUAUCAAACAAGAAGGGAAAAGGUAAUUGACGAGUAGAUGCUGAUAUAUAGUUUAUGGGGGUCGAUAUAGAAGUUUUAUUCUUGGAGGGGAUGAAUGAAAUAUCUGAUUUGUGUCAUUGACUAUGGAAGCUAUGAAUGACAAUGGGACAUUAAUUAGCAGCCCCCUCAGUCUAUAUAGUACGUAUUAAUUAUCCGGGACUAUCACUAUUGGCGAAGAACUUGUCCUUUUCACAAAUUGUUGUGGUAUAUAUAUAUGAUCAAUUUUCUUUUGCUAUGCUGCCGAUUCGUGGUUCUUCUCAAUUCUUCAUGUCUUUGUCAGUCCUCUGCCAUACCUCACUCUAAGAAGAAUAUAAAGAAAGAAAAGAAAAAGGAGUACUACAAAUGUCGCGACUGACGAUCAGCAGCCUUCUAAUCUUCAGAAAAAAGACAAAAGUUUCCUUCUCGUUCUUACUUCUUGCUCUCUCUAUGUCAAUAACUAUGGAGUUAACCUCCACCAGAUGGUACUGACUGUAGCUUCUUUCUCUUUGUUUUUUUUAACCAGUUUGACGAGUAUAAUUUAUGUACAUGCUCUCAUCUUAUUCCUACACCUCGGAUACCAUUUUCUACACUUCUUCACAAGAUUAUGUAUGUGCAUAUAUAUAUAUAUAUAUAUAUAUAUUUGGUGCUGACGGAAUUGCACACACUGCAAGAGAAAGCUUAUUCUAUCAUUUUUUUUUUUUUAAACGUCACUAUUUUGUAUAUGGCUAAUACUUGAUAUUACAAGAGAGAAGCUUAUAGUAAUACAUGUAUUUUCAUUUAUUGGGAAGGGAUAUGAUUAUUUUAAAUUUAACUAAUCAUUACCUUCGUUAAUAAAUGAAGAUACGUGUGGAGGAAGUGAUGAUGGUCAUCUUGGACAUGAAUAGUAGGAUUAUUAUCUAACUUGUAUAUAAGAUAAGAAAAAGCCAAUUUACUGUAGCAACCCGUCUUGGACUUGGAGGCCUGGGAACGAAAGCACAUUCACCUGAGUGAGAAUCACUUCACUUUGAGAGAAUUGAAGAUUGCUCCCCUUAAUUUCCUUGAGACCAUCGCUGAAGAAGUCGUCUGAAGUUGUUACAUGAGCAGGGUUUUUGCAGGGAAAGCCAUUUACGUGCAAAGGAGAUUUCAGAUCAGCAAUAAUGCAGAAAUCCUGCAAUGGACCAGGCUCAGCACAAUGGGAAGGCAAUGGCAUGGUAGCUGGCUGGCUAGCAGAACUGAUGACAAAACUGCACAGGACAAAAUCAGAUGAAUAUUAACAUCGCAGGAAGAAGCCAUGCAUAUGUGCUCAAAUUUGCUAAGGAAGCCACCGAAUGAUAUAUAGCUUCGUAGUUUGCCAGACAAAUUAGACUUAAAGUUGUGUGCUUAUCGAGCAGUCUGAUGUUUCGCUUGCCUGUGCAUGGGGAAGGCACGACUAGUUCCUUGUUGACGGCAGUAUUAGUGAUUAAUUUGCUGCCAACCUACUCCGUAUGAUACAAAAUGACAAUGCUUAAAAUGAAGGAAGCUUUUAGAAAGCUAUGUAGGGAAGGAAGUUAGAAAAGGUAUAAAAUGAAGAUAUAUUUCAGAGAUUAUUAGUUCAAAUUUCCUAACAGUACUGUGGCAAAUCGUACACCUAAUAUCCCUUAUUUUGAAUAGGUCUAUGACAUUCAGUACAAUUUUGAGUUAUAUCAUCGUAGAAGGUAUACACCACAUCCUGUGCCGCCACCAUAAAUCUUCCUUCCUCUUGGUGUAAAAAUUAUUUAAAGGGAAACCACCACCAGCAACACCCCCCCCCCUCCCCCCAACAGUACUGUGGCAAAUCGUACACCUAAUAUCCCUUAUUUUGAAUAGGUCUAUGACAUUCAGUACAAUUUUGAGUUAUAUCAUCGUAGAAGGUAUACACCACAUCCUGUGCCGCCACCAUAAAUCUUCCUUCCUCUUGGUGUAAAAAUUAUUUAAAGGGAAACCACCACCAGCAACACAGCCCCCCCCCUCCCCCCAACAAAUAUUCAGGGGCCUAAACAUGCUAGAGUACAUGUGCAUAAUAAACUUGAGACCUAUCUAAUUCUAUAAUCAUUUCUUAUCACAUGCACAAUCACAAACAGGAUAUAUAUACGUGUUGACCUAACUUUUGAUGUCCCAUAAUUCCCUCAAGAACAGUUGAUCAGAGAAAACAGGAUAACUUUCACAUGAUUACCUCAUUAUCAGGCUCUGGAUGAUAUGUGAUUUCUUCUGAGAAUCCAAUGUAGGAUCACGGGACACUCUUCUUAUUGCAGUUUCCAGCUCCUUUUGAUUUAAUUCCAGUGGAUGCUCAUCAUGGCACGCCUGAAUGUUUUGUCCAGCUUUAUCAGCUUGAUCAUCAACAAUUUGCUGAUCAGUUUUCUUAUCAAGUUCUUCACCACAGUUGACUAGAUCUUCAUAUUUAUCAUUGUUUUGACCGCCUUUGAAAUCUUUUGAAUAUGGACAUAUAUACCCAGAAUGCUCAGCAUUGUUAUCAGAAACUUCUUUUCCUGAAAGUUUGCUUUCUCUGCAUGUUUGUUCCCCAGAUACACUGAGACAACUUCCAGAGGGUUAGCAGCCAAGGAAGGAAAAGAGGAUUCUUCUUCAUCCUUAGCAACACAAUAAUCUUUCAUAUCUUCCCACCAUUCUCCUAACCAUUGUUCAAAAUUGGUAUUUUUUGUAGCCCUACGCCACAGAGAAAUCAGGGCAUGUUGUUCAUCUUGGGUUAAAGCUGACAUCAACCAGGGUAUCAUUUCUUGUAGAGUUUCAGCUCUAGUUCUGCCAAGCAUACACCCUAACAUCUUUUCUUGUUCCUCAGUGGAAAAGUAUUCUCCAAAUAAAGGCCAAAGUUGAAUUUCUUCACGAUGAAUAUGCCCCGAGAUUAUUUUCUGCAUAGACAGGCAAGUCUCAUGGAGCUUCAAACACAUCUGUCGAUAUUGUAGACUUCCCUCACCCGGUUUGUCUAGAUCAUCAUGCAGGGUGGCAAUGUCAUUUAGCAGAGAUGAAACUUUGGCAAAGUUUUCCUCCUCCAAUUUAUGGUCAAUGGUGUAAGACUGGGUAAUGUUUUUGAGUUUCCCCUUUGAUUCUAGAGCCGGAAAGACAACCUCAUCCUCUGAAGCACUGUGAAUGUCAUACAGAAACUUUAGAAGUUCAAAAUGUCUACGUAAAUCAGGGAUAAACUGAAAGCUUUUGGCCAUGUUAGCUGAAAGAAAGACAAUGUAGUCCAGAUCUCUUAUGAGAGCUUUGUGAAAGCACACAAAAUGAUCCAUUGGUCUUGAUUCUAGAGCCAAAACUUUUUUGGCAAUGCCAUUCUCAGCAGGAUGUCUCACAACGAAAGAAUAUUGCUCCACAUUUGAGGGGAGAAUUUAUGAAGAGUCAUUCCACCAGAUUCAAGCUUCUCAUUGGUUUUGGAAUGAGAAGAUGAGGGGUUCCAGACCAUCUUGUUAUCUUUUACAGCAGGGCUCGGCUCAGAUUCUAUGGUGUUAAAUAUAGUGCAGGCUUGCAUAUCAAACUUUAAAUUAGAAAACCCAACAUCCUCCCCAAUUCGAUCAGAUGUGAAAUAGAUUCCUCUGAUAAAAUUUUCUUGCAGAUCUUUUGCAAACCUUUCCAUGGAUAUUUUACCUAAAUAACCCAUGCGAACCCAACUAUGCAACAGAAUUAAAAUUGGCUUGUUGCCUAAAGGGCAUGCAUCUGUCAUGGCAUCCAGCAUGGUCUUGAACUGCUCAUCCAAUAAAGUAGCAGAAAACCAAAGAACAGCGCAUUUUAACAACCCAAGAGGCAUAGUUUUGAGACCUGCAUAUAACAGCCACAGCAGCAUAUUAUGGCUGCACUUCUUGCCAAUAGAAGAAUAUACCUGUAUGUGACUAAAAACAAGGUUAAAUUCAUAAAGGAGGAAACAUAUUUCUUACAAAUAAAAGCAGGCAGAAGUUUAUUGGUUGUCCAAAAAGAUAUGGUUUAGUACAGUCUGUUAUCUGAUGCCCUAAUCUGCCAGUGCUAGAAAUAAGUGGAGAAGAUGAAUAUUAUUUUCCAAGAUUUUUUUUCCUGCAUCUUCAGGGUUUUACAUUAGAGGAACUGACACAACAUCAUACCUCUGUUUCUAUAUGUGUCAGGUUUUGGCUAAUUCCUCUCACAAGCAACUCCACUUCCCUGCAAAGGCCCUUCAGGAAAUUGCUUGGUUGUGCUCCAUCUUGAAGCACUCCGUACAGCAAGAAUUGAAGUCUUUCGACUUGACCUUUCUCCACAAGUCGUGUGCAAGAUAAUGGUAGGACAUUCUUGGAAAGGUCAUUUACCAGGGGAAAAAAUAUUUGAUUCAAUGCGUUGCUGCAGAUUAAACUCUAGUAUUAGAAAAAUAUCUGGUCAUUGAAGAUUAAAAGGUAUUUCUGAACAUGCGUCAAACCUUCAGCAAACAAUUUUAGUUUUGUCACAAUGCAAAAGAAUAUUUUCAUCUCAUUGUUUUUCAUGAAAAGUUUCAGCAACUAAAAAGGCCUCUGAGGUAAAUGGGGCAUUUCAGCAUAACUUCAAUUCAGAAAGAAUAUAUACUGCAUGUGACAGUUACUACAGCUUCUCACGCUGCUGAGUAGAAUAUUUGAAGCAAAGGACUGACAUACUUUUGGAACAGCCAACAACAUCCAAACUUAAGCUUAUCUUCUUGGUCUAAUUGAUUUAAAGAAGAUAUAACAAUAACUUGGAGACCACUCCUGAUUGAGCAGAAUUGCUUAUUGGGAACUAUCAAUUAAUAUGGAGGUUACCUGUAGGAGAUAAGGACAUCUAAAAGGAAUUGUAGCUGAACUACUAUGGAAGACAAGUUUGACAUGUUGUUCGAGCUUCUUAUUUGGUAUAACUCAUCCAGAACUUUCCUGAAAUCUCUUGCAAGAGCAGUAUUCCAAAUGUAAAUGCCAUCAAGUGGGUUUGGUCCUAUAGAUGUGUAAAAGGAACAGAGCUUUGAUUUUUCUUCUUCACCAAAAUCAAAUGUAUUUGGAUGUAUCUUGAGUAUCUCCAUGGAGCUAACGUGUCCACUGUAAAAUUGAGCUCCUUGUCCAUAGACAUUGCAGGCUUCAGGAGGAGAAGGUUUCUUAUUAUUAAGCCAAGAGAUGACCACCUUUAAGAUGGAAAUCAAUACAUCAAGUUGGGAUUAUAGACUAUGAUCUUGAAGCUAAAUGUUAUUGUCUACCUCUUCAAGCACUUCCUCCUUGGAUACAACAAUCUUCAUGCAAUCCAGAAGGUCUAGUUGCUCAUCUGGAGGAAGAGAACAAGCCAUCCACGGCAGAAAAUCUUCCAAUAAAGCAAUAGGAACACUGCAGAUAUACUGCCAAACAAGCUUAGCCUGUUCUUCAGAAGGGAAUUGUCCUAUCAGCAAAGGAAAAACCUGCAACCAUUAUGCGGCUAAUUCAGUGUAGUUAAACUGCAGCUGCAAGAAACCAAGGAACUGAGAUAUUUGACUGUAAUAAGACUAAUUUACUGAUAAGUUGAUUAGUCAAAAACUUUCUGGGGGCUAAAAGAACCUUCAAAUUAAAACUAUUAUUAAACUGCAUCUAGUAGAGUAAAACAAGCGAAAUAACACUCUGCAGAGGCCAUCUAUUCCUGCAACCCACAACUCAAACACUCUACCUUAGCUUUCAUUUCAUUUGUCUGAAUAUAUAAGAAUAUUAAGCUGGAUGUAGUUUAGCAUAGAUAAAGACAGCAGAUCAUGUUAAGAUUUCUUUAUGUUGGUUAAAAUCAAGCAUCGGCUCAGCUAAAAAGGGGUGAAGAUGGUGUUUAAGUCUCAUCAGUCACCCAGAUAUUGCAUAAUUCUCACAUAUCACUUCCUCCUGGUUUUCUUUAAAAUUAUGCACAUACAAGUCAGUGCAUUCAAAAAUUGUUUAAAUACCUUUCAGAGACAACAUCAUCAUAACUCCAAUGCAAUAUAAAAUAAUCUUCAUCUCACCAAUUAUGUACUCCUUUAAUUUUCAUUUAUACUAAAGAACAUGUUUUAAUUACUGUUUAAUUUUGAUGGUCUUUCCUAUUUUAUGGCUUACUUGAUAAAGUUGUGUGCUCUCAUAUAUGUUUUCAGAUACAGCUAGGUUGCAUCAUGUCGAGUAUCCCACAAAGUUCUGCAUGAAGUGGACCAUUAGCAAGUUGUAAUGGGGUUUAUCUUAGCCAAAGAUAGCCUAAAUUUUCUAUUUUAUCUCUGCUAUGGAUCUCAAGGAGCAUGGGGAGAGAGUAGUGAAACAUAUGUUCUUCUUUUUUUCUUGUUUCAAGUCCUAACUGAGUUUGGAGCUCUCUUUGAUGGGAGACAACAAAGAGAAUGUCUCGUUAUCCUUCUUAAAUCUAGCCAUGCUGAAGAAAUUUCGUAUGACCUUGCCAAUCUUUUGGUUAGAAUGGUAUCGAUUGCGAGUCAUUUUGCGUGACUAUGCUUAUGGUUUAAUAAUUUCCAGAAAUUCAAAAUGUAGGAGUAUCAUAGUGGAAGGAAAGGAAAAGAAAAAGGAAAGAGCAAGGAGAAACAGAAUCCAGUUGAUCAAAGCAUAAAAAUCAGAGAAGUAACAACAUGUAAAUUGGAAGUAUACAAAGGAGAAGUAGUAAAUACCAAUUUUUCUUCCUUCAGCAUAUGCUCGCAGAUAGCGGACUUUAUAGAGCUGAUGCAGAAGAUGAGUUUUUGAAACAGAUGGGUAAAAUCUUCACACUCUUUUCUUAAAAGAUCCAAGCACUGGACUGUGGAGCAGAAGUCAUCAUUGAUGCACUUAUGUUCUAAUGCAGAUGUAGUCACCACGUUCUUUACUUUGCUAUUUAGAGCUGGAAAUACAAUCUGCCAAAAAUUUCAGAUAAAAAUUUCCACAGUAAUUGAUGAACUCAACGUUUAACAAAUUUAUUUCUUGCAUGAUAAGGAAAAAGAAUAGAAACAGAUCAAGUUGAUCAGGAGAAUCUCACCAGCUUAGUGCUAAUAAAGUAAAAGAAAGGGAAAUGUACUCAUUAUUUGAUGCUUGCUGUAUCUAGCUCAAUAUAUUUCCAGUCAAAAUUGUGUUCAGCUUCUCAGUAAGACAAUACAUUUCAGGACAGAUCUAAAAUGUUUUGGUAAAUUUUCUUCCAAUAUUUCACAAGUGAGCAAAACACUGAAAUAGUCUAAAUCCUCUGGGGAAACUUUGUGUGCCUCAGUAAGUUUGGUACAUAGGUUAGGAAUGAGGACUAAAUGCGUAAUAGAGGACGCCCUGAUGCUAUCCUUUGACGUUAUAUUGAAGAUGGUUUCAAAUCUUCCAUGUUGUUACGAUUUCCUUGUACCGGCUACGCCAAUCAUUCUAUUACCAGGUUAAGGAAUUGAAGUUCGUUCGGCGAGUAUUGUCAUAUAGAAGCCAGUUUCGAGGACUCUCGAGGGAAGCCUUAAGCAAACCCUGCGUCUUAAUUGCCAAUGAUGUGAGAAUUUCUGCCUAAUGACCUGAUGGCAUUUCUGAUAAAAUAACAGGGAAGGAGCUGAAGCAACUUAAUUGGCAUUUUUGAUAGUACAUCAAAUUGCCCCCCCUGGGAUCCUAAACAUUGAUUCUCCAUCACCAAAAACUAAAGUUUUAAUCUUUACAGCUACUACCAAAAUCAAGCAUAGUCACCACAUUUUCACCUCAAUCCUGUCUAAAGAACCAAAACCCUGUGCUACAAUCACAUCCGACAUUCUUAUGAAGUAAUGAUACAACAACAAAAAGGGAAAACAACACACGCCAUUUGUUCAAUGACAACAAAUCCCACAAUAUAAUUUUGCUCAAUAAAAAGAAACGAGAAAAGAAAUUAAUAGAAACACCUCCUCAGUCCUCACCUCAUCUUCCGCUGCAGCGUGUACUUAUAAACAAGCUUAAAGAAGUCAAACCUCCGGCCAAGAUCAUCCACAAACUGGCGAUCAGGGGACCCAAUGUCAGCCACCUCCAGGGCGGAGCGGUGGAGCUGCUCAAGCUCCCUGACAAAAGCCUUGUGAGAAAGAACAAAGAAAAGAAUAGGUGCAUCAACCAGUUUCGCACCAUCCAGGCAAGGUAAUAAGGCCUCUGUUACUGUUAUUGCAUCCUCCUCCCCAUCCUCCUUUUCGGGUUCUUCGCCGGCCAUUGACUAAAACAGUUCCACCUCCACAGCCACCACCUAUCAUUAAUGGUGAAAGGGGCCAAAGGGGAAGCUCAAUCAUCAAAGUUCGAGUUACUUAUACUAUUUGAUUGAUUGAUUGAUGCCACUGUCUUUCUUUGCCUGUUGGUUCGAGGGAGGCCUGUUUCUUGCCACUUCGAUGUUCAAACUUCAAACCGUGCUCGGCCUUUUUUAAUGCUCUGUUCAAACAACUACUAAUCUAAUAGUAGUAAUGGAGUAGGGGUGGAAUUUGCACUUAUCUAAUAAAUAUUACUGUAUUAUGACAAACUUAUUUAACUAGUGUGAAUGGUCCACAUAAUUAGCAUAAUCUGUGAAAAAAAAAAUUGAAUAUUAUUCAACUGGCAUCAUAAAUAUAAUUUUUCAAUCAUUUUUUUUAAUGAAAGAAUUGUGAAAAAUGCCCCUAGGCAUUUGUGGUGUUCUGCAAGUUACUCCCUCCGUCCCACUUUAAUAGUCCUGUAUUUCUUUUUCAUCUGUUCCAAACUGUAAUCUACUUUCCAAUUGAAGAAUGUAGUUGUAUUUUAAUUUUUUUAAAAUACCCUUAUUCAAUGUAAGCAGUUGUUACUAUAAACUUACCCCAUUUAACGAGAGUUGAUUCUUUUUUUACUAUCAAUUCAAGUUCCCAUAAAGUUAUACCAUAUUUAAUGUGAGGGUAUUUUAGAAAAAUAACAAUUUAAAUUUACUUUUUCAAUAAAAUUAACUACUUUUUUUUAAAUUGUGUGUAAAAAGAAACAGGACUAUUGAUAGUGGGACGGGGAGAAUAUUUCCUAACAUUUUCUUUUUGACAAUUCAUCCCAUUAACUCGUAGUAGUAGUAAUAAUGGUGACAGUUAACGGGUAAAGGACAAUAGUAUCACUGGUAAAAAAAAUGAAAUGACCACAUACCAUUUCCCAGCCGCUCUAAACUUGUCGGCAUUCUGUUUGGCAGUAUUUUGCUGUGGGGUGACAUAGGAUUAGCGUGGGAGGGAUUAAAGAAAGAUGGGCACGCCUGCACCAAUGGAUUCUUGCCACAUCAAUGUCCACUGCACUUAGUUUUGCGGUGAAAGUUCCCCACUGUUUUAAUCUAAGCCGUGCACACACGCUCCAGUCAUUUCCGUUUUCCACCUUCGUUUGGGGAAACAUAAAUUAUGCGGAGGAGAUUAUCAGAAUAGGAUCAAUAUGACAAUUUUAACAUUUCACUCAACUGUUUCUUCAAAAUUAUAUGGACAAGCAAUAGUAAAUAUUUGAUAAUUAAUGUUAAUAUUUUGUUCAUUAUCAAGAUGUGAACUUUCUUUUUUAAAACAAGGACGGAAAAAGAACAAAAAGAAAGGGAGGUGAUAAAAGAGCUAAACAUAAGUUUUUAUGCUAACUUGAUAAACACAGGUAAUAUAAUUUAGAUUGAUGCCAUUUCACUAAUUUUUCUGUAAAUUGUUUGGUUUAUUAUUUGAACAAACACAAGAGACCUGAGAUUUUAAAUGAGUGAUUAAUUAGAAAAGUUUAAAAUCAAUAGCAUUUCGUUAAUUUUAGGAUUUUUGUUAUUACAGAGGAGGUAAUCAUUAAUUUCUUCUAUUUUUAUUUACAAGACAAGACUAAUUGUUUCAGAUAAUGCGUGUCUGAAUAAGAAUAUCCUUGUGAACAAAAAUAAAAUUGACAAUUUGGGCAAAGCAAAAGCAACAAGGGAAAAUAGGAAUAUAAAUGAUAAGAUUUUUGUAAGUAAUGUUGAAAAUAUGUAUUUGAGUUAUAUAUGGAUUCUUUGACAAAAUUUGUACUAGCGAACAGCAUUAUACAUAAUGACGUCCAAAAUUAAUAAAAUGCAAGUUUCACAGUAUGAAUAAAAUAUAUAAUAUUCAAGUCUAUCAAUGAGAAAAUUGUUCUUGGCUAGUUAAUUAGAUAAUGUCUGUCAAAAGCAUUGAUUCAGCUAGUAUACUUUUUAAUCAAUUUGCAAAUCUUCUUAAUUAACUAAAUAACAUUAGAUCAAUUCCCCUCAAAAUUGAAAGAAUUUUCAUUGGAUUCUGAGCGUUGCACCAAUUGAAAAAAUUGCCUUUUAUUUAAAUGGUGUAAUCCUUUUAUCUUGAAUCUUGUACUACAUCUCAAGCAAAGCUAGUAUUUUGACGGUGACCUUGAGAAAUAUAUAACUCGAUUUGAUUGUAACCCUCAAAAUGUGAGCAAUGGAUCAUAUGACAGGAAUUAUGAAGGAAUUAUCAAAAAAAAAAAAAAAAAAGAAUGAUGGAGAGUUAGAGGGGCGUGGGUGGAGCGUCCAAGUAACAUGCUCCUCUGGCAAGUGGAACUUGAAGUAAGAAUUAGAGCAGAAAUUCAGAUAGUUAAAGCUCUCCUGACCGUAUGUGCAGAAAUUCAGAACUCCUGACUUGGGACUUGAGAGUUAGGUUUAACUACUUAUUUCUAAAUUUCUGAAAAAAAAAAAAAAAAAAAAAAAAAGCUCUCCUGACCGUAUGUGCACCUCACAACAGGCACGCGCAAUCGUCGCAUAUGCGCGUUCUGGCACGUGUCCCAUAUACUUUAACUUUCACCUUCCAAUUUUGCUUCUUAUAAUUAUUAUGACCUUCUUCUCAAUUAAUACAACUUUAAAGCAAAUACUUGGACUUUGACCGUCUACUAAUUUAUUAGUAGUUCGUUAAAGCAGCUGACUCUUAUUUCUGGUUAAUAAGAAGCAAGAACAAAGUCAACGUAAUAAUUAAGUCAAAUUAAAUACAAGAAAGGGGAAGUACAAACAACUUGGAGUAUCUUUUAGUUAAUAUUGCUUAAUAUUAGACUUUUACAUAUCUUUAUAAAAAUUUACAUGAGAGAAAUCUCAUGGUUCACAUUAGUCUAGUUAAAAAAUACUACAAUUUUGACUGCAAUCAUUCGUUAUGCUAUUAACAAUCAAACACUGUGUAAAAUCAUCCGUUUCUAGAUUUAUUCAUCAUCUAAUCGAGGUACGUUAAUUCGAUAAUUGCUGAAUAUCAACACUGGAUUAAGUUUUGAAUAACGUCUGAAUGCAACGAAAUGAUAAAUACAAAAGGACCGCCUUUAAAUGAAAACCUAAAUGUAAAUUACAUUCACUAAACACCUCUCAUCGAACAUCUAUUGAAAAAACUCGUGAAGUAAAGUUGAACGUCGAUCGCAAUUAAACUACUCGAUACUUUAAAAUAGGUGCUCACAAUGUGUCACGAACUUGUCGUAUUACGUUAGGGGUUCUGUGAUUACGCCCCAUGGUCAUUGUCAUCGUGAUAUUCAUAUCAGAUUUGCCAAUUUAAAUAUUUAUAAGCCGUACAAAAUCUAAAACCGUGAUGAUCUCUCGAGUUUUAUUAUGAUAACCAUGCUUUGUAGUUUAUUCAGCUCCACGCAUGCUGAUGGAAUAAUAAUUAGUGAUCACUGGCAGAAACAAAUUAAGGGGUGGGGCAGCGACAGGCAGCUGCCCCGGAGACUCCAGAAAUAUAUUCCCUUAAAAAUUACUAAUAGUUAUCUUUUAUAGCGUUGUAAAAAUUAAAUUUUGCUCCUCCCAAAAUUGUCGAGAUCAUUUAUGUUAGCUUAAAAGUUAAAAGUUUUCACUUAUAUACCUGUAAAUAUUAGACUCUACACUGAAAUAUUCCGCAAAAAUGUAAGGUUGCCCGGCCCCUUAAUAUAUUUUUUUUCCCCUGAUCAUUAGUUUUGCUCCCUCAAACUCCAACCUCUGGUUCUGCCAGCAUUGCUGUGAACGAUCCAAAUCAUCAUAUAUACUUGGAUAGAGGAUUAUUUGUCAAAAUUUAUUUGCUUACAUGUGAGAACCCUAACUUCCCUCAAUUUUCUUGGCCUUUGGCUUACUUUCUUUGCCCCAUUUUAGUGAAAAUUUGUCAACCCCUUUUGGUUUAAAGUAUGAAAGGUCGUGGAUAUGUGCAAUCAUGUAUGAGAUAUGUAUGGAUGUGUAUGUGGUAGAAAUACGUUUGAGCACGACAAUCGAAUUCGGAAGAAAAAAAAAAAAAAAAAAUUUUGGAAAGCUGAAGUGGCCAAAUCCGGCCGGAAAUCCGGCCAGUUUCUGGCCGGAUAGCUGGCCGGAUUGCCCUGCGUUUUUGAAAAAAAAAAUGUUUCCUCUCGGCCUCAUAUCCGGCCAGGAAUCCGGCCAGAAUCCGGCCGGAUUCUGAUGUGACACAGCCGGUCAGCAGCUUUGACCGGCUGUUUCUUCCUUCUUAUCCCCUUGGUUCACCAAAAUAUCUUCAUUUCCUCUUCUUGUCCAGCCGUGAGCUUUGAGAGCAAAGAGAGAAAAACUCUUCAAUCUCCAUCUUUGAUUUUUGCUUCAAUCUUGAAACUUCACCAAUGGAUUUUUAAUUCCCUCCAUACAAGUGAUCUUCUUGGAAGGUUAAAGCUUUUGGGUGGAGUGUUUUGGCAAGGGAAGCUUUGAAUUGCUAGUCUUCUUGAGUUGUGAGGUAAGAUGCUUAAGAAAGUUCUCUUUUACAUUGAUAAUGGUUAAGUUGUGAAUUAUAAGGGUUGGAAAUGUCAUUUUGUGAGUGAUAUUGUGAUUUGGGUUGAUUUAUGGUGACAUUUUAUUUUUUUAUUAUGAUUUUUCUAUUUGAAUUUGAUGUUGUCUAUGUGGCCAUGUAAGAUGAAGGGGAAUGAUAUAGAAUGAGGCUAGUUAAUGUAAAUGAUGGUUUAAUGCAAGGAAUUCUUGUUUGAAAGGAAAUUUGGAAAAGUUAGGGUGUCACACCCUUCAAUUCUGGCCGGCCCUGUUUAGCAUAGUUAGAGGCCGAAUUGGCCUUUGCUUAAAACAUGAAAGUUGUAGGUAUUGAUGUGUUAGAGGUGUCUGUAAAAUUUCAGGUCAAUCGGAGUAAUGUAGAGUGAGAAAAGUCGAAUUUACCCCUGCUGCUCUGGUUUCAUCCUAACUUGGGAAUUGUUGCAGUAAUUAGCUAUUUUGGCUAGGAAAACUUCUGAACUGGUUGUAGAGGUCUUCUAAUGAAAUGUAGCCUGAUGUCCUAGCUAUCAUUUGGCUUUGGAAUCAAUGGAUUUGGACCUAAGUAGACCGAAUUAUAGUUCGUUAACCAGAACGUGGUUUGUCCACCUGUAUUUUGCAGUUCUGAACUAGUGUCUUGUAUUUUUGACCUAGUUUCACUACAAACUGGAUUAAGUGACCUUCUACAUUGUUGUAGCCCUGCCUCUUAGUUUCGAAACGGUGGGUCUUACACCCUAAACCAAUAAUCGUAGUGCCUUUAGUGCUAUUUCCGCAAAAUGUUGUCACGCAUUGUUUUAUCUGAAAGUGUUUCUAGCUCGCUUUUCGUAUUUAUUGUUGUAUUUAUAUGAAUUUAAGCCUAGUGAUCGGCUUUUGGACAUGAGGUUAUUCUAUAUGACAUGUUGGGACUGAGUUGAGAAAAUAAUGAAGCCAUUAAUGGCUGGAAAAUAGGUAAACACAAGGGACAUGCCGUCCGUUUGUUUUCUUGGAAAUUGAAUGAGUUAAAGUGGUUUUUGGAAAUGUAUUUUGUAUCAAGUUGGGUGUAUUUCCUAGAGAAUUUCAUUGGGUCUUUCAAAUAGGGAUUCGAGGGCUAAGUUCUAGUUAAACUUGUAUAUUUCUGCAAGGCAACUAAUGUGACCCUUUUACCGUUCGAAAACAUGUUACCUCUUCGAUUUGAACCACCAAAUGUUUACUUACCCCGUAUUCAAAAUAAAGAGGUAUGAAUUAGGGGUUUUAUCGGCCAAGUUAGGGUUUUCUCGGCCACAAGUGAACUACUUUCAAGUAAGGUUUUAAGAGUCCUCUUUUCCAUAUGAUUCUCAUCAAAACCCUUAUUAUAUAACUGCUACUUGAAUAUAUAGUGGCUUGUAGCUGCACGAAUGAUUCUUUAUAAUUCCAAGAGAAUAUUUCCUUAGCCUAUCUAUUGGGAUUUUAAUUUGUUAUAGUUAAGUGUUUCUUUUAGAGACUUUAUAACCCUCUCGGUUUGGGUCGCAUUAGGGUUAUUCUUGUCUACGGAUCCAAGUGCGCUCUUUACAUUUUGAAGGUCUUUUAUACGUCUACUCGCGAAUAGUCGGGUAUUUCUUAAUUGCAUCUAAAUCAUGUUAGAUGGAUUGUAAUGCGAUCUUUGUGAAAUUUUAGGUUUCAUUGGUGAUUGAGAAUUGGGCGUUGUUUUGCGGUUAUAGGUGAGUGUUCCUUAUUUGUUAUAUUUCCUGAUUAUCUGGCUUGUUUGAAUGAUUGAUAACAUGUUAAACGCUUUCAAUGAUUGCUAAAACGAUUUUCGAGGCGAGUGUGUACUUUACCGCACUUAGCCUAAAUGAUUGUGAAAUUUUAAUGAUUGAGCGAUUGAAAUGUUAAUUGUGCAUGAAUGUAGGCCUUCGGGCUGAACUGGCCAUAGCCCCUUGUUACCGGUCGUCUCGAGCCAGUCGGACUCGGUCGAGCGAUUAGGAACUUGGGUGAACGAUCCGGUAUACUCGAGUAUUACCCUGUAGGUUGGUGGAGCCUGGCCAAAAGCCAGGGACGGGGAGAAUGAAUGAAUGAAUGAAUGAACGAGGGGUUUUAUUUAUACAAAAAUGCAUUUUCAAAUGAUUGAAGGUUGGAGAAUGGAAGGAGAAUGAAUGAAUGAUUGGCUCCUUGUGAGCCCGUAUCCUUUUAAUGAAUGUGUUUAUCGCUUUAUUGUACUUGUAUCGUGAAUUGUGGUUUACAUGCAUUUGUUUCUCUUGUUGCCUAUGUGUACGGAACCUCACUGAGCUUUCCAGCUCAUCCCUUUAGUUUUGUUUUCCUUAGCAGGGGAAGACGUGCGAGGACGGAAGCUACGAAUAGAUUAGCCGUUUUAGUACUUUUGAUUCUUUUGUUUGGUUCUCGCCCCAAUGUUUGGUGGGCUGGUUGUAUGGAGAAUGGGGAACCUUUGUACAAAAGUUGUUUUGCUUUUGGAAUAAAUAUGUAUAUAAGUUUACGUUAAGUUUGAAAUUUUUGUUAUUUCGAUUGUUUUGUGGAUUUUCUUGCCUUCUCUUAUAGCAACUGACUGAGUCCCGGCGAGAGCUGGGCAGACGGUCCGCCGAUACCCUGGGGUACGCCCUAGGGAGAAGUGGGACCGUCACAUUACAUCAUCAUUACAAUUUUCAACACACCUUUUUAUCUUCUCAAUUACUUUUUUAUCUCACAUACAUCACAUCACAAAAAGUGUUACAGUAAAAAUAUCUCAAAUAAUUUACAAUGCAAAUAGAUUCAUGGGCUGCAUCCUGUUAUGCUUCCCUGUGGGAUCUUUAAUUAGUUGAGCUUAAUUACUUUAUCAUAUAUCCAGGGUGGCAAUGUAUUUUCAGCAAUGUCACUAGUCUAUAUAUAUUUUAAGAUUCAUGGCAGUUCGAUUUCGUCCAACAUGGGUUUUCUGCUCAAAUAUUGAAGCAGAUGCUUCAGAUUCAGGUGUAAAUGAGGCACAGCUAUUCAUAUAUACAAUCAAUCUUCGCCGGGGGGGGGUAAUAGAAGUAUGUAAGAUUUCCUAAAAACUUUUUAUUUUUAAUUUCAAUUUUUGUCAAGUGAAUUUUUAUUUCUUUCAGAAGCAGUUGUAGAUAUGCAUGUAAAUUUUUAGCCACGAAUCUUGAUACUUAAUAGAGAGAUUAACUACAGCAAGUCAUUCAUGUUAAUUUUGCCAAUGUGUUGAGCACCUCAGAAUAUUGUUCUAUUUUUGGAUUGUUGUAUUUUUUAAAAACAAGUUUUUCAAAUAUAAUAUUACAGUAAUAUACAAAUAAAAACAAUUCAGAAAACAUUUCAUCCAUACAAUAUAUCAAAAAUAACUCACAAAUAUACACAAAAAAUAAAAAAUAAAUAAAUUCUACAACAUUUUAUUUCUAUCACCACCACCCCUCCCUCUUCCCUCUUCCUCCUCCUCCCCUCCCGCUCUCUUCUUCCUCCUCCCUCUUCCCCUUCUUCCUCCUCCCAUCCCCUACACCCAAGCCCUUCCAUUCCCUUCCCUUCUCGAUGUGGUCACGCCGUGACCACAUCAAAGGGGCAAGAGGAGGGUUGGGAGAAAGAGAGAAGGAGAGUUGGAGGGGAAGAGGAUGGGUGGAGGAAGAAUGAAGGGGAAGAGGGAAGGGGAGUUGGAGAAAGGAGGAGGGAGAAGGUGGUGACGGCGGUGGGUGGGGGUGGUGUUGGUAGUGAUUGUAGUUGUGGUAGUAUUAUUUUUUAGAAAGGAUCCUACAAAUAUUUUAGUUUUAAAAGGUAUCUCAAAAUAUAUUUUAAAAACAUCACAAAAAGCAUCUACAAUAAAAGUUUUUUCAUAUACAUUGCUAUGAUAAAAUAUUUCAAAAAUAUUCCAAAAAAUAACUAAUCCAAAUGGAGCAAAUUCUAGCCCAAAGGAACCCUUAAAACCUGUAACGUCCUAGCAAAUUGUUAUUGCGGCCAGAAGGAAGCCUUAAAACCUGUUACGUUCCUAUUGCAUGAAUCUAUCUCCCAUGCAUCAUAUCCCCAGCCAGAGGAGGUUCAACCACGUCCGAAGAAGAAUAGAUUAAGACUAGUUUGGGGCUAGAAUACUUGCAUAAAAAUUUCCAUCCUCUUCGAAAGUGAAAAUGACAUAUAAAUUUGCAUUCUUGGCUCUAAUGUCAGUCUAUCAAAUGUUUUACUUUUAUCAUUGUGAGUUCCUGAUAAUUCAAUUAAAACAAAAAAAAUCGCACCACUUAUAUGUGUUACCAUACCAAUGUUUGCAUGGAGAAGCCAAAAAUUAAAAGGCCCUGAUCAGACCACCCCAGCUUGGCUGAUGAUUUUGGAGGGGUUUGUAUGAAUAUCUUCUUGUUUGUCAAAAAGUAUUUGAUUGCAUCAAAAAAAUGUUUCUAAUUGCCUUUUUUUUUAAUUUUGCAUAUAUCACAUUAUGAAAAAAAUUCAAUAUCAUUCAAAAUAAUCUUCUAUGCAAACAUAAUCCAAUUUGACACAACCCACCUGCGGGAAUUUCCAACCAUAGAGGCAGUGCAACUAUCUGGUAAACAUGCCCGAUAUGUUGUGUCCAUGGAUGCUUUAGAGUUAAAUGUGAUAGUAUAAGUUUUUGGAUUAAAUUAGAAUUAAUUUUUGCUACACUGAUAGCGUAUACAGUAGUCCAUAAUAGGACUCCCUUAUUUGUUAAUCACAUUUUUUUUUUGUUUUACUUGCGAAGAAGAAUAAAAACAGUUUUAUUCUUCAUUUCAAUCACAACUUUAAAAAAUGGAUGGUUAAUAAUUCAAUGAAAUAUACGAGUAUUGUGUAUAAUCCGCAUGGUCAAAAUGUCAAAGAGAGUACUAUUAACUUCUUUCCUUGAAAAUUUUGUGCAUUAAGAUGAAACUAUUAUCAAUAAGUAAACAAUUAUUUCAUAAUGCUUCGUUCAUUUUUAAUAACAUAGAACCUCUGACUCUCUGAGGUUCUAAGAAUUAGAAAAUCUAUAAGUUCAAUUCUCCCUUCUUCUUCUUCUUUACUUCUUAAAUUUUACACCUCCCUUGUUAAAAAAAAAAAAAAGGUCACGUCGAAUCUAUUGACCUCAUGUAAUAAAGUAAUGAUCCCAAAUUUUAUUGGGAGUCACUUUUUGCCUAAAAACAUAAUGCUCACUACAUGCUAAAGAAAAGCAUAAUUACUUAUAUUCCACGUUCAUUUUAGAAGUUAGAAAUUGAAAAGAGGGUAAGAUACACAUAAAUGUCCUUUUUUUCCUUUUAGAUUAAAAAAAAAAGUUGUCUCCGGUUGUUAGCACUUGAUAGAGCAUGACAGACUCCAUAUGUUUGGAUAGUAAAUUUUUUCAAAAAAAAAAAAUUCGCUUGUAUUAUAAAUACAUUUUUCAAUUCAUUUUUUUAUCCAAUCACUUUUUUAUCUCACAUACAUUACAUCACAAAAAGUGUUAUAGUAAUUAUUUGGAAUAAUACUCUAUCCAAACAAAGCUAGUUACACCAAAGCAAUGACUACGAGGAAAGGGAUUGAGGACGAAAAUGUUGAUGGCCUUUUACUUUGAAUUAGGCAUGGCCACGGUUCCAGAACCGUCGGUUCUAGUUCUUCAAAGAGGUAGAACCAGAACUGCAUAGUUCUGAUUUUGGUUCCUUAUGGUUCUGAUUCUGGUUUCCGGUUUUGUAUGAUUGUAUACAAUUUUAUUUAAUUCCUUAUCCUUACCAAAUUUAAUACGGAUAUAACAAUAUAUUUAAAAUUUCAAAUAAAAUGUAAAAAAAUAUAUACAAAAUAAAGAUCAUAUAUUAAUUUUAUUAUUAUUCUACAAAGUAAGAAGUAAUAAAUAGAUAAUAUAAAUUUUAUGAAAAGUACAUUACAUUGUCAAAUUAAAAAAUACAUUACACUAUCAAAUGGUUGCCAUGUGUUGACUUUCUUGAGUUGGACAAUCAUCAAUGUUGAGGAUUCCAUUUGAAGAAAUAUUGCAAAAAAUAUUUUUUUGCUUGCUUGAUUUUGAAGAUGAAUUACUACCAUCAAAACUUGUCAUUUGAUAGCAAAUAAGCCAAAAAAAAAAUUUUGUAAGUAAUAAUUUAAUACUUACAAAUUAUAAUGAUAGAUAUUAGAUGAAUAGAAAGAAUUAAAUAAUUAAUAAAAUAUAUAGAAAGUCCAUAAAAUUUAAAUUUUCUUAAAACCUAUUAAACACAACUAAUUUUUUUUUGAAUUAUCUCACUACUUAUAUUAAUUAUUUUUAACGGUUCUGGAACCGACGAUUCUAGUUCUGGUUCUAUCUUUUAGAGAACCAGAACCGGAACCUUUAUCCAAGGUUCUACCACGGUUCUAGUUCCAUAGUUUUGGUUCCGGUUUCAAACGGUCCGAUUCCGACGAUUCCAAAUGGAACCAUGGUCAUGCCUACUUUGAAAAUAACAAUGACCAAGUUUAAACAAAAAAAGAAGGCAUGGGACACAAUUUGUAGAGGGAGGCCCGCCCAACUCUUGCUUUGGAGGUCAUAAACCUCUUAAAUUGCAUCAUUGCCUGCCAGCUAAAAAACGAAGGAAAAGUUUCACUUUCGCUACCUCCGAUGAAGGAAGGACCCCAGAUGGAGUCUGGUUGACUGAAUUGAUGAUGAAGGUUAGGUUAAUCAUCUGGCGUGUAACGGUCAAUGACUGAAUGUUAGAUCACUGUACUACGAAUAAUAAAUAUCAAUCGGCUUUUCACCCUACCAGUCCCAAAAGCACCAACAAAACUUGUCAAAAAAAUUUUAAGAAAGCGAAAAAAAAAAGAAAACAACAAGGAACUAAAUAGGUGAUGUGGCAUCACCACUGGUCAUAAAACUUUACUGUAAUUUUCUGUAAAAAUUAUAGAAAAAAUUUUUGGAACGUGUAAAUUUUUAGGUAUUUUAAAGUGUAUAGUUUAACAAUUUUAAAAUUUUUUUUGAGAUUAUUAUAGAUAAAAUUAUUUAUAAAAUUUAUAAAACACAAACUUGACAAAAAAUUUAUUUGCUAAACAAGCCCAAAGAUUGACCGGAUGGUGCAAAGUUGUGACUUUACAACUAACGGGGAAUCUCAAGAUCUUCAGUAAACUAAUUAAAAAGAGAAAGGAUAUAUAGAAGUUGACCUUUGACAAAAAAAUAAAAUAAAAUAAAAAGAGAAAGGAAAAACCGAUGCAGACAACCUACUUGAGAUCUCAAUAUCUUCAUUCGAUCCAAUAUACAAUUAAUUAAAGACAAAGAAAGGGUAGAUAGUAGGGUAUCCGUGGUCAAUGAAGAUCGUCACAUAUUGUGACAAAUUUUAUGAGAGGUAAGAUUCGAACUCUUGACCUUCCGCACCACCAAGUCUAAGAAGGCUUGGGAUGAGCGAGAGAAUCAAAAUAUUCGAUAUAUAUAUAUAUAUAUAUAUAUAUAUUUAUUUAUAUUUUCCGGUAUCUCUCAAUCUUAUUCCAAGCUCCUAAUAUUUCCAGUUAUAGUAACUAGUUUUUAGUCUCCAAUGUUUAGUACCUAUAUAGAAUUGGUUCUUAAAAUUUUGGCAAAAAUAAGUCUGGUCCUAAUGUUUAGCACCUUUUGGUUUUUAGUCCCUAAAAUUUUGGCAAGAACAAAUCUAGUCCAAAAUAUACACAAUUUAAAGCAAAUCUAGAACAUUUGAAGAAUUUUCUUAAUUAUAGAUAGAAUUUAAUCACGUACAAUCAUUUGUCCAUAAAGUCAAUUAUAAAAGUAAAGAAGCAAAAUAGCCGCUAUUUUUAAAAAAAAAAAGAGAUGAAGGACUAAUAACUCAAAUGCUAAUUGAUUAACCAGCUCAAAAAAAAAUGAAUUUUGUUAUGUUACAAAAUGGAAACCAAUUAGAGCGCCUAAUUCAUCAUUCCAAACUUGUUUUCACUCUCCCUCCGUCUCCAAGCAGAAGACCCUAACACCCAAUUUUCGGGUAUAAUUUAACCAAAAAAGUUUUUUAGUUUCUUAGUUAAUUAAUUACUCAAGUGGAGUUAUUCUUAUUUUUCUAAGUUAGUCACUUCUUUAAAAAAAAAUAAAAUAAAUUAACGAACACGUGACUGCACGUGACCAAUUUCGUCGGUAACUAAGAAAACUCGUCAAAUGUCAUAAAUCGGUUCCAAAUUGAAAAAAUGAGGACUAAAUUUGUUUUUACAGAAAUUUUAAAGACUAAAAUGCUUAAGAUGCCAAACAUUGGUGGCCAGAUUUAUUUUUUAUCAAAAUUUCAGGGAUUAGAAUGCUGUAGAGAUUAAACAUUGGGUGGGGACCAACGCUGCAUUUCUCCGCCAGAAACUAAUGCAAUCAUUCCUCAUAACCUUUCUACUACCGGAGUAAAGAGUAUAGACCUGCACAAAAAUUCCAAGAGUCCAGGACCACAUAUUUAAACUUUUAGACUGCCCUUUCAAAAUUUUCAGAAUUCAGAAGCAGAAGCCCGAAUUGAAUGGAGAAUAGCCACCGCCAUCAGCACCGCGGCAGCGGCAGCAAAUGGAUAGCGGCGUGGCGAGCAUAUGGAUACAGUGCAGCUGCGGAGCAUCGUACGCCUUCGGAAUCUACUCACCAAUCCUGAAAUCAAGCCAAGGCUACGAUCAGGCCACGUUGGACACCGUGUCAGUGUUCAAGGACAUCGGGGCCAACGUCGGGAUCAUCUCCGGAUUCCUUUACUCCGCCGUGGUACCCGACCGGAGAGGGAGAGGGCAAGGGCGGAGCUGGUUACGGCAGCCCUGGGUGGUGAUCCUGGCGGGCGUAAUCCAAUGCUUUUUGGGCUACAUCAUGAUGUGGGCUUCGGUGACCGGAAUCAUUGACCGGCCGGGGGUGGGAUUGAUGUGUUUGUUCAUGUUCUUAGCAGCUCACGCUCAGACUUUCUUCAACACCGCUAACGUCGUGACCGCUGUUCAUAAUUUCCAGGAUUACAGUGGGACCAUUGUUGGUAUCAUGAAGGUAAAUGUCUUUCUUACGUCUUCAAUUAUUGUUAAUUUAUUACUACUACUACUACUACAUUUUACCUCUGCAUGGUUAAUUCUACUACUAGUAUUUAUGUUUGCCUAAUAUUCCGUCUACAUUAAAAUGGAGGUUUUUACUUCUUAUUAGAGGUUUGUGACCCAAAUGCACCAGUAUGAUUUUUUUUUUUUUUUUUUUUUGGGGUACAAGGCAAUGUUUUGAAACUCGUACAGUUGAUUGAACCGGUAAUGUGUUCGGAUCGAGGUUUAACCAGUCGGAUCGAUUCAAUCCUGGUUCAAUAAAUUUUUUUAAAAAAUAAUAAUGUAUAUAAAUAUAUAUGUAUAAAAUAAGACAUGCAAUGGACUAAUUUAAGACUUUAUGGGGUGAAAAGUUUAAUAUUUUCAAAGAAUUUGGAUUUUCACAAGUAAAAAUUUUAAAUUAUAAGUUGCAACAAAUAAAUUUCAUCUCAGCAUAAAUUGUGUCUACCAAAUAAUCUUAAAUUCAACCCAAAAUUGUCACAAUAUUCUAAAAUUAUACAAAAUUCACGUCCAUGGGAAUUAGAUAUUAUGAGUUUAAAUUUUUAAUUCACGUUUUUAGAAUUUAGAGAUUGCAAUUAUAUAUAUAUAUAUAUAUAUAUAUAUAUAUAUAUAUAGAAGUUUGGAAUCUGGAGGAAGUCAGGAUAAUAGAAAACAGAGAUGUAAACUUGAUGAAAGGCAAAAAAUGAGAAAAAAGUGAGUGGACGUGGCAUUUAAUAAUUAGUCUUUAGAAUUAAGAAAAAUCUAUUCUUUUUUUUCAAUUUAAUAGACAAAAACAAAAAAAUGCCGGUUCAAUGGUUCAAUCCAAUUUACAUGGUUUUUACCAGUUUUAUCCCUUGCCUUUUUUUUUUUUUUCCUAGUUAUUUUUUGCUGGAUAGUUACGCGCGAAACUGAAAUUUGGUCUCAACAAAGUUUUGUUUAUAGGACAAACUAUUGGAAAUGUUUAUUAAGUUCUGGAAUUUUGUCAAGACGAAUCAAUUUGCGGCAUGCCUAAUCAAAAUCGGUCCAUAUCCACGUGUAUAUAUAUAUAUAUUAUAUAUAUAUAUAUAUUUAAUGCCAUUGCUAUUGUGACAAAAUGCUAAGUUAAGUUUUACAGCUCCUUUUUUUUUGUGUCUAAACCCAAUUUUUUAAAAAGUUUUUCUUAAAACUACAAUAGGCUUGGAAGACCAUGGCAUCUAUUAUGCCCUAGUGAUCCUCAACCAACGUGUAAAAUAUAUGUAGCAUUGACAGAAAUUUGAGGAACUAACGUGUAGAAUAAAGGCAGUACUCGAAGGAAAUUUGAGGAACUAAUAUAUGUACAUAUUACUUCUCAGCUAACUACCAAAACGUUAAAAAGAAGUAUAAAAGUUACUCUCCUAUUCUUCCAAAACGUUAAAAAGAAACAAAAGUUAAUGUUCUCCUAUUCGUCUUUUUUGGGGGUUUUUGGGUUAAUUGUUGUCAAGUUGUACAUGCAUGAUCGGAGCUACACAGAGGGUGUAUUGAAGAGUCAUCAUACUCUUGCAUUCUUGUCUGGGCAGGGAUUUUAGGUUUGAGCGGAGCAGUUGUAAUUCAAGUGUACGACACUUUGUUUGAAGGCAAUCCUAGCACUUUCUUGUUAAUCCUCGCACUGCUUCCUAGUCUCAUUUCCAUCUUGCUUAUGUGGUUGGUCAAGAUUGAUGCAGCGCGCACCAAAGAUGAGAAGAAAAAUAUUUGAAUGGUUUCUCUGUAGUUUCCCUGGUCGUUGCUGCCUACCUUAUGAUCCUAAUAAUCUUGGAAAGUGCCAUCACUUUGCACUAUGGUCUCGAAUCAUUACCUUUCUUGUCCUCCUUUCUCUGCUGUCUUCGCCCCUGGGCGUUGCAUGUAAAGCUCAGAGUGAUAGCUCGUUGAACCUCGCGUACUACACAUCGUCCGUUGGACUCCUUUGAUGGAUGAGGCUGAGCCAAUUAAGCAGGAGACAACGUCGUCUCGAGCUGCAAAUCCGUGGAUAUUCAUCCUGAUGAUGAUGAAGUUCAAAGCAAAUCCGGCUCUGAGGAUAUGCUCGACCUUGGAGCGGAGUUAAACCUCUUCCAAGCAAUGAGAACUGUCAACUUCUGGUUGCUGUUCGUUGCUAUGAUAUGUGGGAUGGGUUCAGGGCUGGCCACAAUAAACAACAUCAGCCAAAUAGGGCAAUCUCUUGGCUACUCUACUGUUGAGAGGAGUACUCUGGUUUCGUUGUGGAGCAUCUGGAACUUUUUAGGCCGCUUUGGAGCUGGAUAUGCAUCGGAUAUAUUCCUCCACAGAAGAGGCUGGGCAAGGCCUUUGCUCAUGGCUCUUACGCUAGCAGCCAUGACUGCUGGCCAUGUGGUUAUUGCUUCCGGAUUUUCUGGGAACUUGUUUAUCGGUUCAGUGUUAGUCGGCGUAUGCUAUGGCUCUCAAUGGUCCUUGAUGCCUACCAUUACCUCCGAGAUAUUUGGAGUACGACAUUUGGGUACCAUAUUCAACACGAUUGCUGUGGCCAGUCCUAUUGGAUCUUACGUCCUCUCCGUUAGAGUCAUUGGCUACAUUUAUGACAGACAUGCUACAGGCGAAGAAAAUACAUGCUACGGCAAGUACUGCUUCAUGUCAUCUUUCUUCAUCUUGGCAUCUGUUACUGUCCUCGGAUUCCUCGUUGCACUGGCACUAUUUUUCAGGACGAGAAGGUUUUAUUCCCAGCUUCUGGUUCGAUGGUUGAGGCACACUGCAAUAGAGUUAGAUUCUUCUGUCUCGGGUAUUGGACAAGAAUCCCUGGUCUUCGUUGAAUUCUACUCAGGGAUUGGAGUGAAUAAUAUACGGAGUUGAGCAGGGCUUAGCAGCAGCCCAGUUUUGACUAAGGCUGUUUCAAUGAAUGUUUCCUGUACACAACCUUUAAGAGUUUCAAGAAUGGCUUACAGCAGCAAUUCGCCUGGCACUUCAACGCUUACAAUCAGGUUUCUGUGGCAAAUAUGUGAAUCCUCACGCCUCAGUGUUUUCAUAGAAUCAUGUAUAUUUUCUCCCCUUUUUCACAUUGAAUGGUUUUUUGUGGGUGAUAUUUUUUUUUCUAUAUAUAAUUAAUGUAUUAUACUCCAAUUGUACUACACAUAUUUGUUGCAUUAAAGCAUUUUAUCCAGAAAUGUCUCACAAAGCUUACCUGCUGUGCUUUUCAAUCUAUUAACAAAAUGACCCACAAUCCAGAAAUGGCUUUGAAGGUAAAAUUGGGGGAAAAAAAACAAGUGCCAACAACUAGUCCUCCCAACGCACUCCCCUACAUCACUUUUCAGUCAACUCAUGUGCAACUCUGACGGUAUUAGUACAUUCCUCCUCCUUCCUUUUUUUUCCUUGGGCCUCCGUUCAUUUAUUAAAACUCUCGAGUUUCAGCAACAAUACAUUCUCCAGUAAUCUCCACUCCAAAUAAAGAAGCUCGCAUGGAUUUGGAUCGAAAAAUUUAAGCUUCUCAAAACGGGCAAGGGAAAAUUAACCCAAAAAAAAAAAAAGUAUGGAGCUUGAUUACAAUCCGAGUUACAAAACCAUAAUCAAGAAGAAUAAAUGGGUUUCCACGGCGGCCAGCAUCUGGAUUCAAUCCACCAGUGGCUCAGCCUACACCUUCGCCAUCUACUCUCAAGUCUUGAAAACUAGUCAGGCUAUAAUCAGUCGACCCUCGACACUAUUUCUGUUUUCAAGGAUUUUGGUGCCAACGUCGGGGUGCUCUCCGGCCUCCUAUACUCCGCCGUCACCAACCCCCGCCGCAGCAGCAGAAUUGGGGGCCCUGGGUGGUUUUGGCAGCUGGGGCGGCCCUUGUGUUUGUGGGCUACUUCUUCAUGUGGAUGAGUGUUGUGGGGAAUCUGCCGAGGCCGCCGGUGCUGCUCAUGGGCUUGUACAUGUUGUUAGCUUCUAAUGCAACGACGUGUUUUAAUACGGCUAAUGUGGUUACUGCUGUUCAUAAUUUUCCUGAUUAUAAAGGGACUGUUGUUGGCAUCAUGAAGGUAACAAUUUUCUUCUUUCACCUUCAUUGUUACCAGCUUUAUUUUUUCUUGGUAUUGGUUUGGGGUAAUUCAUGGAGCUUAUCAUUCAAAAUGUUUGGUUACCUCUGCAGUAGUAUGCAAUUUUGUGUUUGUUACUGGAAUUGGAUUUUUACAAUGAUGGAGUAAGUGAUCAUGAUGCUUUUGUGCCCAAGCUACUGAUGGAUACCUGCCUAAGCUCAUCGAAUGGAUUAGGGGCCUUGCUGCUGCUUGUUUCUUAUUAAAAAAAAAAAAGAGCUUUAUGAAUGCAGUUUGCUGAUAAGUUAACGUUCAAUGUGCUAAUGAAUAUUGUUGUACACAGAGGUUGAGAAAAAAGGAUGAUUUUUUCUGAACAAUCUUUUCUGGCCAUCUCUGGUUUGUGUAAGUAGUCAGCCCUAGUUCCAUAGACGGAUGGAAAAAAAAUGGUAGAAGGUCUUUGACUUUGAGCUUCGAGGAGAUACAGAGCUUCAAGCCUAUACCCCAUUACAUCAGGAAUCUAGAAAUGCAGAUUUUACUCAUAUCUGAGAGUGAUUUUAGAUGCAAAUUUAUGUCUGUAUAGGGCAUAUAAAUCUUAUACUGUUUUAGUUUGUGGAACACUGGCGUAGUUUCCCAUUGCUUAUAUCUGGCCUUGGAGAUUUUACCAAUACAACUCUCGGUGAAAUGGUUUGUAUCCAAGCUUGUGAUUCCUAAAAUUUGAUGGAGAGUAAGCACAAAAUGAACGGACAAAUAGCCAGAGUUACUAAUCUAGCUUGAGUCUGUGUGUUAAGGACCGCAUUUCUAGUUUGAGUUUGUAUUUUAAGCAAACAAAAGAAUAAUUCCCAUGGUAGAUUUAGCUGAUAUGGUGGCAACUACAAGACUAUACAGUGUUUAGAUAAGAAUCGAAGGUAUCUGUCGAUAAUGAAACAUACCAAUGUAUUAAAAGCUAUUUGCAUCAUUCUGUUGAAUGAGACCAGACUGCUUGGGGUGGAGGGAUUUAGCAUUAAGCCCUGAAUGCAUGCUUAUAUCGAAUUGGAAAAUCAGUUGCAAAAUUUCAAUUCUGAAGGUACUCAUCCACUGAGGAGUGGGUAGCUUUUGGCUAAAAUCUCUAGAUUUGAGGACUUCAAGUGUCUAUAUUUUAUGCCCCAAAUCACGGGCAAAUGCACCAUUAUGCUUGGUUAAUAUUAUGAUUUUUUCCCCUUUUCCCCAUUUUUUCCCACUUUUUCUGCAUUUUACGGAUAGUUUGGAUUUAUAAUUUUAGGCAUGGUUAAUGUUUAGUUGAGUGCGGUACUUCUUUUCUCAAAGGGGUAGUUGGUAUUAUGACACUAAAUUAAGAAGUAUUAAAAAAAAAGGGUCGGGACUUGGGGCCUUCCACGGGUGUAGGCAGUCCGUAGGGUAAUGGUGGUAUAACUUUCAGACUCUAUCUAUGCCUUAUCAUCAAUUUUGAUCUAAUCAAAAUUUAGUGAAGUGUCAAGAUGGGGAUAUGUUUGAAAAAAGAAAAAGAAAUUCCUAAAGUAGGCCCUCAUCUCUAAGUUGUUUGUUACUGAUAAUGAGCCAAAUGAAGGGAUGAAUUUGCUCCAUCGUUAACCCAAUAUUUUCUGUAAAAAAAAUGGAAUUGAUAUAUUAAAAUUUCUGUAUACUCUUCAAAAGUAAGAGUUCAUUUUGAAAUGAGCCAUUGAUUUUAUUUAUUUAUCUUUUGGUUUACUUCUUGUCGAUGGAACAUCUUAAGGAGUUGCAUUUCACCUAAACACAAUUAGAAAUUCCCUCAUACAAAUCAUCAUUUUUUGCUGAUGGAAACUUGGUUUAGAAACAAAAAUGAAUGAGAUUAAAGUUCCCAAUUCUGAUGCUGCUUAUAAUGCUUUUGGCUAUUGCAUUUUGAUUGGGAAAUUUUACAAAUGUUAAUUUGGUUGUAUAUUUCAAAACAAAAUAUGAAAAUUUUCUAAUUAUUUUCACUUUUUGAGGUAAAACGAAUUAAUCAAUAAUGAUUAGUGCUUUCUUAUUGUAUUUAGAUACAUACAAGGUUGUCUCCUUUAUGUGAAAACGUCAACUUCAAAUAUUUAUUUCCUUGCUUGCACUUGUUGAUGUCCACCCACCGAUUUCAUGUGAAGCAUAUUUAUUUCGGAGGUCAAAUUCACAAACAAGAUGUAACUCUAAGCCCAUUAUCAUGAAUUGAAAUUUUUAAAGGUGCUUGGGAUAAAUUUGCAAGAUAAAUUUGAUUGAAUAAGGCAUCCUUGUUCAUGAAAAGGAUUUUAAUAUUUCAGCAAUAUCUGAAAAUAUUAGGACUAUUUAGGCAAUUCGAAUGCUAUAUUUCUGAUUUGGAACAAGUGUUUAGCUACGUUUACAAUGUACAUGAGCUGACAUCCUGUAUAGAUACAUCUAUUUGGACAGACUUUCUGGUUUUAUUGGUAAUUGAAUUGGAUUCUGUUGAAAGCAAUGAUUAUGUGGGUGGAAUCUACUAUUGUGAUAUGUCUGCUUUGCUUAUAUUUUGUUGUCUCCUUUUUCUAGUUAUUUUUUGUUGACAACUACCUAAUAGCUGAAACUACAUCUGAAAAAUGUUUUGUUUAUUGACCAAACUAUUAGAAAUGUUUAUUAGGGUCUUGAAUUUUGUCGUUCCCAAUUUGCAUAAUAUCUCAAUUUUUAGUUUGAGUAAAUUUUUUUUUAAUCCAACAGGAUUUUCUUGUCGAUUAUUUACCAGAGAUAGAAAUUAAUAAGGUGGAUUGCAGACCUAUUCAACUUCUUCUCUUUGGUAUUAGUAAAGCUAAUGAAAGUCAUUUAGGGCAGAAACCAAAAGUGGCUGUUAAUCGAUAUCGACACUUGAUCUUUAACAGAGUACCAUAACUAUAUCUUUAUAGUUAUCAUUAUUAUUUUUUAAUGAAACAAGCCACUGCAAUAUAAAAUGUUAAAAUUAUUUGAAAAUUUGCUUCUGCAAGUGUCCAUUAACUUAAGCCAUGUGUGGACAUUAUUUUUGGUUUACUUUAACAUCUGCAAUUAACAAGAAGGCCAGAAACAUAUACUUUGUGAAAGUUUGGUGGUCUAUCUGAUGGAAAGAAGUUGACUCGCCAAUGGUCUCUAAACCUUGAUUUACUUUUUCGCGUCCCUUUCCUUCUCUCUCUCUCUCUUCCUUUUUUCCUUUUUGUUUGUUUGCUAUAUUUUUUCCAACUUGCAAGACAAUACUCUGCUCUCAUAUUUUCUUUGUAGGGCUUUCUUGGCUUGAGCGGUGCAAUAUUGAUUCAGGUGUACCAUACAAUUCUCAACGAGAAGCCAACCACAUUUAUUUUGAUGUUGGCACUCUUGCCCUCCAUAACUGCCCUUCUGCUAAUGUGGUUUGUAAGAAUCACUCCAACUAAUGAAGUAGGCGAAAAGAAAUACCUUAAUGUUUUCUCGUUGGCUGCUGUAGUUCUUGCUGGUUAUCUAAUGGCAGUAAUAGUCCUAGAGAAUGUCCUUACAUUUCGUUCAGCAGUACGAAUUUCUACUUUUGUCAUACUUAUUUUGUUGCUAGUGCCACCUAUAUACAUAGCAAUUAAAGCCGAAAAGGAGAAGGCAAGGAGGAUUAUAAGAUCCUUGCUUGAGCAGAACCAAUUGGUUUAUGAUGGAAACCAGUUGGGCAACAAUUUCGUGCAGACCAGACAAGAUCCUGAGGGCCAUCAAGAGAUUUCGUGCGAUGCUGAUGAAGAGAUGAAUAUAAAUAAUGAAAGGACUGUUCCAGAACGGGGAGAAAAUCUGAAUCUUUUGCAAUCUAUCUGCACCAUCGAUUUUUGGUUGCUUUUUUUUGUUUCAGCAUGUGGUAUGGGCUCAGGACUAGCUACUGUUAAUAAUGUCAGCCAAAUAGGAGAAUCUUUUGGCUACUCCACUAUAGCAACAAGUACAUUAACUUCUUUGUGGAGCAUCUGGAAUUUCAUUGGGCGGUUGGAUCUGGGUUUGUGUCUGAUUACUUUUUGCAUGCACAAGGUUGGUCAAGGCCACUGUUCAUAACCAUCACUCUGGCAACUAUGAGCAUUGGUCAUGCUGUGAUUGCUUCUGGUUUGCCUGGUGCCCUAUAUGCGGGUUUGGUUCUUGUUGGUAUCGGCUAUGGCUCACAGUGGUCACUGAUGCCUACAAUUGUUUCAGAGAUAUUUGGUCCAGCACAUAUGGGAGCAAUAUUUAACACUGUCAGUAUUGCAAAUCCUGUUGGAACUUAUAUUCUCUCAGUUAGAGUAGUUGGUUACAUCUAUGACAAAGAAGCGACAGGGAGUGACAACACUUGCAUUGGAACUCACUGCUUCAUGUUAUCGUUCCUUAUUAUGGCAUCAACUACUGUUCUGGCGUCUCUUGUUGGUUUAAUAUUAUUCUUUCGGACAAGAAACUUCUAUAGACAAGUUAUACUGAGAAGACUUUAUAUUCCCAUCAGGAAUCUGGAGUAAGAAUUGAUGUUCUUUGGCAUGUCAAGUUGAUGUCUCAAAUGAUCCAUCACUUGGAUUUGGUGUCAUUGUUGCUGUCCACUGAUAAAAGGUACUGUGCCAGAUCUCCUUGGUUCAUCUAUAGACUAGAAGAAAUUCACGUUCUCUGAGUUCGAGAAAAAUUUAGCAUCAUCCUUGAAAUAUUGGUGAUUAUAAAUUCAUAGACCUGACCCAAAAUUUUCACCAAGCAAUUAAGGGCAUUCCUGGGCACCUGUCUUUGAUGAGGUUGAAGUGCUCAUUCGUCGACAGAGCUCGGUUGCAGCAGCUACGCUGGGGGCUGUUCUGCGUGCAUGAUCAGUUGAUGAUGUGAAUUUGUUCAAGGCGUACGUAUGUGCAUCAAUGAGGUAAACUGCUUCAAGAACCUGGUUCCAUCUUCCAGCAAAAUUUGAAAGUCCCAAGUAGAAGCGGAUCAUCUUUGCUAGCACCAUCAUAAAUGAAAUUGUGGGAUGGAUCAGAUGCAUUCAUUCUCUUUGAACUGAAUUCCGUCUUCGGUCCGAGACGAGAGGCAUCUAGACGAUGUUGGGGCAAUCCAAUGAUGAAUGAGUUGAUUUGGUAGUGCUUGAACAUUGCUUGCUGCAAAGUUUGCACGGGUUUCACAGGGAGAGCAGUGUAUUCGAUUGGAUGAGAUAAGCCUCUGCAUGGAAUGUUGCUAGGCUUAGACCAUCAUUGCAUGAUGAGCUUGAAAAUUGACUGACUGUAUUAUCAUAUUUGCUAAGCUUAAACCAUCAUUUUUAUUUUCUUUCUGUAUGUUUAACGGACCUCCCAAUUAUACUUAAAAAAAAUGAAAAAAAUGAAAAAAAAAAAAUUGCCUAUCCGUUUAAUGACAUGUGUUGUGUUGGGCCACUAAUCAUGAAUAAGAGAGACCAUUCGUUGAUCAAAAGACCAACAGCCUGACCUAACCGGCCCAAGACACAUACCCGUCCGUCCACGGUCAAACCCACUGCUUUUCUUUUUCCUAAAUUUUUUUGAAACACUGUCCAAGCCCACUUUAAGUCGGCAUUCUACAGAACAUGGACUGGACCUCUCUAUCUGGGCAGGCAAAGUGAAUUAUUAGUACUGAAUUAAUGUUCCGAUCAGAAUCGCAGAAGCAGAAUUUAAGAGAGAGAGAGAGAGAGAGAAAGUGGCAGCGAAGAGGAAGAAGAAGAAGAAGAAGGCUUUGCAACUUUCAUGCUCUGAAGCGACGUCGUCUGGGCAGUGUAUACAUAUACCAGUAGCAAGGAAACUCGCAGAAUAAAUAUACAGAGAGAGAGAGAGAGAGAGAAGGGGGCGCCGGCGCGUAACAAUGAAGACGACAAAAGGAGGCAAGGUUAUGAACCCUACCGAUGCUUACCGGAAAGAGCUUCGCAAGAAGGAGUUAAAACGGGUAUGCUAUACUAUUUAUCUCAUUCUCUGUAUUUGGUUUCAUGUAAUUCGUUUGUGUAAUUUUGAUAUAGUUUCCUGUGUAUUAAAUGUUGUCCGCUCUUGUCUUGUAUGCAUCAAAUUUAGAUUUUUGUGCUUACUUAGGGUUUUGGUGAUUUAUGCUGAAUUUUUAUUUUGAAUGAGGAUAUGAAUUGGCAAACAAAGAGUAAAAAAAAAUAUAAUAAAAGCUACCUUUUUAAUUAUUAUUAUUUUUUUAUUCUUAAUUUUUUUUGGGAAGUUGUGGUUAAUUUGAGUUUAGGAGGUGAUAGUGCAUUUGGUUUGGUAUGAAAAUUGAAUUAUGACUAGAGAAGAAAAGCUGUAAAUGGCCGUGUUGUUUAGAAAAAUGUGAUAAAAGUGGGACUCUAGUAUUGUACGGCUGCUUAAUCACUGUUGUAUAGGAUUAUAGAAUGACAGCAACUUACUAUUUUCAUCUUUGUAGACGUUUAUGGGGCAUAAAUCAAGCUAAAAUAUUCCUUAGAUAUUUGGGAGAGGUGUAGAAGGUGUGAGGAGGGAGGGUAUGUUUUGUAGUUGAUCAUCCUGGAAACAGUACAUAUUAUUUAGUGGCCAGGCAGGGCGGACUGCUGCUUGUGGAGAGUAUCGACAAGCCGGCCUUUUAGACUAUCACUAGCAUCUAAUUGUUGUGCACUGCUAAAGGGUGAUGUGAAGACCAACAGUAGAUAUGAUGUCCCAGAAUCUUGAUAGAAAGGAUAGCAAAGGAGUAAUCAGAGUUCAGGGAUAGAAGACAAGUUGGGUUCAAUUUUCUAGAGGUGCAUUUCAUUAGGCAGUUUGAUAGGUUCACGAACUACAUGAGCGAGAGGUAAUUAGUUUGAAGUGCAAGAUUUAGUGGUCAAAACAACUAAGCAGCAGGAUGCAGUGGAUUGUUUUGCCGCUAGAAGCUAACUGUAAUGUUCUGGCAUAGUGUUCCUUCAACUUUUUCUAAAGUUCAGUUUUAUGCGGUACAAUGUUGCAUUCUAGUUUUAUUCAAGACCUCAUAGGAUUCGCUAUAGAUUAUGAACACCUGUUAAUUGCAUGCAUAAUAAUGGCCAUCUAUGUGCUGGCGCACAAAUUCUUCUCUGUAACUUGUCUUUUAAAUAUUUUAUCUUCUGAAACUCAUGUGCUAAUUUUGAUGCCUAUGUAGAACAAAAAAGAAAGGAAAAAGGUGCGGGAGGUGGGGAUUUUGAAGAAGAUCCUGAGACACUAAGGGAGCAGAUAUCGAAGCUGGAAGCCAUGAGUAAGUUUGACUGUUCUUGAAAUGGAAUUGAUCUUGAGGAGUGAGACUUUCUUAUUUUCUGUGCAAUUCAUCUGGGAUUUUAGUGUCAUGUCUUUUCUUCUUUUUUUGCAGCAAAUUUUAAUGGAUGUGGGAAUACUGCAUUUAGUUUUCCAUGUUGUUUAGUCCUUAAAAUGACUAUCCAGAAGAAGUCAAAUUAUAGUAAAUACUAAUGCAAUCCUCUCAAUAAAAUUGAAAUUAUUGUGACUUGAGGGGCUUUUGUUUGCAAGUAACUUUUCCUGCAAAAUUGUGUUGAUGUAGAAACAAAGAACAUUGCAGGUGCUUGGUUCCUCACAGACAAUACAUGCUGAGUUAUUAGUUUCUUUUAUUUUAAUCAUUUCGAAGGUUUUUUUUCCCCUUUCAACAUCUUCGGUUGAGUGGUGGUUGGAACUUCUGAGCUUUUGAUAACCAUCAGUCGAAGUUUUAGUUGCAAUUUAAAUACUUCGGCUGUUUAAAUCUUUCAAAUGGAUAAGUUAGACCAAGUUUAUACUCCUAUGCAUGUCAGGAAGAUGAAGAAAGGAAAGUGCUGUCAUAAAUUUACAAACACGCCCUAAUUUUAACAUCAAGAACAUAUUAAGUGCACCUUUGAGUUGUCAGAUGCAGGUUAUUUGGAAGAGUAGAACAUAUCUAUUGACUACUUAGGUCAUAGUUCUUAGUUAAGAUAUUCACUUCUUCUUCAAGGUCUUCCAAUCUCUAGUUCAUGUAGGGUGCUGCAGUAAUGCAGAGCAUGAUGCCAUACUGUCAUUGUCUGGGAAAAGUUGGAGAGUGGCGGAAGGAUGAGAGGGAAUAAAUUUUAUUUGUGUGACUAUUACUCGGCAAAUUUCUUUAAAUAAUACUAAAAAAAUAAAAAGUCCCUCAAAUGAGGCAAAUGUGAAGGUUGUUCUCCAAAUAAAGUUGCUACACCCCUGGUGUGCGGCAACAAAGGAAAAUCUUUUUUUAAUAUAUAUAUUUUUUGAAAUAGACACUAAGGAAACAUAUUUUUGCAUUUCGGUCCUUCAAGAAAUGCAAUUAAAUUAUUAAAAAACUUAAUGUGAGAGUAGCGUGCAGCAACUCUCACUAUUUAAAAAAAAAUAUCUAUGUUAGAGUUUUUCCAAAUACCAAUAAAGGUUCAUUGAUUUUCUAUCUUUUAUGGUUCUUUGAUUUUACAUUUUUACCUUGAUUCAACCUGUAGCAACAUGGUACUAUAUGUCUUUAACAGCAAACAAGACCUCAGCCCCGCUUUAUAUAUAUUUAUUAUUAUUAUUUUUGGGUCCAAAGUCAGCUGUUAGCUUCUAGCCAGUUGAGAUACAUAUGGAUCAUUUUGUCAUUCAAUUUUACCCAGGCUCAAAAGCUCUGGUUCUUGUUAAUUAGUUGAUAACCAAUUGUUAAUCCGUUUUACUUGUUACAUGUUACAACAUGGAUAUCAGAUAUUUCCAAUCUGAGUUCUUAUGUGGAUUAAAAGUGGACGAGAUAAACCUACACAGACACACUAGAAUAGAGUUCAUUAUUCAGGGUUGAUAGUUUUGCUGCAGGCCGUCUUCCAAUUUUUGAUCAAUACAUAAAUUCUCUUUUAAACCACACAAACACACUAGAACAGAGCUCAUUAUUCAGAGUUCGUGCAGUAAUUUUGCUGAGCAUUUCUUGCUCAUAUUUGAUUUCUUUUUGCAGGAUGAGAGGUCUGUAAGGUAAGGCUUAAAUUGUGAUAGGGUCGUCAAAAAAUAUCACAAUUAGAGUUCUUUUUUUUUUUUUCAGUUUUCAUGGAUGGGAAUAGUCCUCAAUUGUUGAUGCUCGAAUAUUUUUUAAGUAUUUAUUUUUUGUAAAUUCAGUGUUAUAAUCAUAGUAUAUACCCUAUUUUUCGUAUUUCCAAAUUAGAUAAGCCUUAACAAGAUUUGGGCUCAGGCCAACGGCAACCAGAGCAAGAUCUAAACUCUUUCACAUACUUUCGUUUUUUAUGAAAAUGUAUUAUGGCAGAAACUUAGGAGGAUUAUUUCUCAUUUCAAAUUUCCCCAACAUUAUUCAGUCACUGGUUGUUUAACACAAAAAAGAAAAGAAAAAACAGUAAGAUUUUUUUUAAAAUUGUGAAAGUUUCUAACAUAGAUUUUUUAAAAAAAAAUUGUGAGAUAGUUUGCAGCAGCUCUCACAUUAAAUAUUUUAAGUUAAGGACUGAAAUGCAAAAAUAAGUUUUAUUAUUUCCAAAAAAAAUUAAAAAAAAAGAAGAUUUUCCUCUGUUGCUGCACACCUGAUGUGUGGCAACUUUAUUUGGAGAACGACCUCCACAUUUGCCUCAUUUGGAACUUUUUAUAUUUUUAGUAUUAUUUAAAGAAACUUGCCACUAUUACUCAUUCAAAGAAAAGCCAGACGAUACAAGUUUGAUCAUAUCUAGUUUACAAGCUUCAUUGGGUUUCCUACUAAAGCCCUUUGAUAAAGACUUGCUGUUUAGAAAUAUCUGUUUCUGCAACUAUGAAACAAUAUUGGGCUACACUUGUUGGUUCAUACUUGGAUUUAAUAUCUUCUACUCCCAAAUCAAAAACGCAUUUUUCAGUGGCUGUGGUGGUUUAGUACUUUGUGUUUCUUUCGGUCCUAUGUGCUUCUUGUUUUGAAGUUAUAUCCUUCUUAAACUCUUGGCAAUUUCUAGUUGAUAUUCUUUUCCAUGCCUUUUCCUUUUUGGAUUUCUGGGGUUUUCAGUGUUUGUCUUGAAAAAGUAUGCAGUGUUGGUCUUUGUUUUAGCCAUGUCAGUGUAUUUCAAGUCCUAAUAGCUUUUAAUUGAUUAAGUGCCUUGGCAGUGCCCUAAAAUGCUUUACUGUACUCAAUGCAGAAGCAGAAGGUGCUCUGGAUAAAGCAAGAAAACACAAGAAGAGACAACUUGAAGAUACACUAAAUCUUGUUCUGAAGAAGAGAAAGGUGAUGUUUCCUUAGGCAUAGCAUAUGUAGUUUUCCAUUAUUCUGUUCAUUGGAGCAUUUAUCUUGUCUCCGAGCAAUAAAUCUUCUUCUUUGACAGAAGAUGGUAUAUUUAUUUGAAACAUGGAUACGAAGUAAAGUGCUUCAGUAUGUAAAUAUUGAUUUUUGAUAUAGUCAUUACAUGAUAAAUUCUAUAGCUAUGUUUUCAUUCAAUUGCUUGGCCGGGUUUCUUUUGCCCUUCCUUUUGCCUCCAACUCUCCGCCCACAAUGAUAAAGCAAAUAACAAAUUUUUGGUCAAAAGAAAAAAAAAAAGGAAGCCUGGCAGGGGUGCUAGGCACCACUUCUCUUGCAGCCUGUCCUGCCCAGCACUCUCCUUCCAGAAAAGAAUGACAAAAGGAAGGCUGAGAUAACUAAAUCCUAAUGAGGUCAGUCUCUAGGCAAGUGUUGUCAAUGUUCCUUUAAGUUGUUCUUACACUCUUUGAGCAGCACAAGUUUAGGGGACGCGAGAAUAUAAAAUGGAGAAGAAAGUAUAACAAAAGAAGCCCCCUGUUAUGCUCCUGACCGUUUACUCAAGAUAAGAAAAUGGUCAUCUACGGAUUUGUUGCACUACUUCAUUGGUUUGUUAUUUAUUUUGCACUGCAUUUGAAACUGUCAAUUCGUUCCAUGUCAAGCAGAUGUUGCUGAGUAGUUUGUUUAACUUUUUUGUUUGACUGGUGAUUUACAUAUAUUGAAGAGUGUUUUUUACAUUCUUGGGCAGGAAUAUGAGGAUAAAGCAAAGGAUAAGGGUGAAACGCCAGUGAUGUUCAGGUGAAGACAUUUUUCUCGUGACCUAACAUUCAAGUUGUGAAGUUUGAAUUUUUCCUGAAUGCUAAACUAUUCAAACUAAUCCCUUGAAUUAUCUCUGCUGCAGCCAUUUGGGACCUCCUCCUCGUAGGCGCUCCGCUGCAGAAGAGGAAGAAAGAGCGAAGCACCCGAAAGCUGAAGUAGUUUCUUUCUUGAACCAAAAUAUCUUAUAUGUUAAAAUUUAGCUCUUCAUCUGUCUCAUUUGGCUGUCAAUUGGUGCAGGAUUCAGUUUACUAUCACCCUACACUAAAUCCUACAGGAGCUCCUCCGCCUGGAAAACCUCCCAUGUUUAAAUCAUCUGUAGGUGUGUAUUUCAGUUUCUAUUUUCUUAUGAACAUGCUGUUGCUCUGUCUGUCUGUGUGCAUCUAAUAGUUAUAUAUUUUGAACUACAGGACCUAGAAUACCAUUGUCUGCAGCCACAUCAAGUGGUGCUGCAUCUUCUUCAAAAUCAGACUUGGAUGAUGCUGCUUUACCCAUUCCUCCUCCACCUCCACCUCCACCUCUGCCUCGUACUGGUGACAUGGACUCUGGUGAUGCCUCCGAAUUGCCUGCAUCUUUGCCAUUGCCACCUCCCCCACCUGUACCACCAAAGCCUCCAGUAACAGACUCCGGUACUUUGUUGCCGCCUCCACCUUUGCCACCACCACCACCUCCUCCUGGACCCCCUCCAAAGGACCAAAUGGCUAUCCGUUCAUCACUCCCUCCACCCCCAUCUCUCCAUCAAUCUGCUCAACCUCCACCUCCUGGAACUGGUGGAAGUGAGACGGAGAAAAGCCAGUUUGCAAAAUCUGAUGAUCAAGCUUCACGGGAUCCAUUUCAGGUAUGUUCUCUCUCAAUCUCUCAGAAUAUGUAUUGGGGAAGUAUUAGAAACAUAAUCAAACCAUUAUCUUUGAAAUUUGUGAAAAGCAUUGAUAAAGAGUUUUGGCGUGCUUGUCCGAUUUCAUUGAGAAACGUGAAAUGGAAGAAGAAAAAUUUGUAAAUUGUAAUCUUUUACUUGAACUUUUGUCACACUGGACAUUACAUUCAUUUUCCUGAUAGCUGAUGUUCAUGGACUGCUUUCUUGUGGUUUAUGUCUAUUGACUUGAAGUAUUUGUUUCCUUUUGCAGGCAACAGCAACACUUCCCCCACCUCCCCCUCCUCCACCAAUGGGUUUGGCACCAAAGAUGGUCAAUAAUCAGUUGGAAGGCAUAUCUUCUGAAUCUGAUGCUAAUAAUCCUGGUUACGAUCUGUCAAAAAUGAUUCCACCUCCACCUCCACCUCUGAGGCAACAGCCUCCACUGCCAGGACCUGCCAUGGCUCCACCAUUGCAGCCUGAUGUUUUACCUCCAGGAAUUUCACGAUUUCCCCCACCCCCACCUCCAACAGAUAUGAGGCCUGCAUUGCCUGGCAGCGGAAUUGUUGGGCAAC